rnacentral:lncRNA from 1 species
CACUAGGGUACAACAAACAAAGGUGAAUUGGAUAUACUUCCGUACGACUGCAGAACUCAUUUACACAAUGCGAUUUUGAUGCAGCAAUAAGAAAUUAUAUCAAACUUGAAAUCAGUCAUCCUUUGGGGUUCUAUAAAUACCAUCCUCCCUGUCAGUUAUGGACACAUUCCUGCCUAGCUACUUUUAGUUUCAGGCAAACUACAUAUUCAUACCUAGCUGAACUGAAAUUAAACUUUCCAUGGCAUACCAGAGCGCCUACAAUAUGAAUUACCAGAUACUACUAUGCUUGAUACUCUUCUCCCUAGUCCUUCUCCUGCCACUGCCAUCCCAUUCUGCUGAUCCAAGCCCAUUGCAAGAUUUCUGCGUUGCAGAUCUUGAUUCCUCUUUAUACAUUAAUGGCUUUCCGUGCAAAAACCCUGAUAACGUAUCUUCACAAGACUUCUUCGCCAAUGGGUUCCAACAAAGUCCAGGAGAAUUCAAUAUUUUUGACGUCAAUGUCACUCGCCAAGAUGUUCAGCGAUUUCCAGGACUCAACACUCUAGGGCUGUCAAUGAACCGAGUGGUUUUGAAGCCUGGAGGGCUGAAUGCACCCCACGUCCACCCUCGUGCAGCCGAGCUGGCUCUAGUCAUGGAUGGAAAACUGUUUGUAGGCUUUGUGACAACCGGAAACGUUUUCUACUGGAAAAUUGUGACUUCAGGAGAGUUGUUUGUGAUUCCUCCUGGGCUAGUGCACUUCCAACUGAAUAUUGGACACGAGAACGCACGCUUCUUCGCCUCGUUCAACAGUCAAAAUCCAGGGAUUCAGUUCGCCCCCCUUGCUCUUUUUAACUCCACGCCUUCGAUUCCUGAUCUCGUGUUGAGUAAAGCAUUUCAAGUAAAUCAAAGUAUCAUUGAGCUCAUUAAGUCUAGGUUUGCAACUGUGUCGACUGUGUCGACCGUGCUUAAGUCAUCUUACUAACAUCCUAUUCCAGGGUGUUGUUCAUUAUAGUUGGCAUAUUAAAUAAUAAAAUCUUCUAUAUUAUCGUUUAAUUGUAUUUUGGUCAAGUUAAUUUUUAGUAGUUUUAUUGGCGUCAAAUUAGGAUAGUUUUACUAUUUAGAAACUAGUAUUGUAUUAAGUAAUUUCCUAUGCUUGUCAGUAGUCAUGAUAUGUAUUUGGUUGGAAACAAUAAAAGUUUGAGUCUUGUCAUUGAUAUUAGUCCUCUUCAUGUAAAUUAGCCUCCAUAUAUAUAUAUAUAUAUAUAUAUAUAUAUUGGUUUUGCGAAAGUUAUCUCCUAUAAUUUUUUUUUGGGUAUAAUUAUUAGGCUCUACAUCUGGUAUCGAAUCCUAUUUGCAUGAAAUUAAUCUUUGGGUGAGUUGUCAGAGUUAGGACACAAGAAUUGCCGGGACUGUUCAAUUGAUCACGUAAGGCCAUUAUGUUGGUUUUGGAGUAUUUAAUUGGUCAAAAUUAGGCCAUAAAAUUGGUGUGAAAAUUAUUAACUUGAUUGUGGAUAUUGCUAAUGGUGACAGUUUUUGACAUGGUACGUAAACGCGGCACAAAAAAUCCUAAAUGAAACAUGAUACGGAAUAAUUUAUGUCAAAAAUGGAUCCACGCAAACAGAAUGGGUUGUAUUGGGCCAAUCCAUAGGUUGAUAUGACUAACAUGUUUUUGACACGUUAAGAAUUUUGAAAAAAUGCUACUUGCUUCCCUCCUAAUACUGCACUUAAAAUAAAUGGUUUUGUAUUAAAUUUUAUAGUUUAAGAACUAAAAUAAUAUAAUCAACCUCCUAUAAGAAUACAUAAACAACACAUAAAUCGAGACUCUGCAAAUUCACAUAUGCAACUGUUAUGAUUUUAAUUUUUUGCUUCCUUCCUUUAAUAUUCUUAUUUUCUCAAAUUGACAAGCAUAAACAACCUCUAUGAUUUUAACUUUUCACUUCGAAACUUACCUUUAGAUCAAAUAUUGCUCAAUUUUUCUUCCUUUCUUGUGAUUAAAUAUCUUUUCUAGGUAAACUUUAAUAUUUCACAAAUUUUCUAUCAUUUUUGUCUAUUUUAUUUGAACAUUUUCUAGUUUAUACUGCUCCUCUAUUUUAUCAUUUUCCCUAUCAUUUUCUUUCUAAAGUUUUUCUUUCUUGUGAAAGAAAAAAGAAAGAAAAACAAAAUAGGCUUUUUUCUGUAUAUUAUUAAUGAGAUAAUCAUGCAUCCAAAACUUAUACAAGUAAAAAUCCAAUGACAGGCUACAACUAAAUUAGAUUAAGAGAAUAUUACAUAUUUUCUUGAAAGAGAACCAUGUUUUAUUUUUCGGCAAUAUUUCUCCUAUAAUUUUGAUAUAAAAAGUUAAAUGAGUCAAUUGGGUCAAAACAUGAGAUGAACCUGUCCAAAUGUAUGGAGUAUUGCAGCAACAAAUCUUUUUGAAGAUUAAGAAUUCAAAUUUAUAUUAAUGAAAUUUACAAAUGAGAUUAUUAUUGCUGAACUUGAUUCAAUAGAGAGUUUGAUUUAAGGGAAACAAUGUUGGCAUAUUAAAUUAAAGCUAAAAAUUUGAAUUUUCUAUACUAUUAUUUAGUAGUAUUUUGGUCACACAAAUUUUUUUAGUAGUUCUACGAGAGCUAAGAUAUGGUAGUAUAUUUAAGAAUUGGAGGCUCUAGGACAUAGAGGUUCUGGGUUCAAAUCUCCAUUCCUCCUCCCCAUUUCUUAAAUCCUAUCUCUCCCCUUGAUUAGAAAAAGUUAAAAUAAUUAUUUAGAAAUUGGUACUGUAUUAGAUAAUUAUUGUAGCUAUCAAUACUUGUUUAUCAAAUCAUGUAAUCUGUAAGUAGAGUCAUAUUACCAUACCCACUUGAGAAGAUUGGAAGUUUAAUAGCCUUGUUGUUGUGGUGUUAUUAAUAUUUUAUUAUUAAUAUCAUUGUUCUUUUCUCACAUAUACGUGUAUAUGUGUAAAUUAGCCUCCCAUAUAUAUUGGGUUUGUGGAAUUUAUCUCUCAUAAUGAUCUUUUGACUAUAAUUGUCACGCCUCGUGCCUAGAACGUAGCACCACCACACCAUAGACAAUGCUAAAGGCGUAAGGCAACAAAUUUCCAAAGCAACUACAUUUACCUUUAUAUAAACUUUUUAAAUCCACAAAUACAAGAUCAUCUAUAACAGCAAUUUUGUGUCUUCCAAAAUAAAAGCAAGAUCAAACCUUCUACAAUAUGUACAAAAUUCAAAUCCUAUCAUAAGGUCUCUUAUAUAUAAGUACAAAAGUCAUCCUCUAACCCAAAGUCAUCUCCAUCUCCAUUACAACCCCCAAGAGCUAUCAAGGUCUACUUCAAUGAACUCAUCAUUAACUGCAUAAUUAUAACAAAGGGGUGAGCAAAAUCUCACUUAAUAAGUAGUGCAUGUAUCUCAUUAUUUGCCUGAGCAUGUUACAUACAUAAUAUAUAUUUCAAACGUCAUUAACUUACACAUAUAACUUUAUAAGAACAUGGUUACUAUAAACAUUUCAAUGGCAUAUCAUACAUCACACACACAAAGGAGCUCAAACCAUAAGACAACAAUUGACCCAGGAUAUCCAGUUGUUAACUUAAACUUAACCAGUUAACACAUUUCAUAGUGCUAACUACCACAUAGUUAGCCCAUUUCAUAUUGCUCACUACAACAUGGAUAGCUCGUUUCAUAUACCAACUACUUGUGAGGAACUAGUCCUGUCAAAAGUCGCUUAUACAAGAGCUCAACAAACAUAACAUUUCAUUUCACAAAUGACCAUAGCAAGAGUAAUAACAAAUAUCACAAAUUAUACUUGCUCAUGCCAUUUUAGCAAUUAGACAAGUAGCUUUCAAAAUUUAUCAUUCAAAAGAUAAAGGAUACAUGCACCAGUUACCUCGAUCCAAUCGAUACCCACGCUAUUUCAAGUAAUCGGAAAAAUAGCUACCUUCCUCACCUAGACAUAAUGAUAAAAUGUUCAAUUACAAUCUUAAAGAUACCAAACUACUCCAAAUUAUCAUAAAAACGAGCCUAAUACUACCCUUAACCACUAAUUCCUAAUAAAAGAUCAUUUCCUCAUCAAAGUAGGACAUAAGGGUUUACUUUAAAGGGUCACUAACUUCCAAAAAUACAGAAAUAGGUCAAGAGAUUUAUAUAGAGUUAAAGCCCUCUGAAUCUAGUUUCCAACGCAAUAAACGGCACCUAAAUCCGAAUUUUCUACACCAAGUUAUAUCCAAAGCAUUGAAAUAUGUCUAUACAGAAAAUUCAAUCUGUCCGAGAAUUAUAGCCAAUCCAUCCGAGGAUUUUAGCCAAUUCGUUCGAGGAUUAUAGCCAUGGAUUUCUAGCAAGUUUUCAAGGCAAAAACAAGUCAUUCUUUCCCUCAACAUUUCUCCUUUUUAUAUUGAUGAUAGCCCUACAUACCCAUUUGAAAAUGGAGACCAAAACAAACUCCAUACACCAUAGCCAUGGAAGCUAACCAAGGAUUUGAACCAAAUACUACCCAAUCACCCAAUCAAAGAAAACCAAGAUCAUGUUCAAGGUUUCAAGAAAAUACCUUGGUUAGUCGUCAAAGUAGAAUCUCCUAACUCCUCACUCCUUACUUGUGCUUGAUUUGUCAAGAAUCCUCCUUGAUUGUAAGGAAAAAGGAGAGAAAUAAGAAAGGGUUUUGUUGGAGAAGGAAGGAAAAAAGGAAAUGAAGAAGAUGAAGAAAGUUUUUGGUAAAAAUGAAUAGUGAAAUCCCAAUAUCACUUUUAUUCUUUCAAAAUUUCACAUAUUAACACAUUGGUCACUCAACUUAACGUCAUUCACUUUUCACCCCAAAAUAGUAUUUCUUCACACAAAAUUCUCUACAAGACACUUGGGUAUCACAUUCUCCCCCUCUAAUAAAAGUUUUGGCCUCGAAAUUUAACGUACCUCGUUGGUUAAACAAAUGUGAAUACUUAGUUCGCAUUUCCUCUUCGAGUUCCCAAGUAGCUUCACGAGUACUAUGAUUGGACCAUUGAACUUUAACAUAGGGAAUUGUCCUUCUUCUUAGCACUUGAUCUUUACAACCCACAAUUCGAAUUGGCUUCUCACUAUAAGUUUAAUCCUCUCAUACCAUUAAUGGCUCAUACUCCAGGAUAUAACUUGGAUUAAAUACAUAUUUUCUCAAUUGCAAAACAUGAAAUACAUUGUGAACUCUUGAUAAAGAUGGUGGCAAGGCUAACUUGUAUGCCAAUUCUCCAACUCUAUCCAAAAUUUCAAAAAGCCCAACAUAUCUUGCACUCAGUUUUCCACGUUUCCCAAAUUGCAUGACACCCUUCAUUGGUGAAAUUCUAAGAUAUAAUUUAUCCUCUUCUUGAAACUCUAAUGGUCUUCUUUUCAAAUCGGCCCAACUCUUUUGUCUAUCUUGUGCUGUUUUCAACCUUUCUCUCACUAGUGCCAUCUUCUUGAUUGUAGCUUGUACACUUCCUCCCAUAUAGAGCUUCAAAAGCUAGCAUGCCGAUACUACUAUGAUAACUGUCAGUGUAAGAGAACUCACUUAGCACCAGAGAAUCCUCCCAACUGCCCCCAAAAUCCAUAACACAUGCUCUAAGCAUGUCCUCCAAGGUUUGAAUUGUACGCUCUGAUUGCCCGUCAAUUUGAGGAUGAUAAGCUGAGUUGAGGUUUAACUCGGUUCCUGUGGCUUGUUAGAGACUUUUCCAAAAUCGAGAGGUGAAUCUAGGAUACGAUCAGACACAAUACUCACUGGGACACUAUGAUAACGAAUAAUGCAAUCCAUACAGAGAUUAGCCAAAGUAUCCAUAGAUGCAGUAGCAACCAUAGGUACAAAAUGAGCUGAUUUUGUCAGUCGAUCAACUAUUACCCAAAUGGUGUCAUUACCUCUCCUAGACCUUGGUAAUCCAACAAUGAAAUCCAUUGCUAUAUGCUCCCAUUUCCAUUCCGGUAUUGUCAAAGGCUUUAAUAAUCUAGCAGGUCUUUGAUGUUUGGCCUUUAUUUGUUGACAAACUAAGCAUUUAGACACAUAAUUCGCGAUCGCCCUCUUCAUACCACUCCACCAAUACGACUGCUUUAAGUCUCGGUACAUCUCAGUGUUAUUAGGAUGAAUAGAGGCUUGGAAGAGCAAGCCUCCGCCAUUAUUUCUUUUCGUAACUCCGGAUCUUUAGGCACCAUAAGCCGAUUCCACAUCCAUAUACUACCAUCCUUGAGUAGUUGAAAGUCGGGUAAUUCCUCACUUUUAACUUUUUCCUUGAUUUUUGCCAACUCGGUAUCAUCUUCUUGAGUUUCCUUGAUUCUCGAAAUUAAAGAUGGUUAGGCAACUAGAGUUGCGAGCACAUGCAUGAAGGAUUCUACGACCUCUAAAUUCAAUUCCUCCAUUUGUUUGACAGGUGCCGAACCUGUACAAUAAUAAUAAUAAAACCUAACUACCACCAAAAGCAAUCAAUAAUCAAUUCUAAGUACUGGAGCAGGGACUUUAGGUAUGCAAUGAGUUACUUGAUUCACCCUGUUGCUGAAGAGUUUGCUGAAUCCGAUAUACCAAAAUUAAUUAGCUAACUAAAUUUACUAACUAGUAGACAAUGGCAAGCAGGGUCGUCUCCUUAGGGGCUGGAGAGAAAUUUGUUUCUUUUAAGCCAAGACAAACAGAGGGUUUGAAAAUUAGAUGCUAAAGAAUCACUAACUAAACAAAUUAAAUGCAAAAAAUAAUUAAUUGAGAGAAAUAAUUGGAGAAACUCUAGCCAAGGGUGCACUUCAGAAAUGGUUCAUGCAACUGAUCAUCGAUUCAAAUAUAAUUCCAACAAUUAUUAAUAUAUUAGUUAUAGUUGUUAUGCACGCGAUAAACAACCAGCAUUUCCUUAAUUUCUCGAUAGUUAAGGUACAACCGUUAACUAUUUCUCUAACCAAAAAACAACCCUAGGUACGACCGUAGGAUUUAAUUUCUAGUUUGCAUUAAGAUUUAGAAAAGCCCAAUCCUAACUACCAAACACGCUACGAGGGUUUGUUUAAGUUAGAUCGUAUGUUUUCCUGACAUAAACCCAAUUACGCCAGUUGCUACCGAGAUGGAGGUAAUCAAACAAUUACGGAUUCAACUACCCCCAAUUAGCAAAUUAACUACGUGAAUAACUAAAUAUUGCGCACUAUUCAGUCAUACACAAUAGCUAUGACAAUUAAAGGUAGAAAACAUACAAAUACUAAUAAAUGAAGGAAACAGUUAAAACAAUUUAGAUCUCACAGUUAUUGUUGAACCAAAUUUUCAAUUGUCUCCUUGACUAGAAGUGGGUGAUUUGUUCAUCCUCAUUGAGAGUAACUCACGCAAUUCCAUCGAAGGAAAUUGCGUCAAUGUUUGACAAUAGAAGAACUACUCAGAGGAGAAGAGAGCCAAGCGGCUGCCUUCCUCCCCUUUUCUUAUUCCCUGGCCGAGUAGUAAUCACGCGGGAUCCGGCUUUUGUUCUUCCUAUUUUCUAGCUUUCUAAAAACACAUUGAACUUCCUCCCUCACAAUCCGUAGUAAAUGAUUCCAAAAAAAUCUCCUACUAUAGGAAAACUAACUUCCUAAAAGAUAGGUACUCAAGCGCUUAAAAGUCUCCUAAACCAACCCAAUUACUAAUUAGAAACUUGGCAAAUAAUAUCAUCUUCCAAUUAUGAUGACGACUCCCACUUGGAUUAGGAUACUGCCCGGCAUAGAAUCCCGCGCACUCCAGACUUGAUUGAUGUCUUCUCACGCGUCCACACUUUCUUGGAGGAAAAUCUUCUAAAAACUGUUAUUUCUGCACUUUCUUUCUCCAAUUGGCUAAACAUCCCCUAAACAUAAAAUUCAAACAAAAUAUGUCCAUUAAUGCAAUAUCCAAUCCAAUAAGAAAAGGAAAUUAUAAGAAAAUUAAUGCUAAAUUAGCGUUCUAUCAUUGUUUUACUAACAUAACUGCUAUCAUUCCUGAAAUUUUCCUGCUCAAAGCAUCAGCAACCUUGUUUGCUUUUUCUGGAUGAUAACUAAUGGUAAGAUCAUAAUCUUUCAUUAACUCAAGCCAUCUUCGUUGUCUCAUGUUUAGCUCUUUCUGCGUGAACAAAUACUUUACGCUUUUAUGAUCUGUAAAGACUUCACAUUGCUCCCCAUACAAGUAGUGCCUCUAAAUCUUCAAGGCAAAAACAAUGCCUGCCAAUUGCAAAUCAUGUGUAGGAUAGUUGUGUUCAUACCGCUUCAAUUGACAAGAUGCAUAAGCUAUGACCUUCUCAUUUUGCAUUAGCACACAUCCCAACCCAUUUUUGGAUGUAUCGCUAUAAAUAGUGAAACCUCCAGAUCUAGAAGGUAAGGUGAGAACUGGUGCCGAAACAAGCUUAUUCUUUAAUUCUUGAAAACUAUUUUAACAUUUAGGUGUCCACUCAAACUUAACAUGCUUUUGAGUUAAACAACUCAAGGACAAAGCAAUAGUAGAAAGUCCUUCAACAAAAUUUCUAUAGUAGCCAACUAAGCUCAGAAAACUCCUCAAUUCUACCACAUCAGUAGGUCGGGGACAAUCCACAAUAGAUUCUAUCUUCUUAGGAUCCACAAAGACACCAUCUUGAGAAAUAACAUGCCCAAGGAAGGACACACUUUGAAGCCAAAAUUCACAUUUGUUGAGUUUUGUAUAAAGUUUCUCACGCCUCAAGAUUUGUAAAACAUCUCGCAGGUGAUUUUCGUGCUCUGCUUCACUUGGAGAGUACACCAAUAUAUCAUCAAUGAACACCACCACAAAUCGGUCUAAUUGCUUUUUGAAUAUCCUAUUCAUCAAAUCCAUAAAGGCUGCAGGAGCAUUAGUCAACCCUAAAGGCAUGACGAGAAAUUCAUAAUGGCCAUACCUUAUUCUAAAUGCACUCUUUGGAAUAUCUUGCAGUUUAAUCCUUAAUUGAUGGUAUCUGUAAUGAAGAUCGAUUUUUGAAAACACCUUAGCCCUUUUAAAUUGAUCAAACAGGUCGUCAAUACGAGGCAAUGGAUACUUGUUCUUGAUCAUAAUUUUAUUGAGCUCCCAAUAAUCAAUGCACAAUUGCAUACUUCCAUCCUUCUUCUCUACAAAUAAAACUGAUGCACCCCAAGGGGAUACACUUGGUCGAAUCAAUUUCUUGUCAAGCAACUCCUGAACUUGAACUUUAAGCUCCUUCAACUCUGUGGGGGCCAUCCGAUAGGGUGCCUUAGAUAUAGGUUCUAAGUUGAGUAUUACAUUAAUCUCAAAAUCAAUUUCUCUCUUGGGAGGUAGACCUAAUAAGUCAUUUGAAAACACAUCUGAAAAUUCUCUUGCAAUUGGGAUAUCCUCAAGUUUUAUCUCUUUCUUACUAGAGUCUACUAUAUAAGUCAGAAAACAUUCACAUCCCUUCCUAAUUGCUCUCCAAGUUUGUAUGGCAGAUAAAAUGGGUAGAGACUUCUUCUUUGGUUUUCCUCAACACCCUUGAAAAGAUAAAGGUGGAAUGUUUGGGGUUUAAAAAUCAACACUUUUACACAUACAAUCUAUAUGGGCAUAAUUUUGUGAUAGCCAAUCCAUACCUAAGAUAGCAUCAAAUUAUAUUCAAUUACACUAGAUUUGCCUUAAACUCUCUCCCACCUAAAUCUAAAGUACAACCUUCAUACAUAAGGUGAGAAACUAAAACUUUUCCCCCGGGAAUGGCUACACGAUACGGGUCAUCCAAAACACAGGGUUUAAUAUCUAACUCUCAUGCAAACUUCUUUGAAAUGAAAGAAUGGCAAGCCCCACAACCAAAUAACACAUCCGCUGGAAGAGAAUUAAUCAUUUCCAUACUUGUCACAACAUCCUCUACUCCUGCUGCUUCUUGUUCAGUCACCUUAGAGAUUGUGUAAGGUCGAUCUGCACUAGAAUUCAAGCUAUUUCCUAGCCUAUUGUUGCCUCUAGUUUGCUUAGAAUUCGGGCAAUUACUCACUUUAUGCCCCAUUUCUCCACAACUAAAACAAGCUCCCGUUUUCCACCUGCAUUCUCCCGAAUGAACCCGAUGACAAUAAUCACACAACUUAGAUGGGUUAGUAGGUAGAUACCUUGGAAAAGGUUGUUGAGAAGAAUUAGCCUAUUGCGAAACUAUAGGUCUUGGUAACGGUGCUUGUCGGGGAGGUUGCAUUGGUCGAAGAGGUUGCAUUACACGAGAAGGCUAACCAUGUUGACGAAGUUGGCCUUGCAUUACGAUUUAUCUAUUUCUCCUUUGUCUCGUCUCUUCAUCCUCCUGAAGAAUGUCUUGUUCAACAUCUAAACUAGCUUCAUACAUUUGGUCACAAUUGGCAUAGAAAUUUUCAGAUAUUUUUGAUUGAAUCUGACUAUUCAAUCCUCCCUUAAAGGAGACCAUCUUCAUAGUCUCAUCGGCCAUUGUAGAAGGGACGAAGCAUCCCAAGGAGAGAAAAAUAGUGUUACUCACCCACAGACAUGGAACCUUGAUUAAGGUUAUUGAAUAUUCGAAUAUUUUGAACUCGAAUAGCUGGUGGAAAGUAAUGCUGUAGAAACAUCUUUUUGAACUCAUCCCAUGUCAAAGUACAACCUGAAGAAACCAUGGUCAGGGCUACACCAUCCCACCAUUUCUCUGCUUCACCAAGAAAGAUGUCACUACUUGAGGUCGAAUAUCUUCUGGCACCAUCAUAGUUUGGAAUUUGUUCUCAAUUUGGGAUAACUAUCUCUCUGCCACAUUCAAGUUUGGACCUCCAUCAAAAGUAGGCAAAUAGACCUUGCUAAACUCCUUGAAAUGGUACUUAACACUAACCCAUACCUUGCUCUCUUUCUUCUUGUUGUUGUUGUUGAUAUUGCUGCCAUCCAUGCAUGAACUAAUAUGCCACAGAUAAGGUAGUUGGAUCUAAUUUUAUUAUGACACCCAAACUUUUGCAUUUUAGCCCCAUAUGUGGUAAACUAAUUUCAUUAACUCUACCAUGACAUCUUAUCUUUUAUAAUUUAGUCUCGUAUAUGAUAAAUCGAUAUCAUUAAUUCUAUUAUGGCACCCUAUCCUUUGCACUUUAUCCUAUGUUUUUUUCAUUAGCAAAAUGCGGAAGGUAUUGUAAUAAAAAAAUGUAUAUAUAUUUUAUAAUUGAUCCAAAUUUAGUUAAUAACUUGGUAUAAAGUUAAAAAAUAUCAUGGAUUCCCUAUCCAGUUCUCUUGACAACACCUAGAAAAUUAUUGAUUAGCAUAGUAGGAAAACAAUGGCAAAGAAGAAUAAAUUUUAAUAUGAAAUUAAGUAAAGUCUUGACAAUUGGAUGGCUAGAGUUUAUUAUUAAUUACACUAGUCACAUUGUUUAUGGUUUAUGAAUCAGUACUUGUACUAAAUACAUUUAGUGUUUCAUGCAUGUAUUAGCAAACUAUUUUGGUUAUUUGAUCAACUAAACAUAUUGUUAGGUCUUGUCAGACCAUAAUUCGUACAUAAUUGACAAAAUUAUUAAAUUAAAACAAAAAAUAUUUACAUUAAAAGAUUUUUUUUGAAUCAUAAACAUAUUUUUAAUAAGCUUUUUAGUUUUUGAACAUUAUUUUUUUGUAGAGAUAAAAAAACCUAUGUUAGUAAAAAAAAUUAUCAAAAAACACUAAAUUUUCAUAUUCUAAAAUUUUAAUACAACAAAUAAAGUUUUAAUAUAACUUGUGAGCUAACAACUCAAAAUAAUAACCAAUUUUAAUUACACAGAGAUGGGGGAAAAAAGAGAGAUAUUAGAGAAGGCAUUGUUUUUGUAAAGAAAGGUCCAAAUAGUUUGUAUAAAAGUCACUUGAAAGUGUUAUUUUUUGGCUGAAGCUAAAAUGGAAGCGGGAAUUGAAAAUUGAAAGAGUAGAGGCGGGUGAACAAAAGAAGCAGAAACGACGUCAUUUUAGCAAGAGUUAAACAAAAACACUCAUAACACUUAGAAAAAUUUCGGACAAAACUUGCUUUCCCCCUUCUUGCCAACUUCGGACACUACAUCUUCUCCUUCUCUCCAUUAUCAUCUUGCUGAAAUUAUCCAGAAAAUCAUUUUAACCCAUCAUUUUCAUCCGUAAUUUCAGCUACCCAAAAGAUUUGGGCAGCUUUAGUGGAGUUGUAGAUAGCAAAAAUCCUUAAGUCGGGGUAGCACUUGCUUGCUGGCAAGAACACAGAAAAUUGACCAUGAAUUUUUGGGGAAAGCCAAAGUUUGAAGACUGAAUCUUAAGGAAACAAGAGCUAAGGUUGUCACAGCAUAAUUUGAGGUAAAUAAUCUGUUACAUUUUUCCAUCUAGUUUCGAUAUUUUCUGUCAAAUGUAGGUCGAGUGAGCUGAAUCUUGAGUUUAUGGGCCCAAUCUUCCACUUUAAUCUUUCAAUGGUGAGGGAUUGAGAGAGUUUUGAAAGUGAAACAAAGUGAAAGGGAAGCUAUCCUUUGUGAACUGUCCAGACCCCCUAAGAAAAUUCAUGUUUGAAUUUUGGAUGUGGAAAUUUUACUUGUAGCGAACUAUUUUUCUGAGUUUGAUAUGUUAAAAAUUGAAACAUUUUUGUGUAGUUGAUAGCGAUUUAUUAUAAUUGUUGGAGAAAGUUAAUAACAUGUGCUGUUUUUUAUGUAAUUUUUCAGUUCUAAUUCUAUUUGUAAGAGUAGCUACAUAUUAUAAUGGCUUACAUACAACUGAUUUUGAGGUAAUAGUGCUUUAAUAUUCUAUAAGUCAAGUAUCCUUUUGGGAGCCAAUUCGAUAUUUAGUUUCUAAGAGCUUAGAAGAAAUUUUGAUCAGUUUGGCGACUUCUAGAUAUUGAGGGAAUGAGAAGCUAUGCAAAGCGAGUGGAUUAUGUUGUUGGUAAGUGGAAGUGAGGCAGAUUGUAUAAUCUUAACUUAUGGCCUUUGACUUUAGAAGUUAACUGUAUAAACUUACCAUUACCACACACUAAUUAGACAUUGUUUACUCUGAUGUGGAGAAACAAACUCCUAAAUUGAUAAAUUCAUGUUAUUGUUAUGAUUGUUUUAUUGCACAUUAUGGUGUUAGUGUUGCAGUAGAGUUUACUAUGGCUUUUUAAGAUUCCUCCCUAUUGAAUUAGAGUUUUUGACCUGGAUUUACCAACUGAACGUGAAAGAUUCUGCAACAAAUAAAUGUUAGCUUUGGAGUAGAAAAGCAUUGUUGUCCACCCUGUAGUUGUAUUUGUUAGAGAAGUUAUUAAGGGGACCAAGAAUAAGCCAAUCUGUAAUGGCUUAUACAGUUAAAUAAGCCAUUAUGAAUAAAGUAGUAGUUUAGCCAUUACAAUCUGUAAUGUCAUCUGCACAUUAAUGCUUUUGCAUUGUAAUGAGAAAGUGGACUCUAUUUUGAAAAUUAUGCACUAUGUUUAAGUUUGGAGCAGCAUUAACUCAUUAUUCUGCGGCAAAUGUCUUAUACAUUUGCACGGGUAAUUAGCUCUUCAAUGCAUGUUUACUUGCUAUGUAGAGACAUUUUCACUCUGAAAUGCAACCUAAUCUGUGAUGUUUGCUUGUAAGAGAGGUGCUGCAUGUUUAUUUGAAGAGUAUAGUGCUCAAACUCGCUCAAACGAUGACUAAUGAUAGUGGUGUUUCUGACAUAAUACAUGUAAGUGUACUUUGAAACUUCUUAUUAAUUAACUCUAAAGAUUUUGAAGCUAUUCUGUGGCAUGUCAUCUUAGACAAGUUGUGUUUGACUUUGAUAUGAUUCAUAGCCUCCAAAAGAUGUGGAUUCCAAUUUGGUCUGGUUUGUUGGAGUCUCAAGAUUCUCCUAACUUCAACUUUUAUUUCUUUCCCUUUUUUCUUUGGCUUCUUUAUAUGGAAUUUUUUUGUAAAGUUAUUUUAUUGAGCAACCAAGUUAAUGCCGCAUCAAAGAUUUCAUUGGCAAGUUACUUAUUAAGUUACUAGCAGGCAUAACUGUGGCGUUGCGCGGUGGAUUAGAUAGCAUGUAUGCCUAUUUAGGUAUGAAUAAAUAGACAUUACAUGAAUAGUGAUAAUGUCACGGAAUUAAACAUCUUUUUUUUCAAUACGGAAUUAAAUACCUUGUGGUUACAUUAUCUAAGUUUUAUUUGUUUAGAUCCAUAUUCCGCGCUAAUUAAUCAUUAAUAUAUCCAUGAACGUCUAGAAGAAGGUAAGCAUUUAAUCGAAUUAAAAUUUAAUAAUAAUAUAAAAACAAUAUAGAAAGCAAUAUAACUUUGGAGAUCAAGAAUGUAAAUUUAAAAUUUAUGAUAGACAGAAUAAGGGGUAGAAAUUGGAACUCAAAACAAGGUUAAUUCUAUUUAAGGCAUUUAGAAGUACCAAACCAGAAAUUGGCACACUGCAUCGGACAAAAGCAAUUGCAUUAAUGAUUUGGAGUCUACUUACAUAAUAUUUAGAUCCUGAACAGGCAAUGCUAAGGGUACAUAAUUUCUAUAUGUUAAUCUCAGUUCUUAGCUUUUGAUGAUUACAAAACAAAUGGAUGUUGCUAAUAUCUCCUCAAAGACCUUUUUAGAAAUGAAGCAAAUUAGGUUCAAAGAUGAACCUGUUGUUGAAGCUGUCGGACACACAAAAAAACUGGAUCAGACGUUCGACAAUCAUUGAACAACUUCGGAUGUAUAAUGAACUCCAUUACCGGACAUCCGAAAGAAAUCAAACACCUCCUUAAGUUCACUGACCUCGAUCGGACGUAGAACAUUAAAGCACCGGACGUCCACAGAAUUGAAGAAGGAUUCUCAAACUUUACCAUCUGCUUUCGGGGGCAAACUUUGGAGGUACCGGACGUCCGAAAGAAUUAAAGAAAUUUUUUCUUACUCUCUGCCUGCUGUCGGACACAAGAAACAAGACUACCGGAUGUCCGACACUACCAACGGUUAGUUGAUUUUUCAGCUACCUUCUAUUCGUUAGAAGCUUAAAUGAAGGAAUUUUUUGGUCUCCUAUCAAUAGAGCAAAGUCAACCACUUCAAAUUACUUUUGCUCAUUGAAACUACAAAAGAUCGAGAGCAAUUUUAGUGAGAAAAUUCUCUUCAAAGAAGAUUUGUACUCUUAGUUGUGUAGAUUUCGUACAAGCUUUUCUUGUGUGAGAAAAUUACUUCAAUAGUGUAGCUUUGUAAGGGUUAUCCGAGUGAUAAUAAAACUUGCUAACUUGACCAAGUGUGGUUUGGAGCAAGGAGAAAGUGAUCCUUUUUUUGUGCACAUAGAUUGGUUGUAAUUGAUUAACUUGAAGAAACUUACUCUAUAAAGUGAUAUUCAAACUCAAGAGGAGUUUGAAAUUUGGUUUGCUAUUCUAUCUCUUUUAUUUACUAUACUGCAAUAUAAAUUGUUCAUCUCUUCUACUCACGGACAUUUGUACUUUCUCAUUAUUUGUUCCAUUGUAUGGUCAUCUAGAAAGAGGGUAAAUUUCAUAUUCAACCAAAAAGUGUCUCAUAAUUUGGUUAGUUUUUAAUUUACCUAAUUCACCCCCGUCUUACGUUGUUUUCGAUCCUUACAAUUGGUAUCAGAGUUUGGUCUCCUAGAGAUUAAGCUCAAUCGGCUUUGGAAUAAAAAUGACAACCAACAAUGCCAUGUUUUUUGAAGGAUAAUCUGUCACUAGACCCCCAAUGUUUAAUGGAUCCAAUUAUGUGAAUUGGAAGGAAAGAAUGAUUAUGUUCUUGUAAUCUAUUGAUAUUGAACUAUGGUUUAUUGUUAAUGAAGGUUCAUUUGAAUAACUCUACAAUUGAUGAAGCCACUCAUAGACUAAGACCAAAAAUCAGAAAUGAGUUGACUGCUGAGAAUAAAUCUCAUCUCACCUUGAAUACCAAAGGUAUGAAUGUGUUGUAUAGUGCUUUAGAUUCAAAUGAGUCUAUUAGAGUCAAAGGUUGCCGAUCUGCAAAAGAAAUUUGGGAUAAACUAAGAGAGAUCCAUGAAGGAAGUGAGAAUGUAAGAGAAUAAAAGAAAUCAAUCCUAGUUAUUAAGUAUGAAUCAUUUAAGAUGGAACCUUAUGAAAACAUUGAUAAGAUGUAUUGUAAAUUCAAUGAUCUCAUUAAAGAUUUAGAGGUGCUGGAAAAUGAAUACACCUUAGGUGAGAAAAAUAGAAAGAUUUUGAAUGCACUGACCAAAGAUUGGGAGAGUAAAGUGACUUCCAUUGAAAAAGCUAAAGAUCUAAAUACUAUGUCUAUUGAAUCUCUCAUUAAUUCUCUAACUUCUUAUGAGUUGAACCUUAAGUCUAAGGUACAAGAGGAGGAAGAUGCAAAAGUGAGAAGGAGCAUUGCUCUAAAAACUUCUCAAGAUGAAGAUGAUUCAACUUCCUUAGAUGGAGAUAAUGUAGAAGUUGAUGACAAUGAUCUUGCUCUUAUCACAAGGAGUUUUAAAAGAAUCCUCAACAAAAGGAGAUUUAGAAGAAGAGGACCUAGCAAUACAUUUUCUAAUCAGUUCAAUAAUUCAAGAAACAAAGGAAAAUAAGAGACUAAUAAAAAGCAAGCAGACAAAUACUUUGAAUGCGGCCAACUUGGACACUACAUGAGUGAGUGUCCAAUGAAGAAGAAGAAAGAAGGAAAAGUUGAACGAAAAUCAAAGUUCAACAACUUUCAAAUUACAUGGAAUGAUUGUAACUCAGAUGGUGAUAUCGAAGAGAAAGAGGAAUCUGCUCAAAUGGCUUUCAUGGCCAUUGAUGAUGAUGAGGUAACUACUUGCAACUGUCAACCUGUUGGUGAUGAUGAAUCUAAAGAUGAUGUUGAGUCUUUCAUUGAGAGAUUGCAUAAUAGCUUAAAAGAAUCGUAUGCUAGAAACAAGGAACUAAAAUAGAAAAUUAAUUUUUUGAUUCAAAACAAUGCAAAUCUUUUUCGACAAAACAAAAUGCGGAAAGCUGAAAAUGACUGCUUGAAAAAGGAUGAAAAUGUUCUACUUUUUGAGCUUGAUAGAAAAACAAAGCUGUGUGAAUUGUUCAAAAAGGAACAAGGUGACUUGAAAAGAAGAAUGGAUGGCCUAGAUAAAUUGCUUAAACAUACGAAACAAGACUGCUUUCAAAAGAGUGAAUCAAAACCUCACUUUGACAUUCACAAGAAAAGGUUGAACUCUAAUGCAAACGAAUUUAACAUCUAUAAAAGAAGGUAAGUUAGAUUUAUUAAACCUGUCUUUGUAGGAAACUCACUGACUAUGUGUAGCUUUUGUUGUCAAGUUGGUCACAUGAAAAAUAAUUACUAUGUAAGAAAGAAUAUGAGAAAUGACAUGAAAUGCAUGUGGAUAGUUAGACAUAAUGUUAACUCUCAAGGACCCAAAAAGUAGUUGGGUACCAAAUAUCAUCUUGUGAACUUUUGUGUAGGUGAGAUUGGUGAAUGUUAUUAAAGAAUCAAAAUGGUUCAUAGAUAGUAGAUGCUUAAGGCAUAUGACUGGUGAUCCCUCACAGUUCAUCAAACUCAAGUCAAAAUCAAGUGGAAAAGUAACAUUUGGACAUGAUAACAAAGCCAAAACAGUUGGAGUUAGAGAUGUUGGUAAGAAUGGCCAAACUUUUGUUCACAAUGCUCUUCUAGUUGAUAAUCUGAGUUAUAAUUUGUUGAGUGUUAGUCAAUUGUGUGACAGAAAUCUGUUUGUGCUAUUUAAAAGGCAUGAAUAUCUUAUUCUUGACUCAAAAUUUAACAUUAUUUUCAAAGAAAAAAGAGUGAAUGACAUUUAUGUAGUUAUUCUAGAAAAUAUUGAUUCUUUCAUCCUUAAAUGUCUUAAAACUGCAGAUGAGGAUCUUUGGUUGUAACAUAGAAGAUUUUGUCACUUCAAUAUAAAUUUGUUAAAAAAAAUUUCAAAAAAGAACUUGUUAGAAAUUUAUCAAAAAUUAACUUUGAAAAAGACAAAAUUUGUGAUGCUUGUCAAAUUGGAAAACAAGUAAAAGUUUCUUCAAAUCUAAGAAUUGUGUUUCUACUUCAAAACCACUGGAUCUUUUACAUCUUGAUUUAUUUGGUCCUACACAAAUUGCUAGUUUGGGUGAUAAAAUAUAUUAUUUGAUUAUUGUUGAUGAUUAUUUUAAAUACACUUGGGUUAUAUUUCUUGCUCAAAAGGAUGAUACUUUCAAAAGUUUUGUUUCAUUAUUUGCAAAAGUUCAAAAUCUGAUUGGAUUGAAAAUUAUCAAGAUUAGAAGUGACAAUGGCUCGGAAUUUAAAUUUUGUGGUUUUCCAGAAUUUUGUGAUAACAAUAGAAUCACAAUGAGUUUUCAAUUGCUAGAACUCCUCAACAAAAUGGUGUUGUUGAAAGAAAAAAUAGAACUCUUCAAGAAACCGUACGAACUAUGUUAAAGUGAAUGUAACUUACUAAAAUAUUUUUGGGCCGAAACCGUUAAUACCACAUGUUAUGCUAUGAAUAGAGUUCUUUUGAGACCUAUUUUAAACAAAACCUCUUAUGAGUUAAUGUUUGAUAAAAAGCCAAUUGUUAGUUAGUUCAAAGUUUCUGGUUGCAAAUGCUUUAUUUUAAAUAUCAAGAAACACUUUGGAAAGUUUGAAAAGAAAUCUGAUGAAGGUAUUUUUUUGGGAUAUUGUGAUAACAAAAGAGGCUUUAGAGUCUAUAAUAGAAGGACUCUUGUUAUUGAAGAAGCUAUACAUGUCACCUUUGAUGAAUCUAAUGAUAAUAUUUUCAAAAGUAGUUGUGAGGAUGAUGAUGUAGGUGUCCAAGAAGGACUCAAGAAACUCACAAUUCAUGAUCAAAACGAUACUCCACAAGAAGAGAGCUCAAAAAAAGAUAAUCCCCAAGAUAGUCAAGCAUUAGAAGAAAAUGACAAUCAUGGUGAUGCACCUAGGAAUCUUCCAAAGGUUUGAAAGUUUGUUCAAAAUCAUCCUAAGGAAUUCAUUAUUGGUUAUCCAUCCGAAAAGGUAAGAACUCGUUCCUCUUCAAAACAAUUGAUGGACAAUUUUGCUUUGGUCUCACAUUUUGAACCAAAAAAUAUUAUUGAUGCAUUGAAAGAUGAAAACUGGAUUUUAACUAUGGAAGAGGAACUAAAUCAAUUUGAAAGGAACAAGAUGUGGACAUUAGUUGAAAAAUCUCAUGAUCAUCCUAUUAUUGGCACAAAAUAGGUGUUUAGAAAUAAAAUGACUGACAAAGGUGAAGUGGUGAGAAAUAAGGCUAGACUAGUUCUUAAGGGGUAUGCUCAAGAAGAAAGAAUAGACUUUGAUGAAACAUUUACUCCCAUAGCAAGACUAGAAUCUAUUAGAAUGUUUUUGGCAUUUACACGUUUCAAGAAUUUUAAAUUAUUUCAAAUGGAUGUUAAAAGUACUUUCUUAAAUAGUUUUAUUGAUCAAGAGAUAUAUGUUGAUCAACCUCCCGGUUUUGAGAAUGAAAUGUUUCCAAAUCAUGUGUUUAAACUCUUAAAAACUUUGUAUGGUUUAAAACAAGCUCCAAGAGUAUGAUAUGAAUGCUUAAGUGGUUUCUUGAUUGAAAAUGGUUUUGAAAGGGGCAUUAUAAACACCACUUUUUUCACCAAACGAUGUUCCAAUGAUCUACUAAUUGUGCAAAUAUAUGUUAAUGAUAUUAACUUUGGUGCUACUAAUGAGUAUUUGUGUAUGAAUUUUUUCAACUAUUAUGCAAAAAGAGUUUGAGAUGAGCAUAAUGGGAGAAUUGAAUUUUUUUCUUGGGUUUCAAGUGGAACAAACUCGAGAAUAAACAUUCAUUAAUCAAGCUAAAUACACCAAGGAACUGCUCAAAAGGUUCGGUAUGGAGGAAUCAAAACAAGUUGGAACACCAAUGUGCACAUCUAUCAAACUUGACAAGGAUGAAGGAGGUAUAAAUGUUGAUGAAAAGAAGUAUAGAGGUAUGAUUGGCAGCUUACUUUAUUUAACUGCAAGUAGACUUGAUAUCAUGUUUGCUAUUUACUUGUGUGCUGGUUUCCAAUUUUGUACAAAAGAAUCUCACUUGCUUGCUGUGAAAACAAUUUUUAAAUAUUUGAAAAGAACAUUGAACUAUGGUCUUUGGUAUCCUAGAUGUCAUGAAUGUCCUUUAUAUGGUUUCUCGGAUGCUGACUUUGGUGGAUGUAGAAUAGAUAGAAAGAGUACUAGUAGUACAUGCCACUUUCUAGGUAAUUGUUUAGUAUUUUGGUUAAGUAAGAAAUAAAAUCCUAUUUCAUUGUCUACGGCCGAAACGGAAUAUGUUACCACUAGUGCAUGUUAUACUCAAUUGAUGUAGAUGAAAAGUACCUUGAAUGAUUUUGGAUUAGUAUAUGAUUGUGUGCCUGUGUGUUGUGACAAUACAAAUGCGAUAAAUUUGACAAAAAAAUCUCAUUCAACAUUCUGGGAUAAAGCAUAUUGACAUAAAGCAUCAUUUCAUUAGAGAUCUCCUCCAAAAAGAUGAAAUUUGUGUGCAAUAUGUUUGUUCAAAGGAUCAAAGUACUAACAUUCUCACAAAAGCCCUUUCACUAGAUCAGUUUAUAUUUUUAAGAACAAAAUUGGGUAUUAUUGAAAAGUUUUUUUGAAAAAUUAUCUGGUCACACUUUAUCAAACGUCUGACAGUGUUCUUGAUCACUUUUCCAGAAAAUUUGGUUUUGGACGAUAGUGUCGGACGCUUCACUUCGUUCAACCGUCCAACACUCUAAAUAUGCUUGUUAUAAGUCAAUUUUCUCCUUCAUUCAGUUUAUUUUCUAUCCGUUAUAUCAGACGCAACUUCUCAUCCUCUCCUAUUUUCAAAUUUCAAAAUUCGUCUAUCUUCUGAACAAGUUCCAAGAAAUUAAUUAGUUCAAAGCCUUUACACUCUUUUUACCCGUUCAUAACCCCUCAUAACUUCCUCUAACUGCCAACUGGUCUAUAAAUCCCAAUUUUCACCCGAAACCCUAGUCACUCAAAAGUCACUCUCUCUGGAUGAUUCAAGCCCUCAUUAUAAUUAAUACCGCAUUUUUAGUCAGUCUCAUACAUAUUUGCAUCAUUCUCCAUAACAAAAACAAUCUGCAUUUCAUCAUGGUAAGAAUUAGGGGAGGAUCUGUCAGUGCAAGACGCACCACCAGGUUCAGGUUGAGGGAUGAAGAUACUGAAAUUAUUGAGCCCUCUACCACUAAAUUUCCAAAAAGGGCGACAAAAAAACAUGGUGGAAAAGGGAAAGGUUCGGCCCAAAAAAAACAUUCAAAGGAAUGGCAAACUACUUCCGCUGAGCAAACUGCAUUACCUCUUAUCAGUGAUAGUGAAGAGGAACUGGAGCAGCUUACUAAUGUUGACGCAUCUGUCACGAAAUCACCCAGAAAAGGGACUGAACCUCAUUGUAAAAAGGGGAAAUGGUCUGCUAAAAAGAAUGGGACAGUUCAAACUAAGGAAAGGCAAACUGCUGAUCCUUCUGUUGAGCAAAUUGAGGAACAGCAGACUGUUGAGCAAAAUGCUAAGAAUCAGCAAGCUACUGAGACUUCCACCAGAAAGUCACCAAGAACAAGGUCUGGUGGACAGACCGAUAUACAUGAUACUCCUCGAAAUGGAAAGAGGAAACGAACUGCCAGGGAGCAACCUGAGGCUCAGAUUGCAGAGGAAUCUACCUCAUUGCCAAAGUUCAUUGAUGAUGAUGCCCGAGAUAGGUUCAAAUGGGUUUCUCAGAAGGACUUCAUCACCCAAUGGACAAUUAUCCCUCAUGAAUUCCGUAAGUUUGACCUUGAACCUGUCAUUAAGCUCUUUGAAUUCCAAAAAUGGAUUCAUAUUUUGACCAUUCCCAACACCUACUACCCUGACAUGCUUCAUCAAUUUUUUGUCAAUCUCAGGAAGGGUAAAUCCCAUACUGAUCUAGUCUCACGAGUAAAUUCUGUUGAUAUAGAAUUAAAUCCUGAUAUUGUCAACACUGUUAUGAAAAUCAAAAUUGAAUAUGGUUUUAAAGGAAAAAUUGCUAACUUUUUCUCAUAUGAACAAUUUCUUUCUGCCUAUAAUCACUUUCAUAUUGCAAAACUGAUGACUUAUUUUCAAACUCAUUUUAAUACUCCUACUGAGGCAAGAUUGGAAGAUCUCAAUCCUCAAAAUUUGAUCAUCUUCUCUAUAAUUUCAUCUAUUAGUUCCUACUGAUGGUUAUAGGACAAAUGCCAACAAAAUGGAGCUUUACCUGUUUUCCUGCUUUCUUGAAAAAAUUUGAAUUGAUUUCGGCUUUGUUAUGUGUAAAUUCUUACUCAAAAUCAGCACUGAUAGCCGUAGAAAACUUUCCUAUGAAAAAUUUCUGAUCCCAAUUUUUGCUCAUUUCAAAAUUCCCUUCACUGACAAAUCACCAAAAGAAAGUACAUCUAUUGUCUUUUCAAAGGCAUAUUUUGAAAGAAAAAAUCUGAUGUUUUUUGAUGGAAAAUGGUGCUACAAGGAAACUGUUUUGGAGACUAGGAGAAAGAAUCAUCAUGAAACACCUAUCUCCCCUAGGACUCCUCAAGAUCAGUCCAUGUAUAUUUCAUCCUUUACUAUCCAUCCUAGAAGGUUAGCCACUAAGCCCUCUUCAACUAACUCUGAGGUUAUUUCUUUGCUUGAAAAUCUCAAACAACACAUCCUACUCCUUGAAAAUAGUCUAAUGAUGACCGUGUCACCCGACCAACAAGCCACCUUCAUUGACAAAAGAAAUUUGCAUGUACCUCCUGUUCCUCAAGACAAUGAGAAUGUACACCAAAAGGGACCUAGAAUUGAGUCAACUGAGCAAACUCCUCGUACUGAAACUACUCUAGAGAUUCGUGCUUCCAGUUCUCAUCCACAGGACAAGGGAAAGGCUCCAGCAACUGAAGCGGAAACUGAAGAGGAUGAUGAUGAGGAAACUAAAGAGGAAGAAGUGGAUCCUGCUCAGUUUCGCCUAGCAAGAAGGAGGUCUGGAUCGUCCAAGAUUACAAUUUAGGCACCUCUAGGCUCGUGCACUUCAUGUUUAAGUAGGCAUCUCAUAUUAGACAUUUGCAUCUUCGGCAUUUUAACAUUUCAAGUACUCUGUACUCAAGAUUCUGGUUGUUUGGUUAACUCUUCUGGCUUAUAAACUAUUCGGUUAACUUCUCUAUGUUGAAUGGUUUCUAAUUAAUUUUGUUGGUUAUCUUUUUGGUUAAUUCUGUUUGCUUCUGGGUGCUUGGUAUCCCUGUGACUUCUGAUUUUUAACAUUGUUUGCUGAUAUUGGUGAUUGUUGAUUUUGUUGGAUAUUCUUGGUUAAUGAUGUUGUUGAUGACAUUGAUGUUGGAUACAGGAUUGGAAUUGGAUUUGAAUUGUAUUAAUGUCACUGGCUAUUAAGAUCUUCUAAUGAUGACAAAAAGGGGAAGAAAUGAUAACAAGUUACUACAGGAAAUGUAAUCUGGUAAAUACGUGAGGGGUAGCUAUUCUGAGGGAGAGUGUCUACCUUUUUUGAUUCAUUAAGUGAGGGGGAGUUUUUAACUUAAUUAUUUUCCUCCAUCCACUGUUUUGUCAUCAUCAGAAAAUGGGAGAUUGUUAAUCUCAGUUCUUAUCUUUUGAUGAUUACAAAACAAAUGGAUGUUACUAAUAUCUCCUCAAAGACUUUUUUAGAAAUGAAGCAAAUCAGGUUCAAAGAUGAAACUGUUGCUGAAGCUGUCGGACAUACAAAAAAACUGGAUCGGAUGUCUGACAAUCAUUGAGCAACUUCGAACGUAUGAGGAACUCCAUCACCGGACGUCCGAAAGAAAUCAAAACUCUUCCUUAAAUUCACUAAUCUCGAUCGAACGCAGCACCGGACGUCCGAUAGAAUUGAAAAGGAUUUUCAAACUUUACCAUCAACUUUCGGACGCAAACUUUGGAGGUACCGAAAGUCCAAAAGAAUUAAAGAAAAUUUUUCUUGCUCUCUGCCUGCUGUCGGACGUAAGAAACAAGACUACCGGACGUCCGACGCUACCAAUGGCUAGUUGACUGUUCAACUGCCUUCUAUCCGUUGGAAGCUUUAAUGAAGGAAUUUUUUGGUCUCCUAUAAAUAGAGUAAAGUCAACCACUUUAAAAUACUUUUGCACAUUGAAACUACAAAAGAUCUAGAGCAAUUUUAGUGAGAAAAUUCUCUUCAAAGAAGAUUUAUACUCUUAGUUGUGUAGAUUUCGUAUAAGCUUUUCUUGUGUGAGAAAAUUACUUCAAUAGUAUAGCUUUGUGAGGGUUAUCCGAGUGAUAGUAAAACUUCCUAAUUUAACCAAGUAUAGCUUGGAACAAGGAGGAAGUAAUCCUUCUUUUGUGCACAUAGAUUGGUUGUAAUCGAUCAACUUGAAGAAGCUUGCUCUAUAAAGUGAUGUUCAAACUCAAGAGAAGUUUGGAAUUUGGUUUGCUAUUCUAUCUCUUUUAUUUACUAUACUGCAAUAUAAAUUAUUCAUCUCUUCUACUCACGAGCAUUUGUGCUUUUUCAUUAUUUGUUCCAUUGUGUGCUCAUCUAGAAAAGAGGGUAAAUUUCAUAUUCAAUCAAAAAGUGUCUCAUAAUUUGGUUAGUUUUUAAUUACCUAAAUCACCCCUCUCUUAGGUUGUCUUCGAUUCUUAUACUAUAAUUUCUAUUCCACUGGCUCCAAAGAUCAAUACAGCAAUUGAAGUACGAGGCUGAGCAAGAAAGAACAAAAUGUCUCCGUCUUCUAACCUAUGAGCUAUAACAAAGUCACUCCAUCUUCGAUGAAAGCCAUCUUUUAUGAUUCCAAUAUUGUAACUUUUGGUUCCACUUGUUAGAACAAUAUCUAGAGUCCAAGGCUCAACUACAUUUAAUCAGUGUGCUCUAGAAUUUUCUACAAGCAAAAAGCAAGGCAUAAGAAUGUAAAGGAAUUAUGUUGCAAAAUAGAAGGAUUUGUCUUAAAAUAUAUAUAUGUAUAUACCGUGCUAUAUCUAAAUCUUUGAGUAUAAACUUAGAGCGCAUUUAGCACCAUUAGAUCAUGCCUAAUGAAUUGAUUGAUGGAUGAUGCAACAAAUCCUAAACUCACAUCUAUAGCUAUACCAUCUGUAGCACAGCAACAGGUGUGUUAGUAAAGUAUAUCAAGCGACAAAAAAAAAUUUAUUCAUUGUGAAAUGGAAAUUUAUGCUCCUUCUAAGAUCAGUGGUGUGUAUGGGAGCAUUGGCAAGUGCAAUGUUCAUCAUGUCCACAUUAGAUUGUGAGUAGCAGAGAAAGCAAAAACUUCGUAGAUGAAGUUCCCUCUAUUUCAAGAAAAAAAAAAUCAUAUUGCCUGGAGAGAUGUAGUUAUCACUGCAGAAAUUGUUCCAUUGUUUUUCAAAACAAGAAUUCAGAAUUUUUAUUUCCAAUGAGCCAAACCAUGAUAAAUUGUCCAUCUUCAAAACAAUUAGCAGCUACUAUUUCAUCAGGGAUCGCUUGAAAUGAGAUAGACAGGUUAGGUAUGUAUUAAGGGAAAAAGUGAGUAUCAAUUUAACAGAUGACUUAUUUUCUGGUGCUUGUGUAGAACAAAACAUAACACCACGGUUGUCCACUAUCCAUGAAACCAAUCUCUUCAUUUUCUGUUCAAGAGAACAAAAGAAAUGCAAUUAUAUGUGUAGCUCAUUGAGUAGUCCACAUUCUAUAAUGAUGCAAAAAAUGUAUAAAAAGCCACUUGUUUCUACGAAUGCCAUUGAGGUGAUAUAUGUAUUAUUCUAUAGCCACUGCUCAAUCAAUGCAAAUGAAAAUAGUGAGGGUUCACCCAUAUAUUUUAGAACCAUUGGACAUGCUUCAAGGAAAGACCUCUUCACAUAAUAAGUUGUCGCUCCAUGAACCUUGUUUACAGCAGUUGCUGCAAGAAUCUUUUCAUGGUCAAAGGUGCAUAGAUAAAAUUUAAUAUUGUUUCCCUUCUCAACUGCCUCCUAUUUCUAAAAGGGUCUCUUGGUUUAACCAUAGGUGGUUAAUAUCAAGAGUAUUUUAGUUCUAUAAUUUCAGCAUAUCUCAAAGCCGAUCACUAAAGCAAGGAGCAAAAACAAGGGAAAGUUUGCUGUGCUACCAAAGGAAGAAGAUGUUGAAUGUAUUUUAAAGUGAGAAUGAGCAUAGCAUGUUUAAAUAAGAAGUCAAUAUACAAGGACAAGCAUUAAGUACAAGAGCAUUAUAAUUGGUUGAAAAAAUAUGAAACCUCCAAAUAGAGCAAAGCAGGAAAUACCUCACUCAAUACUUCCAAACAAAGCCACCAUACAUAUAAUUAUUUAUAAUUCACAAUACUUGGGAAACAAGCAAAUAUUUUGAAAAUUUUCCCAACAAGACUUGCAUUACUGUAACCACAAUGAUCUCAAUCAUUAUGUGUUACAUAGUUGACCCAACUAUUCUAUUUUAACAAAGACAGAUUGUUUUAAAUAUUCUUACGAAAAUGAUAGAACACAAGUGGCAUGUUAGCCUUAAAAAUUUAUUGAAAAAAUACAAUAAUUUGACCUUUACUUGAAUGUCCAAUCACCAAAACUCAAAUACGAUACUGGAAAUCCUAAAAGCUUAAGCCCAAAUUAUAGAUCAAGGCCUUUACUCCAUAUCAGCCAAGUAAUAAUCAUAUAAUACCAUCCAACUAAAUAAAAAAUUAUGCUCACAUAAGCUUUCAAGAGCUGUACAUAUUGAGAAGUAAAUCUGUCAAGGAUUUUUAGAUAAAAUAGAACUUAAUCUGUCAAGGAUCAUCUCCAGCUAUUGUCUCACAAGUACAUCAUAACCAGAAGGAAAAGCAACUCAUCUACAUUUUUUCUUAGAAACCUCCAUUGUUUCAGAAGUGCAAGUGUAAACAGGCUCAUCCCUAGCCAUUAUCUCACAACCACAUCAGGACUAGAAGGAAAAGUAAAGGAAAUGGCCAAUGGAAAAUUCGAAAAAAAGCUACAAUUCUCAGAAAGAUUCAACCAUGCUCAAGUAAUACUAACAUAAUACCAUCCAAGUAAAUAAAAAAAAUUUUGGCUCACAGAAGCUUCCAAAAGCUAUACACAUUGACAGACCCACAACAUGAAAGACCCAGACCAGAAUAAUGCCAAGCAAAGACAUAGCCACAACCUAAAAAGGCAAGUCCAAAUAUAAGUAAAUAUGAAAAGUUUCUGCUUACAAAGGCUGCCAAAAUCUAUGCACAUUAACAAAAUUAUAACACAAAAGACCUACGAGAAUAAACCAAUGAAAAACAAAAUCACAACCAGAAAAGAUGACAAGAGGAUAGAAAUGCAAAAUACAAAGAUAAAUGAGCAAAGAAUAGAAAAAUAUCCAACAAACAUCAAACCAAUGGACAGAACAAUAGUGAAAAUGGUAAAAAGAAACAUAACCAAAUAUCCAUGAGCAAACGAAAAAUAGAAAAAAUAUAAUUUACCUAACGGGAGAAAUUACAAUCAGAGCUCGCAAGUAAAGGAUCUGUAGAAAAGAGGAGCUUGUCAAAAUGCCAAAAAGAAAAUGAAGGAAAUAGAGGAAAAUACUAAAAUAACUGAUGAGAAAAAGAAGGAGAUGAUGGGGGGAAUGUAGACAGAGCAAUAACAAAAAAUGGUACCCAAGAGCAAAGAAAAACAAAAAUAUUACAAAUUACCUGACAAAAGAAACUAUUAUUAGAGCUCGCAAGUAAAGGAUUUGCAGAAAAGAGGAGCUUGUUACAAUUUUUUUUUUUUAAAAGGACAAGGGAACCAAAGGAAAUAUUGAAAUACCUGAUAAGAGAAAAGAGAUGGAAAUGCAAGACACGGAGGUAAGCGAAGAAAACAGAAGACGAUGGAAAUGUAGAACACAGCAACAAACCUCCAAGAGCAGGACACACCUAAGCUUCACAAAGGCAGAGCAAUAACCACAUAGAAUCUGCGAGACAAAGAUGAAGUGAAAGGCAAAGAAGCUGAAAAGUGCCUGACGAGAGAAGCCACAAACAAAAUUCUCAAGACAAAGAUGAAGCGUGAAAACGGAGAUGAGAAAACAGAUGAGAAACUCUAGGAAAAAAGGGCACAACCAAUUUGUCUUGGAAUUCAGACCACAUUGGAAGAGACAGCCAUGAUAAAAUGCGCCAAUUACCAUUCUGAAGAAAGCUUUCCUGGUAGCUCCAGGCAAUGCAGCGGUGAGAGCCAAGAAGGAAAGGAACUCGUACGGUCAUCUGUUCCAAAGCAGAAAACCCAUGGUCGACCCAAUUACCCGAACCAUUCCAAUGGAGCAUCUAGAAGUGCAAACUUACACAACUCACAUGCUCGGCACAUGACAACGACGAAACCCCUUGGUGCAUUGUAUGUUAUGUUGAUAAGAAAAAAUGCACCUAUAUGAUUCAUCUUCAUAUCUUGCUGUCUUGUUUAAGUUUGCAUUACUGUUCAUGCAUCCGAUGUAUGUUCUUCCAUUUUUUUUCUUCCAUGUGUAUGUCAAACCUAUGGUACUCAUGCACUUAAUUGUUUUUUCAAAAUCUUAAGAGUAACAAGUUUAUUCUACUGAUUUCAUGAACUUGCAAAACACAAAAAAUUUAUAAAUGCAGGGAAAUGAUCAUAAAGUUCAUAAAACACAAUAAAGGAAAAAAGAGCAAGGAAAAAACACAAAAUAAAUGCAAAAAAAAAGUGGAAAAAAGUACAAGGGCAAGAAUCAUAAAAAGAAUGGGUAAGAAAGAAAGAUGCAGCACUUGCACUUGCACGAUAAGCCUUUAAAUCUUUGUUCACUACAAUGAAAAUCUCAAGCAAUGAUCAAUUACAUUAUUGUUAUCCUCUAGGCCAUUAUAUCAAGCUAGCUUACAUAAUGUACUUUGCCAAAUCAUUAGUCUCCUAUUGGGAGUCGAGCAUUUAAAAACUAAGAUGAGUUUUGCUCUACUCAUCAAAAAAAGAUGAGGAAAACAGCUUUUUGCCACAUUUGUGGUUUUAGAGCUUAUUGCACUACGUGCAUCUGGUGAUUUCAUUUGAUGCUAAAACUAUAUCGGUAUUUCCUUUUGAAUUUAAUGUAUCACAUCUUGCAAAAAAGGAGGCACAGUAUUAAGCGCAAUAAGGGGACAGGUGACCAUUUCAGCUGCAUGUCUUCUGAAUUUGCAGCCCAACUCUUCAUUGACUAUGAUCGGAUUGAUGAGAUGCCACUCACUUGUGUGUCUAGUUUGAAUCUACUGCUAUUAAAUGAAAGACAUAAAACGAGCGAGUUGUGCAUGAUAUGCGUAGAAGCAUAACUGGUUCCAUGUAAUUUCUAAGUGCAUUUGAAGGUAGGAAGUUACACUACAGAUUUGUUGGCCUAUUAUUCUACAAAAUGGCUCAGUGAUCUAGAAUUAUAUCAUUGCAAAGAAUGAUUUGCUUGUUGAAGGCACUGACAAAAACAUCCAGCUUCUUGUUGAAGAUUAGAACAUCUGUGACAUCUAAGUUCCAGUUUGUUUUCUUUUCCCAUUUUUGGAAUGAGUUUAGUUUCUUAAGUCACCAAAUUUACAACAUUUUCAUGUUCUUGACAGUGGAUGCUAUUUGUCUAAAGUAAUUUUUCAUGUAUACUUAGCAUCGUUCACUAAAAUCGUGAUAUAGAACUUGACUUUUGACUUGAUAUUAUUUUCUGUUCUUCCUAGGCCUGUCUACUGCUUGUUGUUUUGUGUAGUCAUUAUUCAGAGUUUGAAGACUAUUGGACCUGUAGGCUUUAAAAAUCUUGUUCACAAUUUUCUUCAAAAAGUUGGCUGCAAGAAGCUUUAGAACCUGCAUUUCAAAGAGCUGGUCAGAGAAUGUAUCCUUAUUGAAAGACUGCAGUGGAUAAUUAUACUGAUUCAUUUUUUGCUAAAUAUCUUUUUAUGUUGAGCAUACCAUUUUUUGGUUGAACUUAACUUUCACUAUAAAGGGACAGAGAUUUGGAGAAUUGAAAACUUCCAACCAAUUCCUUUACGAAAAUCUGAUCAUCGUAAGUUCUACUUAGGUGAUUCAUACAUUGUCUUGCAGGUGCAUAUGGCUUCCAAUAUUUCUUCCUUUGUAUCUUAUUUUGGGCCUCAUUUUUAUGAAUUGAGUGUUUAUGACUGAAGGAAGAGCUUAAAUCUUUUUUAUCCUAUUUUAAGUUUGGAUACAAUGAACUGAUAAAAACUAAUAUCGAUCAUUGCAGUCCAGUUUAAUAUUGAUCAUGAGGAGGCUGUUGAAUAUGAUGAUAGAGAUGGUUGAAAUCUGACAUUGGUACUACGGUCUAUGCUUUAGUUUAGAAAUCUAGUACUCUUUUUUUUUGGAAGGAUAUGUAUUGGUCAUUACUGCUUGAACUUAUUAUGUGAGCUUUGGGACCCAACAUUUGUGGUUCACUUUUGUUUUGAUGAAUGUAUAGACGUUCAUGGCCAUAUAUAUGAAUUUGUGGUUUUAUUCUACGUUGAUUUUGUCUUUUGUCAAAUUGAAUAUUCUGCUAUAAUUUGUUGAAAAUGCUAUGACAAUGCUAUAUUCGUAAUGGUCAAUUUCAGCUCUUCAAGACAAAGCUCAGUGACAACCUUUGACAUGCAAUUUCACUAAGUGACGAUUAUUUCUGUCACUGAAUAAUAGGACUGAUUGUGACAAGCUCAGGUUGUCACUGUAAACUUCAAAUUUGUGACGACUUUUGCUACAUCUAUGAUAAAAAUAUAGGUGAAACAGUGACAAGAAAAGUCAUUACAAAAUAAUAUCCAUUAGUGACGACUUUGUCCUCGUCAUUGAAUAACAAGAUUCUAUGACGACUUUCAAAGAGUUGUCACAUGGACCCAUUUAUGACAUAGAAUCUGUGACAACCAUGUGACAAUCGAAAAAGCCGUCACUAUAUCUGUAUAAUGACGACUUUUUGGCUUUUAGUAAUGACUUUUUGUUGUCACAAAAGACCCAUUUUCUUGUAGUGUAGUAUGCACAGAAAAGGUGGCUAGAUCUAAUUUUUUUGGGGGGAGGGGUGUUUCGAUUCGCAUUAUUUGAAUUCAAAGGGGAUGUUACUGUGACGCCCCCACAUCUCCCUAAGUCGAACCAAAGGGUAUCCGCGGGACGCCUGCCCAACUCUAGUCAGGACUCAAGUAAUUCCGUUCAACUUAAAACCAAACCGAACAUUUCGAAGAGAGCAACAUGAAUACAAAUAAUGCAGAAGCGUUAAAACUUAUCAAGUCACUUAACAUGUAACCAGUACAUCGGGUAAUCAUAAUACAACUUAAAUCCUAAAUACACGUCAAGGCCCAAAUUUUACAUUUCAAUUCCAAAAGUACAACCCAAACCAGGGCAUAGCCAAAAUAUAGUAGAAAUCCUAAACAAAAGGACAACGAAGGGUUUCUCCAUACUUCCCCAAGAUUCGGUCAUGUUAAGGAAAACAAACUAAUAGGAUGAGCCAAUACUCAGUAAGGCCAAGAAAACACACAUGCAAACACAUAAUCCAAGUAGCGACAACAAUUACAUUGUAGGUAAGGCUAUCAAAUUCGAAUAAUUCACAUUUCGAAUAGGAAAAAUAAACAGAAACAAUUCAACGAUACUGUAGCUCUCAGGAGCUAAAUUCCACGUAGUCGAGUCAAAGUCUUGAUCACAUCUCACGUUGACACUUCGUCAACCACAUAAGUAUCAAAUCCGUAGAUACACCACUUUUCUUCGAAUCCCGUCACCGUUACACCCCCUUACCGGGCCCGCUCAUAAAAGUUUUUGAUAAUACUCGAGUAUAUCAUGGCAAUACUGCACGAGUAAUGCCGAACAAAAUCUCUCAAAUAGAUCAUGCUCUACAAAUAUCUCAUGGUUUGCUAAGCUUAUCGACCAAGCCCAUGCUGGCUCGAUUCGCAAAGUUAGCCAACGAGUUUGGGCGUCCCCCGAAUACGAAUACGAAUAUAAGUCGAUGAACAACGCUCAAAUCGACAAUUCCAAAUAGGAAUCACAAAUACGGAUCACGUAUACGAAUCACAAAUACAAAUCACAUCCACAUUACCAUGUACAAGUCGGAUACGAAUUCACAUAGCAAAAUUCGAAUAUAAUUUCAUUUGAAAGAGAACGAAUGCGAUAAAGUACACCCUCGUCUCAAAAUUUCAAAUUUACAUAACGGAUAAGAAACAGAUAACCACUUAACAACAAGUUCAUGCACUUGACACUCACCAAUCGAAAUAAGGGAGUAAGUGCAUAAACGAGCCUUUAGGUGUUCCCCUCGAGAUCCUCUUGAAGGUCUCCUAGAGCACCUGAGUAAAUAGUAAUUGUCUAUUACACACUAUCGCUUAAAACCCCUAAUUAUCGAGGAAGAUUGCACACUUGUACAAUCUAAGAAAAUUUCACGAAAAUGAGCCUUGAUUACUCGUAAAUCGAGGCUAAAAAAAUGGUGUUUUAAAACACAAGCGAAAUCUGAUUUUCAUCUUUGAAAUCAAGUGUAAAACGGUUUAGCAAUAUCGAAGGAAAAUAGAGAGUUUGCAACUCUUAAUUUCCUUUAAGUUCGAAAAUUUCAGAUUUGUCACCCAUACUUUGGAAAAUCGUAUCUCAUUCUCUACAAGUCCAAAAUUGGAAAACAUUAUACCGUUGGAAACCUCUUGGAAAUUACUAAAAGUUCUUAGAAUACACUUUUCCAUGAAUCUAAGUAAAAAGCACUCAAAAAUGAGCUUGAAAUCACUGUUCCAGAAUGUUCAGGAUUGAGCUGGGGUUGGUUUUUCGCUAACUUUGGAAAUUUGGCAGAAUUCACUCGUUGUAAAAUAGCCCUUGAAAUUUAUAACUCAAUUAGAGGUGCAAGUAAGGUUUAGGGAAGAACAAGAGGAUUGAGAAUUGGAGUUUCGAGCACCGAGAUACGGUAGCUCGAAGUUGGGAAAAUUCAAGUCUGGUGAACAAUUUCCAGAUUUGAGUUUCCAAAAAUUGGAACCUUAGCUAAGUGUCAAAACGAACUUGGAUUGGUAUAAAAUUUUGCAGUAUGUUACUCCUAUAUGAAAGGUACCGCUCUAUCAAAUUUCAGGGAAAAAUACCUUCGGAAAGGUAGUUAAUUAAUCAUCCAAAGUUCAGGAAAAUUUCUAAAGCAACCUGUCUUUUGACUUCAUUUCCCAAUUUAAAUCGUUUAAUCAAGAAAGCUAUCCAACCAUGGUUCAUUUGUGAAAUAAAGGUCAAAGAUACAUCCAUGAUACCUUUGGUAAGUGUUUAGCAUCAAGAACUUCAAUUAAUAAGAUCACUCCCAGGUUUUGUCCCAAAUCGGUCCAAGUAUUUCGGUUUUCCCAAAACAGGGCAGUUCUCUUGUUUUGGUCACAACUCAGUCAAUUUAACUCAAAAUGGAGCAUGGUUUAUGUCGUUGAAAAAUAAAUUCAUAGGGCUAUAAUAUCACAGAAGAAAUCAUUUCAAAAUUUGGCACCCAAAUAGUUCAAAAUCGAGCAUCAAUUUGCUGUCUUAUCACUUCAUUCCAGUUGAACAGAGCAACAAGACAGCGAUCUUAAAACGAUUGGUUCGGCUCACUCACAAAGAAUCAGAACAUGCAUUUUAUCUCAAAUUAACGCCUGGAAUGUCUAGUUUCCAACGCCACCAACGGCACAUGAUUUUGACAUCCGAGGACGGAGUUAUGGCCGAAACACCACCGCUGGUUAGAGCCAUACGUGAACAGUUUCCAGAUUUGCUAGUUUCACAAAAAAAAAUUCAUCUGCCCAACCAAACCUCAUUAUUUUUCAAUGAAAUUUUUCACACAUCUAAUACGUCUAAAAUAACGGUCUUAAGUCCCUUAAUUGAUCGCGCGCGUAAAACGCGUAUUUCCAAUUUUGCGCGAUAACGCUUAACUUUCAAAAAAAUUUCUUAUAACGAUUGUAUUACUAACUAAUACUUGAGCACUUAAACAUAAAAAUACCUAAUUUCAGACUAAUGUACAUGUCUCUAAUUUUUUCCAAACUUAUUGUAUCCUCGAUUCAAUUAUUUAUUCCAAUCGCAUAUUCACUAUUUUUACUUAACGAGUCUUCGGAAAUUAAAUUUUGAAACAAGUCACUUUAAAAAUAUAACUAAGCCAUAGAUCCUUUUAAUUAGGUCUAAAAAGGUUAGAAAAUAAUAUUUGGGGCGAUUGGCCAAAUAAAUAAUUAAAUGAGCUAGAAUUUGGAGUUUAAAAUAGGUAAAUUUUUGUGAGUCUUUACAUGAGUCGAGUAUUAAUUCCUUAAUGAACCUUUCUUAAUCUACCACUGAUCAUUGUUAACUCUCUAAUAUCAAUACACUCUCGAUUCAAAUAUAGUCUCGAAAAACAUGCACUCGUUGUUCCAAACUAAACGAGUUUUCGAAAAGUGAAUUUUUCUUACAAAACGCUUUAAAAAAUAUAAAUGAGGCGUCGUUCCAUAUAAAUGGAUUUUAAAUGAUCGAAAUAAAUAAUUUGGAGAAAAAUGAGUAAAUAAAUAAUUAAACAAACUACCAAUAUUCGAUAAAAUAAAAAAAAAUUUCGAGUCCUCACAUCCUCCCCUCUUUAAAAGAAUUUCGUCCUCGAAAUUCACACUUAGGAUAAUAGUCAUACCCUUAAUAGUCAUGCCUUUCAAAUUAAUCACUAACUUACACCCUCCGAUCCAUAUCUCACAAUUUCUAUUUACCCAAUUAGUAGUCAAACUUUAAUUCUAUCUUAUGAAUUUAGGGUUUUACAAAAAGUGUGUACGGUACUAGGUCACUGAGAACCUUAGAUAGACAAAUAAAAGGAAGAAUCAUAUCUCUAAUGACUUUAGUAGAAUCGGAAACAUGUUGAUAAUCUAAUGCAUAAACCCUAGCUAGUGCAUUAGAUCGACUUCCUCCAAUACUAGGCUGCUUAACGGCUGACUUUUCAGGCCUUUGGGUACUACCUCCUUCUUUUGGUACGGUCGGGCAUUUUGAUAUCUGGUGCUCGGUCCUACCACAAUACAAGCACUUCCCUUGUUUCCUAAAACAAUCUUUCUCCGUAUGGUUGAGCUUGCCACAAUAACCACAAACGACUUGGGGAGCCACAGAUUGACCACUUGGAGGUGUCCCUCUCGAUUGACCUCGUCCAUUGCGAUCUACUCUUGAUUGAGUCCCUUUUUGCAUGUUAGAUAUCUCCACUCUACCCAUCCCUUUUCCCUUUUUAAAAGGUGGGGCACUCUUAUCUGCCUGUCCCGAAUGGUUACUAGAAGUGCCCCUCUUCUUAGCAUGAAAGUCUCUAACUUGCAGCCUUGCACUCUCGACUCUCUGUGCUUUUUCUAAGACUUCAGUGAACGUAGAGAUUUGGGUUGCAGCCAAACCCUCCUGGAUUUCUACAUUAAGUCCCUGCACGAACCGUCUAAUCCUCCUCCGUUCAUUAAUCACCAAUUCAGGAGCGUACUUAGAAAACUUAGUGAACUUUCCCUCGUACUCUGCUACACUAAGGGUUCCUUGUUUCAACUUGAUGAAUUCAUCCUCCCUUUUCUCUUGGAUUAAGGGCGGAAGAAAUUUCUCAUUAAAUUCCCUCAUGAAAUUCUCCCAAGUCCAAGGGGUUUGAGCUCUUUCCCAUUUUCCCCUUAUCAGGUCCCACCAAGCGCGUGCCACUCCCUCAAAUUGGAAUGCAGCAAAAUUCACUCGCCUAUCCUCGGUAUAGUCUAAGGCGGCGAAUAUAUUGGUCAUUCUCUCUAACCAGUUUUCAGCUGCCUCGGGGUCGGGCUCUCCAGUGAACUUAGGCGGGUUGAAUUUAAGAAACCUCUCCAAGGCUCUAUCUUCUCCUCUAUCCUGUCCCCCAAGUUGGUUAAGCGGUCCUGGACCCUGUCUUUCAGCUAAGCGUUUUAGGAUAUCAGUCAUCCUAUUGAUGGCAGUAGCCAUUUGGUUAAACUCUAUAUUCUCUUGUCCUUGGGUCGGUCCAGUUGCCGAUCCUUGUUCAUUCCCUUGAGGUUGGGUCUGUCUAGUCCCUCGCCCAUGGCCUCGACCACUCUUUAGUCCUUCCAUUAUCUUAAGGGUGCCUAAUGCAGGAAAUAAAAGCGAUCACGCAAGAAAUUUCUUAAAACAAGAGCCGAUCUAGAAAACAUCAGAAAUAACAAUAAUUAACAUGUAUUUAUGCUUUUAAAAUUCAUAAAAUUAGCAAGUCGGGGGGGUAUGACAAAAAAAAACAGCACACAGGUGCCACAAAAAUACUUUUAGUCACAUACGACUAAAGUAAAGUAAAGUGCCUCAAAAGUAGGCCAUACAGUCAUACAAAAAUGCAAUGGCCUCAGCACUAGCAUCACCCCAGCUAAAUCUAACUACAUCAGUCAAAAGGGGCUAAUUUUUUUUUUUCGUUCAUUUCCAACUCAUAUCAAACUCUUGGAUCCUAUGGAGUUACAUAGGACCAUCCAUCAAUCUUUCUCUAUCUCUCUCUCUCUUAGGCUCAUCUACAUUCCACUUCUCUCUAGUCAAUAUUGUCCCACACUCAGUUAAAAUAUUCUGCGCCAAAUGUCUCAUUUCUCUUACUACAUGAACUGGAAAUCCAUUGACCUCUUGCACUUGCUCUCACGAAACAUUAGUCCAUUCUUGUUCCUCGCAAAUGGAGAUCUUAAGUCUUUAACGUUACCCUCAACUCCUAAGUACUCGGGUACAAGAAUCCGAAAUAAAAUAAUUCACAUCUCGAGCUGGCCAGUCCCAAGAGUAAAUCACCAUAUUUGAGAUUCGUACCCAACAUACAUAUUUGGUCUUUCCCAAGUAUUACGAUAAAAGAUUUAUACCUAUCACAUUCAUGAUUCACAGCUUACACUCUAAAAGAGUACUUAAGCCUUUAGUCAUUCAUAUGAUAAGGACCAUAACACCAUUUGACCCAAUCUCACCCUUCGCAGAUACCACGCGAAGCGGCUCUGAUUUUUUUUUUUCCUACAAGUGGCCACUUAACUUUCAAACCAAUCCCACAGUCCGGCAUCCUAAAUUUCAACCCUAAGAUACACUACAAAGAUCUGAAACCUAAACUCUGAUACCAAAUGUGACGCCCCACAUCUCCUUAAGGCGAACCAAAGGGUAUCCGCGGGACGCCUGCCCAACUCUCGCCAGGACUCAAGCAAUUCCAUUCAACUUAAAAUCAAACCGAACAUUUCGAAGAGAGCAACAUGAAUACAAAUAAUGCAGAAGCGUUAAAACUUAUCAAGUCACUUAACAUGUAACCAGUACAUCGGGUAAUCAUAAUACAACUUAAAUCCUAAAUACACGUCAGGGUCCAAAUUUUACAUUUCAAUUCCAAAAGUAUAACCCAAAUCAGGGCAUAGCCAAAAUAUAGUAGAAAUCCUACACAAAAGGACAACGAAGGGUUUCUCCAUACUUCCCCAAGAUUCGGUCCUGUUAAGGAAAACAAACUAAUAGGAUGAGCCAAUACUCAGUGAGGCCAAGAAAACACACAUGCAAACACAUAAUCCAAGUAGCAACAACAAUUACAUUGUAGGUAAGGCUAUCAAAUUCGAAUAAUUCACAUUUCGAAUAGAAAAAAUAAACAGAAACAAUUCAAGGAUACUGUAGCUCUCAGGAGUUAAAUUCCACGUAGUCGAGUCAAAGUCUUGAUCACAUCUCACGUUGACACUUCGUCAACCACAUAAGUAUCAAAUCCGUAGAUGCACCACUUUUCUUCGAAUCCCGUCACCGUUACACCCCCUUAUCGGGCCCGCUCAUCAAAGUUUUUGAUAAUACUCGAGUAUAUCAUGGCAAUACUGCACGAGUAAUGACGAACAAGAUCUCUCCAAUUGAUCAUGCUCUACAAAUAUCUCAUGGUUUGCUAAGCAAAUCGACCAAGCCCAUGCUGGCUCGAUUCGCAAAGUUAGCCAACGAGUUUGGGCGUCCCCCAAAUACGAAUACGAAUACGAAUACGAAUAUAAGUCGAUGAGCAACGCUCAAAUCGACAAUUCCAAAUAGGAAUCACAAAUACGGAUCACGUAUACGAAUCACAAAUACAAAUCACAUCCACAUUACCAUGUACAAGUCGGAUACGAAUUCACAUAGCAAAAUUCGAAUAUAAUUUCAUUUGAAAGAGAAUGAGAGCGAUAAAGUACACCCACGUCUCAAAAUUUCAAAUUUACAUAACGGAUAAGAAACAGAUAACCACUUAACAACAAGUUCAUGCACUUGACACUCACCAAUCGAAAUAAGGGAGUAAGUGCGUAAACGAGCCUUUAGGUGUUCCCCUCGAGAUCCUCUUGAAGGUCUCCUAGAGCACCUGAAUAAAUAGUAAUUGUCUAUUACACACUAUCGCUUAAAACCCCUAAUUAUCGAGGAAGAUUGCACACUUGUACAAUCUAAGAAAAUUUCACGAAAAUGAGCCUUGAUUACUCGUAAAUCGAGGCUAAAAAAAUGGGGUUUUAAAACACAAGAGAAAUCUGAUUUUCAUCUUUGAAAUCAAGUGUAAAACGGUUUAGCAAUAUCGAAGGAAAAUAGAGAGUUCGCAACUCUCAAUUUCCUUUAAGUUCGGAAAUUUCAGAUUUGUCACCCAUACUUUGACAAAUCGUAUCUCAUUCUCUACAAGUCCAAAAUUGGAAAAAUUUAUACCGUUGGAAACCUCUUGGAAAUUACUAAAAGUUCUUAGAAGACACUUUUCCUUGAAUCUAAGUGGAAAGUACUCAAAAAUGAGCUUGAAAUCACUGUUCCAGAAUGUUCAGGAUUGAGCUGGGGUUGGUUUUUCGCUAACUUUGAAAAUUUGGCAGAAUUCACUCGUUGCAAACUAACCCUUGAAAUUUAUAAAUCAAUUAGAGGUGCAAGUAAGGUUUAGGGAAAAACAAGCGGAUUGAGAAUUGGAGUUUCGAGCACCGAGAUACGGUAGCUCGAAGUUGGGAAAAUUCAAGUCUGGUGAACAAUUUCCAGAUUUGAGUUUCCAAAAAUUGGAACCUUAGCUAAGUGUCAAAACGAACUUGGAUUGGUAUAACAUUUUGCAGUAUGUUACUCCUAUAUGAAAGGUACCGCUCUAUCAAAUUUCAGGGAAAAAUACCUUCGGAAAGGGAGUUAAUUAAUCAUCCAAAGUUCAGGAAAAUUUCUAAAGCAACCUGUCUUUUGACUUCAUUUCCCAAUUUAAAUCGUUUAAUCAAGAAAGCUAUCCAACCAUGGUUCAUUUGUGAAAUAAAGAUCUAAGAUACAUCCAUGAUACCUUUGGUAAGUGUUUAGCAUCACGAACUUCAAUUAAUAAGAUCACUCCCAGGUUUUGUCCCAAAUCAGUCCAAGUAUUUCGGUUUUUCCAAAACAGGGCAGUCCUCUUGUUUUGGUCACAACUCAGUCAAUUUAACUCAGAAUGGGGCAUGGUUUAUGUUGUUGAAAACUAAAUUCAUAGGGCUAUAAUAUCACAGAAGAAAUCAUUCCAAAAUUUGGCACCCAACUAGUUCAAAAUCGAGCAUCAAUUUGCUGCCUUAUCACUUCAUUCCAGUUGAAAAGAGCAACAGGACAGCGAUCUUAAAACGUUUGGUUCGGCUCACUCACAAAGAAUCAGAACAUGCAUUUUAUCUCAAAUUAACGCCUGGAAUGUCUAGUUUCCAACGCCACCAACGGCACAUGAUUUUGACAUCCGAGGUCGGAGUUAUGGCCGAAACACCACAGCUGGUCAGAGCCAUACGUGAACAGUUUCCAGAUUUGCUAGUUUCACAAAAAAAAAUUCAUCUGCCCAACCAAACCUCAUUAUUUUUCAAUGAAAUUUUUCACACAUCUAAUACGUCAUAUAAACAUCAGAUUCAACCCAUUAGAUCAUUAAAAAUUGGCCUUAAAAUGGCCGAACAAGGCAACGGCAAAAUCGGAAACUUUUGCUUCUUGCACCCAAUGAAAUUUCUAUCAAUUACACACCAUUAAUCCAUCAUUUUAACCACUAAACCAACAAUAUAUCCACCAUCAAUCAUCAAAUCAGCAACAACCCAAGAGUGGGAGUUCAUAGAGCCCACCAUCAAAAUUUUCCAACAAUACAAGCUACCCAUGUGAAGAUUCAAGCUCAUAUGUGUAAUUUAACCUCCAUAGGAAAAGUUUAGAGUGUUGGAUCAUUACCUGCUUUGGUGGUUGUUCAAGUCUGAAUUUUCGGCCCUUUGAAGCCUGAAGAAAACCGUGGAAAUGAAGCUCUUCUCCUUGCCUAAGUGAAUCUCCAAGUGGUUUGUAAGUUGGAUGCAAAUUUUGAGAUGAAAUGGAGGAAGAUUGGUGCAAGAAUGAAGAAGCUUUUCUUCCUUUCUUUCCUUUGCUGUUUGGUCGGCUGUUUUGGUGUGAAAAUGGGAGUUCUAGCCGUGCCCUUAAGGUGAGAAAAGAAGGGUUUUGAUCUGGUGUGAUGGGUCCACUAAAAGCUUAAGAAUGUGUGGACAAAAUUGCUCCAAAAGUCAACUAAGGAUAGUGCGCGAACGCGCGCCUUUCGUGCUCGUUUCCUCUCGGGUUUGUUUCACUUGUGCACUAAACCUCUAAUGCACUUCCAUUCAUACUAUUAUUAUUCACUUUUAAUAGUCUAAAAUAACGGUCUUAAGUCCCUUAAUUGAUCGCGCGCGUAAAACGCGUAUUUCCAAUUUUGCGCGAUAACGUUUAACUUUCAAAAAAAAUUCUUAUAACGAUUGUAUUACUAAUUAAUACUUGAGCAUUUAAACAUAAAAAUACCUAAUUUGAGACUAAUGUACAUGUCUCUAAUUUUUUCCAAACUUAUUAUAUCCUCGAUUCAAUUAUUUAUUCCAAUCGCAUAUUCACUAUUUUUACUUAACGAGUCUUCAGAAAUUAAAUUUUGAAACAAGUCAUUUUAAAAAUAUAACUAAGCUAUAGAUCCUUUUAAUUAGGUCUAAAAAGGUUAGAAAAUAAUAUUUGGGGCGAUUGGCCAAAUAAAUAAUUAAAUGAGUUAGAAUUUGGAGUUUAAAAUCGGUAAAUUUUUGUGAGUCUUUACAUGAGUCGAGUAUUAAUUCCUUAAUGAACCUUUCUUAAUCUACCAUUGAUCAUUGUUAACUCUCUAAUAUCAAUACACUCUCGAUUCAAAUAUAGUCUCGAAAAACAUGCACUCGUUAUUCCAAACUAAACGAGUUUUCAAAAAAUGAAUUUUUCUUACAAAACGCUUUAAAAAAUAUAAAUGAGGCGUCGUUCCAUAUAAAUGGAUUUUAAAUGAUCGAAAUAAAUAAUUUGGAGAAAAAUGAGUAAAUAAAUAUUUAAACAAACUACCAAUAUUCGAUAAAAUAAAAUAAAAAUUUCGAGUCCUCACAUCCUCCCCUCCUUAAAAGAAUUUCGUCCUCGAAAUUCACACUUAGGAUAAUAGUCAUACCCCUUAAUAGUCAUGCCUUUCAAAUUAAUCACUAACUUACACCCUCCGAUCCAUAUCUCACAAUUUCUAUUUACCCAAUUAGUAGUCAAACUUUGAUUCCAUCUUAUGAAUUUAGGGUUUUGCAAAAAGUGUGUACGGUACUAGGUCACUGAGAACCUUAGAUAGACAAAUAAAAGGAAGAAUCAUACCUCUAAUGACUUUAGUAGAAUCGGAAACAUGUUGAUAAUCUAAUGCAUAAACCCUAGCUGGUGCAUUAGAUCGACUUCCUCCAACACGAGGCUGCUUAGCGGCUGACUUUUCAGGCCUUUGGGUACUACCUCCUUCUUUUGGCACGGUCGGGCAUUUUGAUAUCUGGUGCUCGGUCCCACCACAAUACAAGCACUUCCCUUGUUUCCUAAAACAAUCAUUCUCCGUAUGGUUGAGCUUGCCACAAUAACCACAAACGACUUGGGGAGCCACAGAUUGACCACUUGGGGGUGUCCCUCUCGAUUGACCUCGUCCAUUGCGAUCUACUCUUGAUUGAGUCCCUUUUUGCAUGUUAGAUAUCUCCACUCCACCCAUCCCUUUUCCCUUUUUAAAAGGUGGGGCACUCUUAUCUGCCUGUCCCGAAUGGUUACUAGAAGUGCCCCUCUUCUUAGCAUGAAAGUCUCUAACUUGCAGCCUUGCACUCUCGACUCUCUGUGCUUUUUCUAAGACUUCAGUGAACGUAGAGAUUUGGGUUGCAGCCAAACCCUCCUGGAUUUCUACAUUAAGUCCCUGCACGAACCGUCUAAUCCUCAUCCGUUCAUUAAUCACCAAUUCAGGAGCGUACUUAGAAAGCUUAGUGAACUUUCCCUCGUACUCCGCUACACUAAGGGUUCCUUGUUUCAACUUGAUGAAUUCAUCCUCCCUUUUCUCUUGGAUUAAGGGCGGAAGAAAUUUCUCAUUAAAUUCCCUCGUGAAAUUCUCCCAAGUCCAAGGGGUUUGAGCUCUUUCCCACUUUCCCCUUAUCAGGUCCCACCAAGCGCGUGCCACUCCCUCAAAUUGGAAUGCAGCAAAAUUCACUCGCCUAUCCUCGGUAUAGUCUAAGGCGGCGAAUAUAUUGGUCAUUCUCUCUAACCAGUUUUCAGCUGCCUCGGGGUCGGGCUCUCCAGUGAACUUAGGCGGGUUGAAUUUAAGAAACCUCUCCAAGGCUCUAUCUUCUCCUCUAUCCUGUCCCCCAAGUUGGUUAAGCGGUCCUGGACCCUGUCUUUCAGCUAAGCGUUUUAGGAUAUCAGUCAUCCUAUUGAUGGCAGUAGCCAUUUGGUUAACCUCUAUAUUCUCUUGUCCUUGGGUCGGUCCAGUUGCCGAUCCUUGUUCAUCCCCUUGAGGUUGGGUCUGUCUAGUCCCUCGCCCAUGGCCUCGACCACUCUUUAGUCCUUCCAUUAUCUUAAGGGUGCCUAAUGCAGGAAAUAAAAGCGAUCACGCAAGAAAUUUCUUAAAACAAGAGCCGAUCUAGAAAACAUCAGAGAUAACAAUAAUUAACAUGUAUUUAUGCUUUUAAAAUUCAUAAAAUUAGCAAGUCGGGGGGGUAUGACAAAAAAAAAACAGCACACAGGUGCCACAAAAAUAUUUUUAGUCACAUACGACUAAAGUAAAGUAAAGUGCCUCAAAAGUAGGCCAUACAGUCAUACAAAAAUGCAAUGGCCUCAGCACUAGCAUCACCCCAGCUAAAUCUAACUACAUCAGUCAAAAGGGGCUAAUUUUUUUUUUCGUUCAUUUCCAACUCAUAUCAAACUCUUGGAUCCUAUGGAGUUACAUAGGACCAUCCAUCAAUCUUUCUCUAUCUCUCUCUCUCUUAGGCUCAUCUACAUUCCACUUCUCUCUAGUCAAUAUUGUCCCACACUCAGUUAAAAUAUUCUGCGCCAGAUGUCUCAUUUCUCUUACUACAUGAAUUGGAAAUCCAUUGACCUCUUGCACUUGCUCUCACGAAACAUUAGUCCAUUCUUGUUCCUCGCAAAUGGAGAUCUUAAGUCUUUAACGUUACCCUCAACUCCUAAGUACUCGGGUACAAGAAUCCGAAAUAAAAUAAUUCACAUCUCGAGCUGGCCAGUCCCAAGAGUAAAUCACCAUAUUUGAGAUUCGUACCCAACAUACAUAUUUGGUCUUUCCCAAGUAUUACGAUAAAAGAUUUAUACCUAUCACAUUCAUGAUUCACAGCUUACACUCUAAAAGAGUACUUAAGCCUUUAGUCAUUCAUAUGAUAAGGACCAUAACACCAUUUGACCCAAUCUCACCCUUCGCAGAUACCACGCGAAGCGGCUCUGAUUUUUUUUUUUUCCUACAAGUGGCCACUUAACUUUCAAACCAAUCCCACAGUCCGGCAUCCUAAAUUUCAACCCUAAGAUACACUACAAAGAUCUGAAACCUAAGCUCUGAUACCAACUGUGACGCCCCACAUCUCCUUAAGGCGAACCAAAGGGUAUCCGCGGGACGCCUGCCCAACUCUCGCCAGGACUCAAGCAAUUCCAUUCAACUUAAAACCAAACCGAACAUUUCGAAGAGAGCAACAUGAAUACAAAUAAUGCAGAAGCGUUAAAACUUAUCAAGUCACUUAACAUGUAACCAGUACAUCGGGUAAUCAUAAUACAACUUAAAUCCUAAAUACACGUCAGGGCCCAAAUUUUACAUUUCAAUUCCAAAAGUACAACCCAAAUCAGGGCAUAGCCAAAAUAUAGUAGAAAUCCUAAACAAAAGGACAACGAAGGGUUUCUCCAUACUUCCCCAAGAUUCGAUCCUGUUAAGGAAAACAAACUAAUAGGAUGAGCCAAUACUCAGUGAGGCCAAGAAAACACACAUGCAAACACAUAAUCCAAGUAGCAACAACAAUUACAUUGUAGGUAAGGCUAUCAAGUUCGAAUAAUUCACAUUUCGAAUAGAAAAAAUAAACAGAAAUAAUUCAAGGAUACUGUAACUCUCAGGAGCUAAAUUUUACGUAGUCGAGUCAAAGUCUUGAUCACAUCUCACGUUGACACUUCGUCAACCACAUAAGUAUCAAAUCCGUAGAUACACCACUUUUCUUCGAAUCCCGUCACCGUUACACCCUCUUAUCGGGCCCGCUCAUCAAAGUUUUUGAUAAUACUCGAGUAUAUCAUGGCAAUACUGCACGAGUAAUGCCGAACAAGAUCUUUCCAAUAGAUCAUGCUCUACAAAUAUCUCAUGGUUUGCUAAACUUAUCGACCAAUCCCAUGCUGGCUCGAUUCGCAAAGUUAGCCAACGAGUUUGGGCGUCCCCCGAAUAUGAAUACGAAUACGAAUAUAAGUCGAUGAGCAACGCUCAAAUCGACCAUUCCAAAUAGGAAUCACAAAUACGAAUCACAAAUACGGAUUCCAAAUAGGAAUCACAAAUACAGAUCACGUAUACGAAUCACAAAUACAAAUCACAUCCACAUUACCAUGUACAAGUCGGAUACGAAUUCACAUAGCAAAAUUCGAAUAUAAUUUCAUUUGAAAGAGAAUGAGUGCGAUAAAGUACACUCUCGUCUCAAAAUUUCAAAUUUACAUAACGGAUAAGAAACAGAUAACCACUUAACAACAAAUUCAUGCACUUGACACUCACCAAUCGAAAUAAGGGAGUAAGUGCGUAAACGAGCCUUUAGGUGUUCCCCUCGAGAUCCUCUUGAAGGUCUCCUAGAGCACCUGAGUAAAUAGUAAUUGUCUAUUACACACUAUCGCUUAAAGCCCCUAAUUAUCGAGAAAGAUUGUACACUUGUACAAUCUAAGAAAAUUUCACGAAAAUGAGCCUUGAUUACUCGUAAAUCGAGGCUAAAAAAAUGGGGUUUUAAAACACAAGCGAAAUCUGAUUUUCAUCUUUGAAAUCAAGUGUAAAACGGUUUAGCAAUAUCAAAGGAAAAUAGAGAGUUCGCAACUCUCAAUUUCCUUUAAGUUCGGAAAUUUCAGAUUUGUCACCCAUACUUUGACAAAUCGUAUCUCAUUCUCUACAAGUCCAAAAUUGGAAACUUUAUACCGUUGGAAACCUCUUGGAAAUUACUAAAAGUUCUUAGAAGACACUUUUCCAUGAAUCUAAGUGGAAAGUACUCAAAAAUGAGCUUGAAAUCACUGUUCCAGAAUGUUCAGGAUUGAGUUGGGGUUGGUUUUUCGCUAACUUUGGAAAUUUGGCAGAAUUCACUCGUUGCAAACUAGCCCUUGAAAUUUAUAACUCAAUUAGAGGUGCAAGUAAGGUUUAGGGAAGAACAAGCGGAUUGAGAAUUGGAGUUUUGAGCACCGAGAUACGGUAGCUCGAAGUUGGAAAAAUUCAAGUCUGGUGAACAAUUUCCAGAUUUGAGUUUCCAAAAAUUGGAACCUUAGCUAAGUUUCAAAACGAACUUGGAUUGGUAUAAAAUUUUGCAGUAUGUUACUCCUAUAUGAAAGGUACCGCUCUAUCAAAUUUCAGGGAAAAAUACCUUCGGAAAGGUAGUUAAUUAAUCAUCCAAAGUUCAGGAAAAUUUCUAAAGCAACCUGUCUUUUGACUUCAUUUCCCAAUUUAAAUCGUUUAAUCAAGAAAGCUAUCCAACCAUGGUUCAUUUGUAAAAUAAAGGUCUAAGAUACAUCCAUGAUACCUUUGGUAAGUGUUUAGCAUCAAGAACUUCAAUUAAUAAGAUCACUCCCAGGUUUUGUCCCAAAUCAGUCCAAGUAUUUCGGUUUUUCCAAAACAGGGCAGUCCUCUUGUUUUGGUCACAACUCAGUCAAUUUAACUCAGAAUGGGGCAUGGUUUAUGUCGUUGAAAAAUAAAUUCAUAGGGCUAUAAUAUCACAGAAGAAAUCAUUUCAAAAUUUUGCACCCAACUAGUUCAAAAUCGAGCAUCAAUUUGCUGCCUUAUCACUUCAUUCCAGUUGAACAGAGCAACAUGACAGCGAUCUUAAAAUGUUUGGUUCGGCUCACUCACAAAGAAUCAGAACAUGCAUUUUAUCUCAAAUUAACGCCUGGAAUGUCUAGUUUCCAACGCCACCAACGGCACAUGAUUUUGACAUCCGAGGACGGAGUUAUGGCCGAAACACCACCGCUGGUCAGAGCCAUACGUGAACAGUUUCCAGAUUUGCUAGUUUCACAAAAAAAAAUUCAUUUGCCCAACCAAACCUCAUUAUUUUUCAAUGAAAAUUUUCACACAUCUAAUACGUCAUAUAAACAUCAGAUUCAACCCAUUAGAUCAUUAAAAAUUGGCCUUAAAAUGGCCGAACAAGGCAGGGGCAAAAUCGGAAACUUUUGCUUCUUGCACCCAAUGAAAUUUCUAUCAAUUACACACCAUUAAUCCAUCAUUUUAACCACUAAACCAACAAUAUAUCCACCAUCAAUCAUCAAAUCAGCAACAACCCAAGAGUGGGAGUUCAUAGAGCCCACCAUCAAAAUUUUCCAACAAUACAAGCUACCCAUGUGAAGAUUCAAGCUCAUAUGUGUAAUUUAACCUCCAUAGGACAAGUUUAGAGUGUUGGAUCAUUACCUGCUUUGGUGGUUGUUCAAGUCUGAAUUUUCGGCCCUUUGAAGCCUGAAGAAAACCGUGGAAAUGAAGCUCUUCUCCUUGCCUAAGUGAAUCUCCAAGUGGUUUGUAAGUUGGAUGCAAAUUUUGAGAUGAAAUGGAGGAAGAUUGGUGCAAGAAUGAAGAAGCUUUUCUUCCUUUCUUUCCUUUGCUGUUUGGUCGGCUGUUUUGGUGUGAAAAUGGGAGUUCUAGCCGUGCACAUAAGGUGAGAAAAGAAGGGUUUUGAUCUGGUGUGAUGGGUCCACUAAAAGCUUAAGAAUGUGUGGACAAAAUUGCUCCAAAAGUCAACUAAGGAUAGUGCGCGAACGCGCGCGUUUCGUGCUCGUUUCCUCUCGGGUUUGUUUCACUUGUGCACUAAACCUCUAAUGCACUUCCAUUCAUACUAUUAUUAUUCACUUUUAAUAGUCUAAAAUAACGGUCUUAAAUCCCUUAAUUGAUCGCGCGCGUAAAACGCGUAUUUCCAAUUUUGCGCGAUAACGUUUAACUUUUAAAAAAAAUUCUUAUAACGAUUGUAUUACUAACUAAUACUUGAGCACUUAAACAUAAAAAUACCUAAUUUGAGACUAAUGUACAUGUCUCUAAUUUUUUCCAAACUUAUUGUAUCCUCGAUUCAAUUAUUUAUUCCAAUCGCAUAUUCACUAUUUUUACUUAACGAGUCUUCAGAAAUUAAAUUUUGAAACAAGUCACUUUAAAAAUAUAACUAACCCAUAGAUCCUUUUAAUUAGGUCUAAAAAGGUUAGAAAAUAAUAUUUGGGGCGAUUGGCCAAAUAAAUAAUUAAAUGAGCUGGAAUUUGGAGUUUAAAAUAGGUAAAUUUUUGUGAGUCUUUACAUGAGUCGAGUAUUAAUUCCUUAAUGAACCUUUCUUAAUCUACCAUUGAUCAUUGUUAACUCUCUAAUAUCAAUACACUCUCGAUUCAAAUAUAGUCUCGAAAAACAUGCACUCGUUGUUCCAAACUAAACGAGUUUUCGAAAAGUGAAUUUUUCUUACAAAACGCUUUAAAAAAUAUAAAUGAGGCGUCGUUCCAUAUAAAUGGAUUUUAAAUGAUCGAAAUAAAUAAUUUGGAGAAAAAUGAGUAAAUAAAUAUUUAAACAAACUACCAAUAUUCGGUAAAAAAAAAAAAUUUCGAGUCCUCACAGUUACCCUAGACGUAUCUUCACCUUUAUCUCUUUGAGCGGCUUGGUGAGCAUCAAACAUAAAUCCCCUAAUAGGGGCAUCUAAUUAAUCUUCAGUCCCAUCCGGUUCAAGAUUUUCAAGUACCACAUCUUCUUCCCCCAUAGCUCGUACAUUAUUCUUGUUAGGAUCCAAUCACGAAAUAAUCAACUAUUGAGAUAUCAAGUACAUAACAAUUUAAUGACAAACAAACCACAAGCAUGAAAAAUAAAAGACACGUAAUAUUUAAUAUGGUUCGAUUUCACCAUUGAGCCUAUUCCACGGAGAGAAACUCGUUCUUUAUUAUGAGAGGAAAACCCUAUAUAAGAAUAUAACUUGAACCCAAAUCUAACCCCUGUAUACCAUCUCUCAUCUCCCAAGAACUCUCUUUCACCCCCAUGUAUAAGGCUAGCCCUUUUGUGUGCCCCUUAUGUGUCUUUGUGUAGUAUGCAAAUCCAUCCAUUUAUAGGAAAUAUUAUUUGACCAAAACUCAAAUAACAACAAGAAACCAAUUCUAAUUUCUAAAUUUACAUAGAAUAGGAAAUAACUUCUAAUCCUAAACAAAAUAGGAAAUUCUUUGACUACUAUUUCAAAUAACUAAAAUUAAUUAGAAAACUAGUUACUUUCACACAAAACAAGAACCCUACCUAAAAGAAAUUGAACCAAUUUUCUAACAAAUCUCCAUCUUGGUGAAAAUUUCUUUUAGCAACCAUUUGUCUUCAACUACCAAAUAAUAUGGUAUCGAAUUACGCAUUCGAAUCAAUACAGUCUUAAUACCAAAUUGAUUCAAUCGACAAAUGAAUAUAUGUAGUUACCUAGAAUCCAACCUCCAAUUGACUCGUAAGAAGGUGUCUCAAUUCACCGUCUCCCUAUGUAACAUUUUUUCUAAUCACUACUUGCAACCAGGGAUUCCCUUCUAUGAGCUCUAACGCUAAAUAUUGAGAAAGACUAACUCCCAACAAGGUUCGACUUUACAGGAGAAAGAAGCGUCGAUAAGGGAACCGCCUUCAAGGAAGAUUUCAGGAAGCAUUUAUUCAAUAAGAUUGAGUGGAGAUUUCUUGAUAAAUGAAGUGGUAAAGUCACCAUACUUUUUCCCAUUCUCAAGACUGUCUCGCCACGUAUGGUUUUCAAGACUCCACCUAAAAUGAAAAACUCGAAACUAUCAGAGUCUUCUGGUGAAUGGAAAUUAAAUCUCUUUUUUUCUUUACAGCACAUGCCACACUACCCAAAAAACAUAACCAAAAUCUAAAAUCCAUCGGGAUGAAGUAUCAACCGUUGGAAGUAUGGGAAAGUCUUCAUCGAUUCAUGUCCAAAAUCAACAUUGGACUCCAUCUUUUCCUUGACCAUUGAAUCAGCUACCAAUCCAUUUGAUCUCAAUAGUUACCCAGGAUCCAAUCAUGAACAACCAAACUCUUGAUCCAACCAUUCGGUUUGUUGGGAUCCAAGUGCUUGUGAGCAGCCCAAUUUUCACAACCAAACUCUGAUACCACUUGUUAGGAUCCAAUCACGAAAUAAUCAACUAUUGAGAUAUUAAGUACAUAAUAAUUUAAUGACAAACAAAUUACAAAUAUGGAAAAUAGACGACACACAAUAUUUGAUGUGGUUCGACCCCACCAUUGAGUCUACGUCCACGGCGAGAAACUCAUUCUUUAUUAUGAGAGGAAAAUCCUAUACAAAAAUAUAACUUGAACCCAAGCCCAACCUCUAUAUACCAUCUCUCAUCUCCCAAGAACCCUCUCUCACCUCCAUGCAUAAGGCUAGCCCUUUUGUGUGCCCCUUGUGUGUCUUUGUAUAGUAUGUCAAUCCACCUAUUUAUAGGGAACAUUAUUUGGCCAAAACCCAAAUAACAACAGGAAACCAAUUCUAAUUUCUAGACUUGCAUAGAAUAGAAAAUAACUUCUAAUCCUAAACAAAAUAGGAAAUUCUUUGACUACUAUUUCAAAUAACUAAAAUCAAUUAGAAAACUAGUUACUUUUACACAAAUCAAUACUCCUACCUAAAAGAAAUUAAGCCAAUUUUCUAACAAAUCUCCACCUUGACGAAAAUUUCUUUUAACAAUUUUUUGCCUUCAACUACCAAAUAAUAUGAUACCAAAUUACACACUCGAAUCAAUACAGUCUUGAUAUCAAAUUGAUUCAAUCGGCAAAUGAACAUGUGUAGUUACCCCGAAUCUAGCCUCCAGUUGACUUGUGAGAAGGUGUCUCAAUUCACCGUCUUCCUUUGUAGGAUUUUUUCUCACCACCACUUGCAACCGAGGAUCCCUUUCUGUGAGUUCUAACUCUUAACAUUGAGGCAACCAAGUAGUAAAAUCACCAUAUUUCUUCCUAUCCUCAAGACUGUCUCGCCACAUGUGGUUUCCAAGACUUCACAUAAAAUUAGAAACUUGUAAUUGUCUGAGUCUUUUGGCACAUGAAAAUUAAAUCUCUUUGUUUCUUUAAGACACGUGCCACACCAUCCAAAAAACAUAACCAAAAUCUAAAAUCCACCGGGAUGAAAUAUCAACCGUUGGAGGUGUGAAAAAGUCUCCACCGAUUCACGUCCAAAAUCAAUAUUGAAUUCCACCUUUUUCUUGACCCUUGAAUCACUUGCCUAGAUUCACCGUAUAUCUCCAUACUUUUCGACUUUCUAUCCUUCACCAUCAAAUUUUCCCAAGCCAUUGAAACAAGAAUACCAGUCAUUAAAUUGUUCAAUUAGUAACAGCUACCAAUCCACUUGAUCUCAAUAGUUAACCAAGAUCCAAUCUUGAACAACUAAACUCUUGAUCCAACCAUUCAGUUUGUUGGGAUCCAAAUGCUUGUGAGAAGUCCAAUUUUGCAAUCAAGCUCUGAUACCAUUUGUUAGGAUCCAAUCACGAAAUAAUCAACUAUUGAGAUAUCAAAUACAUAACAAUUUAAUGACCAAUAAGCCACAAACAUGGAAAAUAGACGGCACAUAAUAUUUAACGUGGUUCGACUCCACCAUUGAACCUACGUCCACGGAGAGAAACUAGUACUUCAAGUAACUAAAACCAAUUAGAAAACUAGUUACUUUCACAUAAAACAAGAACCCUACCUAAAAGAAAUUAAGCCAAUUUCCUAAUAAUUCUCUUGAAUACUGACAAUAUCCCUUUGCUUUCUUUUUGGUGCCAUCCUGCAAACACAAAUUAGGUUAGGGCAAAAUCUACCUACACUAAGCUACCCAAUCCUCAACUGGUAGCAACAGGUAUUUGAACACGAAAAUCAAAACUAAGUCAAUCCACACUAAGGUUGGCCACCUGAAGUGUAAAUCAACUAAUUCCAAUAUUCUAUCCAACAUACACACUACAUUACAUCAAACUUUCAAUAAAUAUUCAUUCUUAAGGUACUAUAAGUAAGAUUCACACCUAGGCUCUGAUACCAAAUAAAUGUCACGCCCCAUGUCUGGAAUUUAACACCGCCACGCCCUAGACAAUGCUAAAGAUGUAAGCCAACAAAUUUCCAAAAUAAAUAUAUUUACCUUUAUAUAAACUUUCUAAAUCCGCAAAUACAAGAUCAUCCAUAACAGCAAUUUUGCGUCUUUCAAAAUAAAAGCAAGAUCAAACCUUCUACAAUAUGUACAAUAUUCGAAUCCUAUUAUAAGGUAUCUAAUAUAGAAGUACAAAAGUUAUCCUCUAACCAAAAGUCAUCUCCAUCUCCAUUACCACUCCCAAGUUCUAUCAAGGUCCACUUCAAUGAACUCAUCAUUAACUGCAUAAUUAUAACAAAGGGGUGAGCGAAAUCUCACUCAAUAAGUAGCACAUGUAUCUCAUUAUUGGCCUGAGCAUGUUACAUACAUAAUAUAUAUUUCAAACGCCAUUAACUUACACAUAUAACUUUAUAAGAACAUGGUCAUUAUAAACAUUUCAAUGGCAUAUCAUACAUCACACACAUAAAGGAGCUCAAACCAUAAGACAACAAUUGACCCUGGAUAUCUAGUUAUUAACUUAAUCGGUUAACACGGUUCAUAGUGCUAACUACAAUACGAUUAGCCUAUUUCAUAUUGCUAAUGACAACACAGAUAGAUUGUUUCAUAUACCAACUACUUGUGAGGAACUAGUCCCGUCAAAAGUCGCUUAAACAAGAGCUCAACAAACAUAACAUUUCAUUUUACAAAUGACCAUGGCAAGAGUAAUAACAAAUAUCACAAAUUAUACUUGGUCCUGCCACUUUAGCAAUUAGACAAGUAGCUUUCAAAAUUCAUCUUUCAAAAGAUAAAGGAUACGUGCAUCACUUACCUUGAUCCAAUGGAUACCCACGCUAGUUCAAGUAAUCAAAAAAAUGGCUACCUUAUUCAUCUAGACAUAAUAAUAAAAUAUUCAAUUACAAUCUUAAAGAUACUAAACUACUCCAAAUUAUCAUAAAAAGGAGUCUAAUACUACCCUUAAUGACUAAUUCCCAAAAAAGGAUCAUUUCCUCAUCAAAGCAGGACAUAAGGGUUAAUUUUAAAGGGUCACUAACUUUAAGAAAUAUAGAAACAUGGCAAGAUAUUUACACAGAGUUAAAGCCCCCUGAAUCUAGUUUCCAACGCAACAAACAACACCUAAAUCCGAGUUUCCUACAUCAAGUUAUGGCCAAAAAACUGAAAUAUGGCUGUACAGAAAAUUUAAUCCAUCCGAGAAUUAUAGCCAAUCCAUCUAAGGAUUAUAGCCAUGGAUUUCUAGCACGUUUUCAAGGCAAAAACAAGUUCCAAAUUUGAUAAUCAAGUUCCAUUUCCAUCUCAAAUCAUCUUCCAACCUCCAUAGUUGUCAAAAUCAACAUAUUUUAGCUCCCAAAGUCAUGCAAAUACAUAAACAAUCUUGAAAAUGAAUUGUUAGCUCAAGUAAUUCUUUCCCUCAACAUUUCUCCUUUUUAUAUUGAUGAUAGCCCUAUACCCAUAUGAAAAUAGAGACCAAAACAAACUUUAUACAUCAUAGCCAUGGAAGUUAACCAAAAAUUUGAACCAAAUACUACCCAAUCAAAGAAAACCAAAAUCAUGUUCAAGGUUUCAUGAAAAUAUGUUGGUUAGUUGUCAAAGUAGAAUCUCCUUACUCCUCACUCCUUACUUGUGCUUGAUUUGUCAAGAAUUCUUCUUGAUUGUAAGGAAAAAGGAGAGAAAUAAGAAAGGGUUUUGUUGGAGAAGGAAGGAAGAAAGGAAAUGAAGAAGAUGAAGAAAUUUUUUGACAAGGAUGAAUAGUGAAAUCUCACUAUCACUUUAUUCUUUCAAAAUUUCACUUAUUAACACAUUGGUCACUCAAUUUAACAUCUUUCACUUUUCACCACUAAAUAGUAUUUCUUCGCAUAAAAUUCUCUACAAGACACUUGGGUAUCACAAUAAUUGUUAGGACCAACAAUUCUUAUAGACUGUCUGAGACAACAGUAUUCAUGGAUAUAAAUGAAAGCAAGAACAUUUGAUAUAGCGCUAGGGAUUUUCGUAUCAUCCUUGACAUUUAUAUGCAUCUCUUCUAUUUGGAUAUUUAUCUACAGCGAGUCUUUCUAUCGAUAAUGCCCAACUAAAUAAAAAAGAAAAGACAAUUUGCAUUUUUUCUUUUUUCUCUUUUUUUUCCCCAAUGUGUCAAACAGCAAGAAUGGUAACCUCCUGUUGGAUCCUUAAUCCAACGUUGGACUUAUAUGUGAAUAAUUAUGUAUUUCAAACUAUCAAAUAAGGUUAAAUUCAAUUAAAAUGAUCAAAUAUGAUUUGGACUUAAUGUAUCUAAUAAGGUGUGGGUCUUUAAUGUGUAGAGACUUAAAGGUAUUUUCUAUUUCUAUGAUGGAUUGAAAUAUGAAUCUAAAAGAUAACGGGAAUGCUAUCUAUAAAUAGGGAUAUGGUCCCAGGUCACAAGUAUUCUUAUUGUCAUAUUUUCUAGUACCACAAAACAGUUUUUUCCUAAUAUCCCAUCAUCAGAAAACAUACCAGAGAGAAACUAAAGUGCUCUCUCAAGAAUUGGUAAAUACGUGUUGACUUAGAAGGCUAUCCUAAAAUCUUCAAGGAUUCAAGUGCCAGUUUGUUAAUAUGAAUUUAGGUACGCUUCCGCAUUUAUAUUACAGUUCUAUUCAAAUAUCUAAUAUUGGGAUUCUGGAAAUUCCUACACCUUCUCCCUUUGAAAUUUCAGAGAACAAAACCAAAUAUUUCAUUCCUACUAAGUUAUGGGCACGCAUUACAUCAUUCCUACUAAAUUUAACUAUCUUAACAACUUAGAAAAAGCUAGCUACAUAUACAUUGUCUUCUUACAUAGAUAAAAGAUAUGCAGGGCAUAUAGAAAGAUCGUCCAAAUGGGUUUAAUUUGCUGCUUUUAAGCUUGACAUUUGUAAGACUUAUGACCGGAUAUCAUGGCAAUUUCUAUAGGCUGUUCUAAGAAAAAUGGUUUUUCCAGAAUCCAAGAUUAAUAUUGUUUUGAAGAGUAUCUUUUUUGUCCCUUACUCUAUCAUAGUUUUUUUUUUUUUUUAACUUAGGGUUAUCCGAACUUUUUGGCCAACUAAUUCCCUAAAACUGUGUAGAGUCUUAUUCUAAGGAUACAUAGUAAGAUAGUACACAGGAUUCGAUUACGGGACAUGUUAGUAACUAUCAAACUACGGAAUCAGUCGAACUACCCGCGGGGCACUCAAUCGUAGUUAAUGGAGUACUAUCAUCGGUAAUAUAUCCUACCAGAGGCCUUCGCCAGGGAUGCCCCCUCUGAGCAUCAUAUCUCUGCUUUAUACCAAGAGGCAUUGUCAGCUGCAUUAUGUUCUUUGGCAUCUAUAGAAUCUAUGUCCCCAAAUAUGAUUUUGAAAACCUAUACUUUGACUUACAAAAUCUUAAUUUUUUUUCAAAUCCAAUAAAGAUGGAAGGGAAAUAAAAAUAAACGAAUAAAAAGAUGGAAGGGAAAUAUAAAAAAAAAUAAGAAACAAAAAAUACAAAAUCUUUUUUUGACUACAAAUAUCAUUAUAAGUUUUUAAUCUAAAACUUUAAUGGUAUUUUCUAUUUCUUUUUUAUCUAUUUUUUUAUUUCAAUUUCUUCCUUUUUAUGUUUAGAGGAAAAAAUAAGCAACGAAAGGAUAAAUUUAUCAAUUUAUUAAUUUGAUUUUGCAUUUUACCGCUGACUCUAAGUUUUAAUGAAAAAACUAAGUCACAUUUUAUUUCAAAUCAUGAGGAGGUUAUAUAAAGUUUUCAUACCGUAGGAUGGUUAUGUUGUAAACCACCAAACCAUACGGGGUAAAAGGUAAUUUACCCAUUAAUCUAUGCCCACUAAGUUUCGUUGGAGCUAUAAUGCAUGAAAAAAAAAAGCAUGCGCUUUUCAGCAAAAUGGGGACAUAGACAAAACGCAAAUUUGAAAGUUUCAAUCUCAUAAACAUAAUAACCACCGGAUGUUUUCAUUCAUUCAUAGUGAAAACAAGAAGAUCCGCAGUCCUAGUUAAGCAAGCAAAGCUUAUGAGUCAGUUCAUUCAAAAACUUUCGGAAUUACCUGAAGAAUGAUGAGCUUUGGUGAUACUUUUUUCGGCAAACUGCAAGCUUUCUACAAUUAAGGUUGGAAUAAGAUUGGAUACAAACGUCCUCUUUAAAUACGAGACAUCAGUUUGUAAAGAGGAAGUUAUAUGGUUCUCUUUGGGAAGCUGCAAAUUUUGGUGAUUUGAAACCAAUUUGAAAAUUGACAAAAUUCGUGCUUUCCUUGGCAGCUACUGGCUUUGAUUGAAAGAGAUGAUCUUGGCAAUGGCUAUAUUGAGUCAAAAUCAGACCGUAACGAUCUUGGCUAUGGAAUUUGGAAUGUUUUGUUUCCACUUUCCAAAUGGUAGUUGGCUUGUUGCAAGAAAGAAGAAAAAUUGCAGUGGUCUUCAUUGGCAAAGUUUGAUAAUAUCAUGGUCAAAAUAUCUAAUUGCUCACGUGGGACAUCUUUUUGUAAGUAUUACUGUAUUAGUUGUCUUUUAACUACUUGUUCUAAUUUAUAGGUCAGGCUUUCCAUUAAGGAAUUGAAGCCACCGCCUUGCACUCCAAGGUGGUUCUGUGCACUAAUCAAAUUGAUUUAGAUGCAUUACAGGGUUAGCAAACAAAGUUGUGGGCUUUCAAAUGAUUCUAAUGGAAUUUACUAAUGAAAAGUCUUGCAACUCAGGACUCGUACUUCAAGCUUUGUGUUUGGCAAUUGUCAACCAAUGCCUUACCAAAUCUUAAAGCGGGCAUUUGCAGAAAAUAAAAAUUUUAUUUAAUUUAUUUAUUCAAGAUUUAAUAAAUUAAGUUGAUUUUAAUUAAACUAAAUUAAAUUAUGAAAGUCCUUUAUUUUUGAACUAACAAAUUGGACCAGUAUUAUGUGGGCUGUAAAAUCAAUUAAAUAUGCAAGGUCCAUUGAAAUUAAAAUGGAUUAAUGGAAUCAUUAAUUCACAAUGGACUGUUGGGCUAGCUUAUUACUAAAAUCAAUAUUAAAUAGAUUUCAAAUUGAACCAGUAUUAAACGAAUUGUUGGGCCAGCUUAUUGUUAAAGCUUUUCACAUAUAUUGUUAUAAUAAAAUAUUUCAAAACAUCCGUAAAAAUAGUUAAUCCAAACAGAGACAUGGUUUUUUUAUAUUACUUUAAUUAAUUUUUUUUUUCUUCUUUGGCUGCAAAAAUUACGCACCACCAUAGGAAUAAUUCACUUAAUGAACUUCGGAGGUCUCUGACUAAAAAUAGCGGAGCAAUCAUUGAUGGCAAUUUGGCAAUGGAAAUGAUGGCAUUUGACCAUGUUAUUAAUGGCACUUUAGAUCUAGCCUCAAAAAAUGCUGAUUCUAAACAUGAGGAUGGUUUCUUAGAAAAAGGUUGUCCUCUUUGUUCUCUUGCUACGGUAUUUGAAGACAAUCACUAUACGCAAGCAAAAAUGCCUAAUCCCUCCUUUCACUCAGUCGCUUCAUUUUUCUUCAUUUCUCACUUGUUUGUUUUUUGGAUUUAUAGAAGAAGUGCCUUUUAAAUUUACAGAACAAGAAGAAGAUGAUGAAUGCGAGAGAAAAGAACCCUGUGGUCAUAGCACAUUGUGCUUCCUAAAUUGCCCCUUCAUUAUGUCUAGUGAAUCACACAACGGUGGAAUCUGACAGAAUGACUCAGGAUCAAAAUACAUACUUUAGAUAGUUUAGUAGCCAAAAUCAAAUUGUUAAUAGUUCAGUGACCAAAACUCAAUGAUAGCAAAAGUUUAGUGGCUAAUGAGGUAAUUUGCUCGAAAAAUAAUGAUAGAAGCAGCGAAGGGUGAAAUUUGGAUGUUCAUGCUACUGAGAAAGUUUUUGUAUGACUGAUUCCCUGGAGAUUGCUAUCACUUGAGGUAGGGGAAACAACAAUGGAGGCUCUCUGUCUUGGAGGUGUCUGAAGCAAAAAGUCCUGGGCAGAAAUGUGAAACAAAAUCUGAAUUGUGGGCUUGUGUUUGCUGCUGAUGACUGUAUUAUUGUCCACCGAAGUCUUCCGCCCAAACAAGGUGACCCUCCUAUUAUCCCUGCCUCAUUAUCUACUUCAUGUUUUGCUUCUACUAACUCCCCUACCACAUAAAACGAGUUUUGGGUCGAGGGUUAGGUUAGGGCGCUAGAACUCGAGAAGGGGAUGAAGAAGAUUGAAGCUUCUGUGGUCUGGAGCUUAGGAUUGAGGAUGCUGGAGUUGGGUUUGCGUUUUGCCCGCCAAUGAUCACCCUGAGUUGCUUAAUUUGGUAGAGAAAAAUCAGAACAUGGGAGUGGCCUGGAGGCAGGUUACUCCAUGCCAGCGACCUAAUUAAUAUUGAUAUGGGUAAAAUACAGUAAACCCCUCUAUGGUUAGGAAAAUAAAUAUGAAACUCCCUCAUUGUUUAAAAAUACCCAUUUAACCUCCCUUGUGCUUUGAACAUCUUUGGAUUUUGACUGCUAACAGGUUGGGAAGCCAGUAAUAAUAUAAAAUACCAAAAAUACCCUCAUUUAUAAUAUCUCAAAAGGCACAGCUGCAAUUAGUAGAUCUUGAGUGGUACUUCAGGUGCAGAGAGAGAAAGUGGAUGAAACCCUAAACCUAUAGCACUAUCUUCUUCCAUGACAUCAAUAAACUACAGAAUUUUCGUGUGUAUCUCACAGAUGAAGAAGGCAUUUUUGUGCAGAUUGAUCGAGGGUUGCGAAGCAUCGAGCAUAGCGAUUAACAAGGUAAUCUCAUAUCUGAACCCUAACUUUACUUGUGUUGAUUGGUUUCAUGGUAGACGUUUGGUAGUAUAUUGUUGGAGAUAUUUCGAAACUUGGUAAAAGAAGUGAUAGCUCUGGCUUAGUCAAAAGUAUUGUCGACAAUCUUUAUCGAAAAAAUUUAUAAAAAAAAUUGCUAAGUAUGCAAAAAGGAGAAAAGAAUGGGUCUUUGCGGAGUAAUCUAGACUAUUGUGGUCAAUACUGGUAUUGAUUAUGUUUUUUAACCUUUUAGAUGAGUGUGUUAAUGUUGACUAUGCUUUUUUGAAACUAAAAGUGUAUGAAAUAUUGCCUGUCGUUUUCGAUACAUCUGAAAAUUAAAUUAGUAAAUUUAUCUCUGUUACUUUGGUUUAGAUGUAUAAGAAUGGAAGAUAAUCUGUUUAAGAGUAUAGACAUAUACAUGCAUUAUGGUGGAAAUUUCAAAUGAAACUGAGAAUUAGAUACACCGGCGAACAAGUGAGGAUAUUUUGUGGAUGGAACCCUGAUGAAUUUUCUCCAUUUGACUUUCAAAAGAUGUAUGACACAAUUGAGUGUGGUGUAAGCAAUAUGAAUUUCUAGUACUCUAUCCCCUUUCAUGACCUUGAUGUUGGUGUUGUUAGUAUUAAGGAUGAUGCCGACAUCGAAUUAUUGACAAUAUGUUAUGAAAGGCUUCCAGAAAUACACAUAUAUGCUGAGAAAGGGCCUGAACCCAUUGAAGUUGUCUUUGGAUGAAUAAUUAUUGUACAAGAAAGUGACUGGUGAUAGCUUACUUGCACUUCCAUUUCGUGAUAAUUGGCAAUUGGUGUGUUCAGAUUGGAUUAUCCGCAUUUGUUAAAGGCAGUGAUAACUUUGACCCUACAAUUAUUGGGAAUGAGUACAAUAAUGAUAUUUCACAUAUUAACUAUAGAAGAAAAGGCAUCUGUGAUGAAGUGUCAUCACAAAUGGAGUUGGAUCCAAUUUUUGUGGGACCACAUAGAGAGCAGAUACAUGAUUAAACUAAUAAAUCCAAGUGGAAGAAAACAAUAAAUGGUAAAAAAACUGAGUGGCAAAGAGUAAAAUUAACUGCAAGGAAGUUAGUCCAGCAGUUAGUUAAAGAGAAGGAAAAAGUUGAUACAACUACAGAGGUCUAGCAGUCUCCCACAAGAAAUUCAGCAGAAGAAACAACAUUUGGGACAGAUCCAACAGAAGAAACAACUAAUUUGAGGGGAGAAAAAAUAGCUGAUGAAGGUGGAGAGAAAGAUGAUGUCGUACCAGACUAUUUAGAUCUCCCGGACUGGCUAAGAGAAGGACUAGAAGGGCCUAAAGAUUAUGAUAUAUUUGCAGGCUUAAAUGGUCAAGAAUCAACACAGGCAUCUAUUAAUUCAGGAUCUAUAAAUUUUGUUAGAGUUGGUUCAGAGUAGCAACAAGAAAAUUAGCAAGCCAAAGCUAGAAAACAAGCUGGUAUAGAUCAACAACAAGAAAAUUAGCAGGCCUAAUCCAGAAAACAAACUAGUUCAGAGUAGCAACAACAACAUCAGCAAUCGAAAUCAAGAAAACAAGCAAAGAAACAGACCCAUGAAGAGAGGAGUCAACCAACACCAGGUGUGGAUGAUAGAUGCCGUGUCAAUGAGCAGGAAGAGAACUGGAAUGACCUAGUAAAGGAUGAUGAAAAGCUAUUUGACAAUGGGAUAAGAUCUGAUGAAGAAAGCAUCCCUGUUUAUAGUUACUUCAAUGCGGAGAAAAAGUUUAGGAAAGAGCACUUUGAACUAAAGGUUUGACAGAAAUUUACUAGCUUCUCCAAAUUUAGGGAGACUUUAGAGGAGUGGGAAAUUAGGGAGGGUAUGAGCACAAAUACAUCAGAAAUGAAGGCUCUCGAAUCACAACUAAAUGUGCGAAGGGGUGCAGUUGGAGAAUUCAUGCAUGCAGAAUCCAGAGAACAAAGACUUUUAUGAUCAAAACUCUUAAGCGAGAGCACCAUUGUGGUAGGGAUUAUAGCAAUAGACAUGCUACUUCAACAUAUCUAAGUGAAAAAUUUCAGGCCAAGGUGAGGGAUGAUUGUGGGUGCAGUACUCCGGGCAUAGUAAAUGAGACAAGAAGACUAUUUAUGUUAGACAUUAGUGGGAAGAAAACUGCCAGAACAAAGCAGAAAGCAUUAGAGGCACUUAGGGAAAAUGACAUGAAGCAAUAUCACAGGCUUUGAAAUUGUGUAGCCACUGUAAAAAAGUCCAAUCCUGAUACUCAUAUUUCACUGCAAAUUGAUAGGCAAAGUGUUGAGGAAAAAGCUACAUUUCAGAGGAUAUACUAUGGAUUAGGUGCUCUGAAGAAUGGUUUUUUAGAAGGUUGCAGACCUAUAAUAGGACUAGAUGGCUAUUUCCUAAAGAGUCCCUUUGGAGGUUAGCUGCUUACAGUCAUGGGUAGGAAUGCCAAUGAAAAUAUGUUUCCUAUUUCCUUUACUAUUAUUGAGGUAGAGAACUAUGACAACUGAUAAGUGACUAAUUUACGUAAUAAUUGGAUGAUAUUUUAUAUUAUUUUUAGUCACUUUGGUUAUAUUAUUGGAAUAAAAUGAAUCAUUUUGGCUAUAAUUGGUGAAAAAUGCUUUUAAGUAAUUAAAUGAAGUUUUUAUCAUUUUUUACUUGGAUUUUGUGCAUUUUGACAUAUUUUUGUAUUUUGGCUAUAACUUGAGCUAAAAUGAUCGGAUUGAGAGAAUUCUUAAACCAAUUUGAAGAUAAGAGAUAGAUCUACAACUUUGGUGAAGACAUCUGAAUCCAGUUUGAAGGUUUUCCAGGUCAAAAAGCCUAAUUACAGUAGCUAAUUUCCAUUGAUCGAAGCUGAAACAGAGCAAUGAGCAGUCAAAGGUGUUUUGGUCAUUUUGCAGCCUACACAGAUCCAAAUGAGGUGAUUCUUGAUGCAUUGGAAAGCUAACCCAAGGGGCUACAAGUUUUAUGUUUUGGUCAACGGCUAAAUAAGCUUUUAUCAUCAAGAAAAGUUCAGUUGAAGUUGAUGCAAAAGUGGAGCAGAGCUGGAAAUUGAACAAAAGUGCACCAAAAUGUCACUGUAGUAAUCCGGCCGGAACUUGGCUGGAUUUGUGGCCGGAUUUGUGGCCGGAUUGUGGUCAAAGAAGGCUGCUCUUUACGCGAAAAACUCAAUUUCACCUCUACUAAGUCACAUGUAAUACUAGACAUGUGAGAAACAUUACCAGCUGUAAAAGGGAAGUGUAGGCCUCAUUUUCUUGACUUCCUUUGUCUUGAAAUAGUCAAAUCUUGCAAGCAGAAUGGGAUCAUCAUAUGGGAGAAUAGAGAGACAUACGGGAGAAACUUGGAGUCUGCAAAAAUGUAAUUCUUCCAUUUUCCUUAGCGUAGGAUAGUUUUAGUUUUAGACAGUUUAUCCUUUCUUGUAUGUUAGCUACAUGAAGAGGAAGAUGGAGGAUGAAGAAGGCAAGAAAAUGAACUCAUGUGACAAGGGUUACAUUCCUUCCAAACUCUUUAUCUUUUGUACUUGAUUUUAUUGUUUAGUUAAUAUACAAGUCUGGAUUUUAUGUUAUUUAUGUGUCUCUAAAAUUUAUGCCUUGGGUUUGGUUGAACUUCCUAUGAUUGUUAGUGUUUAUUAUUUAACUAUUUGAUUGCUAUGAUUUGAGCAAGUUAUUUAGUACUUUAGCUCUUUAAAAUCAUGAUUAAUCUGGUAUCAUUGAUUGUGAUUAUCUAAGGUGUCGUUUUUGCAAUGAAAAUUGAGAUUUAAUACUAUUUCAAGAAGUGCUAAACACAGGGAGUACACUCACGAAAGUAGAGGUGCACCUAUGUGGUUUUUAGUGAUUCAUUUCAUGUAAUUCACUGAAGAAAUGAACUUGUAGCUAAUUUCAUAACCAUGAGAAUAGGUAUGGAUUAGUUAUAAGUAUAAUUGAUUUACUACGAAAGUAGGAUUCAAAUGCAUAAGGAAAUUACACCAUAACUAGCCUAGAUGUAGUACUCAAUGAUCCAAAUAUAGCACUUGCAUGAGUAGUUAGGGAUACCACAACCUAAUGAGCUUUUAUUUGUUAUUUUGUAUAAUUUCAGUAGGUUAAAUUUGUUAUAAUUCAUUGAUAGUCUAAAUAAUAGAGAAGCUUUAGUAAUACCGGUAAUUGUUCACUCUUCCCUGUGGGAUCGACCCAAUAUAUACCCAAAACUACUAGUUGACCUGUAUACUUGCAGUGAACGGGUGUAAUUCGAUUUUUUUUUAACUUGUACGUAUAUUAAAAUCCCGUCAACAACUAGAGCUAGUUUUUGAGAGAAUUAAUCACCCAAAUUGGAGAAGGAAACAAAGGAAUGGCUUACACUUUCAUUUCGGAUAGGCAAAAGGGUCUUGUCUAUGUAAUUGAGGCGCUGUUCCCUGAAUUAGAGCACAGCUUUUGCCUAAAACACAUGUUCAAGAACUACAAACAAAGAUUCAAGAAUCAAAACCUUAGAGACAUGUUCUAGGAAGUUGCUGCAGUAGCAAGUAUGCCAGAGUAUGAAACUGCCCUAUCAAAUCUUGAAAGGGUUGACCCAAAGGAAGGUGACAAACUAACAAUUGCAGGAUGGCUCAAACGGUUGCCUCUAAAGCUUUGGUCCAGAGCCCACUUUAGUACUAUUUGUAGAAGUGACACGUGCAUCAACAACAUUAGUGAGUCAUGGAAUAAUUACAUUCUAAAGGGUAGAGGUGAGCCAAUAAUAACAAUGCCGGAGUAGAUUCGGAGGAGAUUAAUGCAAAGGUUGGUAACCAAACGAGAGGGCAUGCUGAAAUAUAGCAGCACUUUAUGUCCAAACAUUCACGAGAAGUUAGAGAAACUGAAGAUAAAAGCAAGAAACUGUGUCGUGGUUUAUGGAGGAAAUAGGAAUUUGGAAGUUGAUGGCUAUGGAAGGACUAAUGUCAAUUUGGAUAUAAAGACAUGUACCUGUAGUCAUUUUCAACUUAGUAGAAUUCGAUGGGUGCAUGUGGCUGCUUGCAUUCAAAGCAGAAAGUUGGAAUUCGAGCAAUUUGUUGAUGCUUGUUACUAUAGGGAAGUAUAUUUAAGGGCCUAUAACUUCACAAUUGGUCUUGUUCUUUCGAAGCAAUUCUAGGUGGAUAGCAAAAUGCAGUAUUUGAACCCACCAUUGGUGAAAAAACAACCUAGUAGGCCAAAGAAACAGAAGAAGAAGGGUCCAAAAGAACCUACAAAUCAGCAUAAAGCAAGUAAGAACGGGUCUGGCAGUCUACUGGCCGAGGUGUUUGAAAUUUAGACAUAACAUUAGAACCUGCAAAUCAGCAAUUCACCCUAAGUCCAAGCUAUACAAGAUAAUGUAACAUUUCAGAACCAAAUCAUUUCUCUAUUUUGUUUUGUUGCUGCUUAUACAUCCAGCCAUUUCGAUGUGAACUAUAAGCACCUAAAUGUGGUCUAACAGUUUCAAAUGCAACAUUCUGGCUUCUGUAGCUCAGGCUAGUGUCGCAAGUACUACUGCUACUACUCUUUCACAGGUACUAGUUCUCAAUUGCCUAUUUUUGGGUAUUGUGACCUGCUUACACACUAAGCAGUGCCACUUAUAAGCAGGAACCAAGUUAGCCUAUAAGUGGUACCAAUCAAGAAAGCUAGAAGAGUAAAUCUUCAAAGAGGAAGCAACCAGCUACAGGAAUGUCAAGAUUGCAACAUUGUGGCUCUAAGAGACCAAAAACAUGAACUAUAGUUAUCUCUCUUUUGUUUGUCGAAUAUACUGGUUAUGUUAACCACAUUGAUCCCUUCUGGGAUUGAAUCGUAAUAUUUAUUGAAACUAGAAAACUCAGAUUUUGGUUAUGUUUUGGUAGAUUGAUACCAUUAUGGUAUGAAUGUAGUAAUAUGCUUCAUUUUUAUGGCAUUCGUGGCAGUAUUGCUGGUGACCCUUUUUGGGAUUGGAUUAUAAUAUUUACUGAAACUAAAAAACUCAAAAUUUUGGCCUUAUUAUGGUAUAUUGAUACCAUUGUGGUAUGGAUGUGGCAAUAUGCUAAUGGUAUCUUUGAAAUAGAUAGGUGAUAUCUUUACUAAAAAUGAUUUAAUUUGACAAGUUCAUUGCAAUGUAAUCUCCAGUCUUUCAAUUUUUUUGUCAUGUAUUUUUUAAAUGUCCUGCAACAAAACAAUGUAGCUUCAUUCGUUCAUCUUAAUUAAAACCAGAAUGUCUACUUCAUUACAUCCAAUUGAAACUAGAUGUGGCAACAUGUUGGACAUAACAAAAUCUACCAUUGUGCCCAACUCCCUCAUCUACUACACAUUUUUUAUACUAAUUUGUCCUGAACAUUCAUCUCAUACAUAUAACAACUAGUGACAAAAGAGACACAACUACAGACACCAUCAUCAUCAUCUUCAUUAGCCCCAUCAUUGUUUCGACAUUGUGAAUCUUUGACUGUAGUGUCUCAUAAUCAUAUUAUAGUUAUUACUUUCCAUCCCUUGCCCAGAGAUGAAAAAUCUUUCCGCCAUUGCAGAUCCAGUUGGUGAAACUCCUUCCAUGUAUGGAUUUUGGCAGGAUGAUUCAUUAGUGCCUCCCUCUCUACUAAUUGGGUUGCAUCAUGUCCAGAAUGAACAAGCACCAUUUUCACAUACAAAAUACAACAUAUCUUUUGAUGGUUUUUUAGAUUCCACUAUCUUAAUCUUUGCUUUAUUCUUGCAAAAACAUCAUCAAUUUUGGUACCUUAGCUUGACAUUUUCGGUUUUUUUCCUUGAACAAAGCUAUGUUGUGCCCUCCAAAGCUACGCUCUUAUGAUUUUUGUCUUAAUUUUGUGUCUCUCUGUCCAAUUUUUCCAUUUGCAGAAUAACAACUAUGGUGGGUUUCAUUUGUAAGAGACAUGGAGAGAAAAAUGGGAAUGAAAACUAGUCUCUUUCAGUCACAUGCGGCCAUUAGGUCGCAUCAAUGUCACUUGCUAGCUUCCUAGCCGGUUAGCAGGUAAAAUCCAAAGAAAUCCAAGGCACCGAGGGAGGGUUAAGUGGGUGUUUUUAAAUAAUGAGAGGGUUUUGUGUUUAUUUCCCUAACCAUAAGGGGGUUUACUGUAUUUUACCCUAUUGAUAUUGGUGAGGUGGAAUUUGGGGCAGAACCCCUCUAAGAAUUUGUGUUUCUCCCCAGUGUCUCAAGAGGUAAUCAGGCCCUGCUUGAAUUCUAACCCUGCUGGUAGACCUAGUUUGGAAGAACUAUUCAGGGUUAUUUGUUUAAGGACCUUAAGCCAUUUGAAAAGGUGGUAGGGAAAAUCUUUGAGGUGCGCAUUUUUUAUGGUAAGGGCACCUACAAACUGGUGAAAAUUCUUGGCCACCACCAGGGGGAAUGUCUGGUUUACCAAGCCAAGUAUGAGCCCAUCAAAAGCACUGAUCACUCUGUGGGUUUGAAGGUAAUGGAGAAGGAGAAGUGAGUUGCUCCAGCAAUCAGCUGAGAUCAGUGUGGAUGCUAAUUCCCAUCCGUGUAUCAUCGGGGUUAUAAACGAAUUUGCAAGCGGUACAAGUUAUUGUGCCUCGAUGCCCUUAUUUGAUAAGGGUUCAUUGAGGCUUCUUUCAAGGAAUCGAUGAAAUGAUGGUUGACCCGACGAUUGUAUUGCCCUGGUUCGGAUGGAACCCUUAAAAGGUCUUGGUAUCCUCCAUGAAAAUCAUAUGGUUCUCAAACGUGCCAGUCCAGACGAUAUUUUUUCUGUAGGAAUCCUUUAUGCAUUGCUUUGGGUCAUGAUGCAACUCUGUGUCAUGCUUGGAAUUCUGACAAUGCUAAAAAUUCAGUGAUAAAUUCAACGAUUGAUGAAUUCAGUCAUGCUUCAGAAGUCUAUGAUACUGGGGAGGCUUAUUCCUCGAAGGCUGACAUAUGGCUCCUCAGAUUAACUGCUUUGGAGUUGGCCUAUCACCGCAUCCCUGUCAAGACAAGAGCAGGCUUAAUGGUUGUUAUACAUCAAUCAAAACAAUUGUUUGCCUACAGGACUGAAGCACCGCUUGUCUAGGGAGAAACGAGACAGUUCGCCAGCAAUUUCGGUCACUUUGUCAGCCUAUGCCUCCCUGAAAAUCCAGCACAAAGACCAUUAGCUAUCCAGCUGUUGGAACAUCCAUUCUUGAGAAGUUGCACUAGUCUUGAAUGUUUCGAUAAGGUGCUUUAAGUAAUAUGGCCAUUUUGAAGCUUCUCCUCCCCUGAGUCUGCUUGAAGUAUUUCGUGUUUUCGACUUAUUGUUUUUGAUUCUUAAAGGUGCUCAAGUAAUGUGGCAAGUUUGAAAAGUUCUCCUGCCUAUGUUAAAAUGAGAAAUUUCAUAUUUUCGGUGUACUGUUUUUGUGCUCUUAAGUUUAUCUUGCUUACUUUUUGACAUCUUGUGAAAUUUAAGUAUUUAGAUUUUUUUUUAAAAUUUUGGGUUAAUUAUUGACCUUUUGAAAUUGAGAAUGCUUGGGUGUUGGUGUUAUAACAAUUUUUUUUGGGUUGCUUCUUCUCAAAUUGUUACUUGGGAGCUUUAUUUUCCCCUGAUAAGAAGAAGAUGAGGCAUCAACAAUUAUUAUCCCUGGCAAACCAACAUUUAUUUGCAACAUGUCUUAGUAUAAUGAUGGAAUAUUUUAGUGCCUUCAGAAUCAUAUUGCAUUUGGUUAUGCAGGUAAAAUUUUCAUAGGAAGGGGAAAAUUAAAAGUAGAAAUGCCUUUAAUAAUCAUUUCACCAGUCAAUAAUUCCUUCACAAUGCCAAUUGACAAUGGAUGUUGAAACUUUGAACGCAUAAAACUACUUUAUUGAGAGGCAAUUGGUGACAUUGUGUUUACUGAAGUGAUUCUUUGCAAUGCUACAGAACGUAUGAACUAGUUAUAAAACCAAACCGCAUUGAUAGCCUCUACUCGUGUCCUACCUCGUGAGAGCUAGAUUUGCUAAUACUUUGAAAAUUAAAGUUUUUUCACCAUUUUAUCAUUUUUGGCACUGACGGGCUAUGUUAUUGCAUCUGGAUAAUCCACCUAAUUCUAUCCUAAAAUUCUAUGCAGUUGUGUUUUUCUUCUUCAUCUCCUCAGAUCUUUUUUCUUUUUUCCCCCCCUUUCCUCUCUGUUUUGAACUUAUGCCUCAUGGUAUGCCUAACUUGCGACCUUCAUAAUGAUAUGGCCUAUUUCUUAAUGUCAGUUUGCUGGCGCCUUCAAGCAAUCUCAAGUUCUUAGGAUCAGAGAGUUUGUCCAAAAUGGUCUUAUUUCUGUAGCUCUUUUACGGAAUAUUCCAUUCUGCCGGAGCAGCAGACCUUUUGGCAAAAUGUACUUGUGGCUUCAAUGUUUUGGAGCAGUUAGUCUUGCCUUGUCCUUUUUUGCAAUAUCUGCUGGAUUUGAAUUCUACUUAACAUCCUCGAGAAAGAAGAACAACUUGUAGUUUCCACUCUAGACGUGUAUUAUUGAGGUUGACGUUAGUCUGUUUUAGUUCUUUGAUGCUUGCUAAAUUGUGUGUUCAGUGCUUUGUACGGUUGUGUGACUUUCUUCAAGCAAUCUGUGCAUUGUUGUUUUCUCAUUCAGAAAACUUGCAAUCCUUAAUAGUUGUAAGAAAUGGAUUUUCUGUCUCCUGAUUUCAAUUAAACAUGUAUGUAUGUGUAUCUAGUCUUUCAAAAUGGAGCUUCUGAAGUAUCAGCAUAUUUUACACUUGCAGACACUAAUUCUAGAAAAACUAGAGAUAAAUAUAUAGCGAGUUCUUUCAUCCUUGUAGUCACUGUGCUGACAACUUCCAAAGUCUCAUGAAGAGCUUAUUGUUUCCUAAAUUGUCCAUUAUGUUUGACAAUUGGCAGUAGUUCAACUUGAGGAUAUGUUGGCUUCUAGCCACUCUGGUAUCUUCAGUGCUUUAGUCUAGAUAUAUAUUGAACUCUUGCUAACAUCCUGUUCAGCUAGUUUGCUCGGAUAUGAGGUCGAAGUGGCCGGUGUGUAUCGUACUGCAGGAAAUCAGACAUUUGAUCCAGCGGAUGGGUGCAUCUCUUCACCAUAUAUUCCGUGAGGCCAAUUCGGUGGCGGACGCAUUGGCUUCUCUGCAAUUGGGAGGGCAGCAGUACUACAUCUCAGAUGCGGCUCUGCCUAUCAGGCCCAGAGGAGAGGCUCUUCUGGAUCGUCACGGAGUACCUCGGAUCCGUGAGGUGCUCACUAAGGCUUGAUUGUUUAUGUCCUCCCUUCAUAGAUCAUAUUUCGUACACUCCUUGUAAACAUUCUUUUUCUUAUCAAUAAAAUGAGACAAGUUGAAAAAAAAAAAAAGAAAAAAAAACUAACCAUUGACAGUUAAUUGCGUACUACGAAAGUAUACAACUAAUCUAUUUCUCUAUUGAAUCUUUCUUGUGGACCAAGAAUAAAAGCGUAGCUUGAUAAAGGCACUAUUAAACUUUGUACAACUAUAAAAUCUCGAAAGUUACCCAAAGUAUAAAUCAAACAACAUUGUUGUGAUUAUUAUUCUGCAUUUUCAUGAAGAGCAUGUCCGAACCUCAAACUUUUAACUAUUCUUGAUCACAGAUGAAACAGGAAGCUAAAAAACCAACUUUUUUUUUAGGGUGGAUCACUUAAAAAAUGGAAUGACAAUUGAUUUAGGGGUGCAAAGUUUAUUAUUUAUUGAAAGAUUUUCUUCAGAGCUCAGGCAACUUCAGCUGUCAGUAUUAUGAGGUCCAUUAAUUGUGGAUGAGAUACAACAUGUGGUAGUAGCUUGGUGGAAGAUUCCACUAACACAGUAACCUUGGAAAUUAGCUCUGGAAUGGGACCUGUCCCAGAAGUGUUUUUGCUGAUCUACUUGUAUCUAGUAUAGGCUUUGCUUUACUAUGUAAAUCUACAUUGCCCCCCCCCAAAACACACAAAACACCAAAAACGCCACCAAAAGAAAGGAUCAACUAAGCAAAUGCAUAUAUUCAUUUAGCCCAAUCCGCCAUAUUUUUUGUUUCAAGAAAGCUCCAAUGUGGUGGAGUACAACUGAACCACAUUCAAGAGUUCUAAGAGAACUUUCUAGUUUACAUUGGAUAUUAUGUGCACAUCAAAACUCCUUAAUCUCUAUUAACAAGAACAUGUUCACUAUCCAGGUUAGACACUCCAACAGGACUAGUAGCCUGCUUGCUUUACAGGUUUACAAUCAUAGCUGGUCUAUCCGCUUGAAAAUCAUUGAGAGCCUAGAUGAUCGUGAACCACACAGUAUAUCAAGAAAAAAAAAACACACACACACACACACAAUCACAGGUGCCUCUUUUUCCUUAGCACAAAAAAAAAUUCUGAUACAGAAAAAUUUAGAUGAGUUCGACAAAGAAAAAAGUGGAAUACAUCCCAACGUUCAAACACAUUUGCUUUAAAAACACUAAAGUUUUGGUUGACAUGAACAAGAUUUCAAGCACCUAAAUCAGUCUCAAGCAACUCAAUUGCAUUAAACAGGAAUCAGAUUUGGUGGAACCAGAUUUCAAGUGCCAUCAAGCAACUAAAUUGACAUCAAACAACCCAAUUGCAUUAAAAAUGAAGAGCAAACAAUUUAUUUAUACCUGACACAGAAGUUGCUUAUUUGCGCAAGUCUUUCAGCUGGUUAGCUAACUCAUCAUACAGGCUUCUUGUUUCUGUUUGUUGCUGUUGCAAGGUCUUAAUCAACUCUUGCUGAGCAGUGAAUUGUUGAGUUACUUCUGCAGCUCGUUUUUCUGCUUCAUCUGCUCUUUUUCGGCUGUCCUCAAUCUCAUGCCUCCAGCGUUCUACCUCAGCAGCUUGCUUCUUGGUUGCACUACGACCGCGGAUGUGUCCAGGUACGUAACCAAGUUCUUGCUCGCAUAUUUCUUUGCUAGUCAUUGAAGUUGUAGCCUGCAAUUCCCUCAUUUUGUCCUAGGCAAGUAAAAAAUAUGAUCAUUAUGUAGCUGGAAUGGAUGUCAAUAAUUUAAAAAUCCAUUAUCCAAGUGAAACAGCUCACCAAGGUCUCUUUUGCUUUGUCAUUUACCAGCCCCCCUGACUUCUUUGACUUUCGACUUAACUCAAACAUGACUAUCUCUGAAAGCUCGACAUCUUCUUUCCUUUUCUGUCCAAAUUUUCAAUUUUUUCAUUUUCAGUCAUAUGACAAAAAGGAUGUACAUGUACAACUGUUGGCUGGGUUUCAGAUUACCUUUUCCUCAACAACUCUUGCAAGCGAUUUUGUGCCAACAGUAGUGUAGCAGUCAUUUUUGGCACGAUUUUGCUUGUUACGUUCACUAAUUUUCUGCCACAAAUUAGUGAAAAUUUUAACUGACAAAGAUUAGCAAAUUUGUGAAGUGAAAUCUGAAAUUUAAUAAAAGGAUAGGUUAUUUUGACAAGCUAACCUUAAAUUCAUCAUUUUCAAAGUAGCUGACCAGCCACUUCCAAUCUUCUUCACUCACACCUUCAGGAACUUGCCUCAAUGCUUCUUGCCUUGAUUCAAAACUCUGGAAAUACUUGUGAAGCCGAUAUCGAUGGUUUCGAUAUUGUGUGUUUAACUGCCUAUUAAUAGCAGUUUUUGAGGUGAUGUGCUCUGGAAAUCGAAAGUCAUCCUACAAUAACAGUGCAAUCUACUUAAAACCAAGCAAAUCUAAAGCAGUAAAAUCUCUCAUACUUUCUGGAUGAAAUUAGAGUAUUAGCAGGACAACAAAUACCGUAACCGUGCUGUAUAUGCCUUCUCGGUCACCGGGAUUGAGAUGGGACCACUUUGGAACAUUAAGCCUAGCAGCCUUCCUAACAACACAACCCCCUUCUGUGAAAUGAAAGAUAACCACCGCUAAAUGUAUUAUAUAUAUAAACUAGAGAACUUUUAUCAUACAUUGUAAAAAAUUUUGGAUUUACCUUUAGUCUUUGCAAUUUUUACGAAACAAUGGCUUUCUCCAGUGGCUCCAAAAGUUUUAAUAACCAUUUCUUUUUAUUUUUUUGGUCCUAUGGGGGAAAGAAUAAACCAUUCUUUACAGCCAUAUAAACCCAAAAGGUCUAAAGAAAAAGCAAAAUUUCUGUUCGCUGGCAUUCUAACAUCUUGAUAACAAAAAUGAAAGAUAGGAGGCUUGGAUUGAGGACGGGUAAAAUCAUCUUGAAUUGUGCCUGGAACUCCAGGAAUAAUUGGAAAAGUCAUGCAUUUUUAAACACGUUAAUAUCAGGUUUAUGGGUUGAACUAGGUCUCUAGGAUUAUAACAAGGAUUAAUAUCUAUUUAAAUAUUACAGGUACAGAUAAGAACAUUUAUGAGUUAUCAGAGUUUGAAAAAGGUAAGAAAUUGAAAGAAGACUCCUUUCAAGAUUAAUCAAUCAAUUGACUCCAAAAUCCUCAUGAAUAAGAGUCAGCUUCUUCAAUGCAGAAUGAUCAGAGAUUACUCAACAGACCUAAAAGCUGCAAGGAAAAGACAGCACGUGCUUCAUUCAAUUCAAUCAACUCAGUUAUUUUAGACAGCAGAGUACCAGUUAUUAAUAGCUCUAGCAACAUUUUGGGUUCCCAAACAAUACGUCAAAACACUAAUAGGAAUUGUAACCAGAGUGAAGCAGACACCAAAUCUAACAAAGAAACACCAAUAUAAGGCACUGGAAUAAAUUCAACUACAGCAUCUGACUUAUCCAUGUAAUAAAAGACACAGGUGAUGAUCAAAUUUAAACAAAUGAUUGAUCUAUCAAUAUCUCUCCCCUCCAAAUGGAAAAAGCUAAUUAUGAAUGACAGGUAUCGCAUAUACUAUGUUAUGAACCUUGUGUAACAAAUUGCUAACUACUCGAAACAAAAUUUUUUACCGUUCGAAUCUGAACUUGAAUCUUCUAAUCAAAAUACAAUGCCAAACUCAGGAGGAUAAGCCUUGAUGGGUACCGACUACCAAGGUUGAAUCAAAAUUACUGCAUCUCUGAAGUCGGCGACACUAAAAUUCAGCAGAUCCAGGCGUUCGUGGGAAAGGUAUUGCAUCUCUUAUAUUAUCAAUACCAGUUGCAAAUUGCACUAACCUUUCAAAACCUAAGCCAAACCCAGCAUGAGGCACUGAAAAGCAAUUAAAGAACAAAACAGCAUGUUUAGUCAAGGUCAUUCAAAUUAACUCCACAAGGUACCCUGAAAACUAGCUUUCAAACUGAUUCCAUGCCAAGAGUGAAUGCAGCAUUUAAUAAGGCAGUGUAUUGGAACAUCAAUGAUAAAAAUUAGUAGCUGCAAGUUAUCAUCUGCCAUUUGAGACCAAGUCAAACCCCCCCCUUUUGGAAGAUUCACUAAUCACAAACGAAUAACAGGAGAAAAAGAACAACUAAAAAAUGUUGGCCUAAAUCAAUUACAACCCCCCCCCCGGGUGGCCUAAAUCCAUGAUUUCCUCAUCCGUACACAGAAAUUUCUCAAGAUACAAACUGAAAAUGCAACAUUUCAGAAGCCCAAAUUGCCUCGGAUAAUGGCAAGGAAAUGAAGCCUUUCGGGGGCAGGACAAAAGCCAUUGGAUAAUGAGCUAACAAAAAUAGGGGAAAAUUAAAAUGUAGGUUCGAAAAUGGCAAGGAAAUGAAGAACAAAGGGGGAAUACAGAUAUGAAAAUCUUAACUAUUACAAAAGAUUAACCAUUGUAUGACUAAACACACAUUGCACAACAACAUGUUAACGGCAAUUGAAACCCCAAAACAGUUUUCUGGCCAGUUCCCAAACGUGCAAAAUUCUAGUAAAGUGCAUGCUUGAUUACCAGAGAGAGAGAGAGAGAACCAGAGAGUAAAUUACAUUUAAAACAGCCAAAUAAAUUAGGCAAAUCAGUCAAGUUCUCUUCCCCUUAAGGAAGCAAUUAAAUGGCACGACAAAUUGUUUAAUUUCUCUUUCAUCCAACCAAAUUAAUGCAGUCAAAAAAUGUUCGCAUUUCAUAGCUCCUCAAAGAAAGCCGGUUCUGACCAUCCCUAACACUGUUCAUACUCCAGAUCGCAAGUGUUUCAGAGUAUUACCUUCCCCACUGCUAAUUAACAAUCUAGUUCAUAAAUUAGUCUUUACAAUAGAAGGCUGAGCAGCUUUUGAAAGCAAAAAAAAAAACACAUACCGCACAAUUAGCUGAAGAGGGGGUCGGAGAAAAGUCUAAGCUGAAGUCGCGGAACGAGGAGGGAGCUUGGAAGUGUUCUGACUUCGCUUCUUCGGCGAGCUUGACCUGAAGAUUGGCACUCGUCAAUGGUGCUUUAGAGGAGCAUUUUGCGGAAGCAGAAGGUGUUUGAGGUCCAGAGUUUUUCGGUGUUCACCAUAGAAAGGAAAGACUGAGAAUAAAAUUUGUCUAAGUGUUGGAAGAGAGAAGCGGCGAGACUUUUGUUUGUCUGUGAACAACCAAAAACGACGUCGUUUUGUAGAGAUUUCAGCCACCCGCCUCGCGCGUCUUUCAGAUUUCAGACUGGCGCUCUUUUUUUUUUGGAAUCUAAGCACGUCUUUGAGAUUCCAGGAUUCACGCCUUUAGCUUCAUACAUCUUUUUUCUUUUUUUUUUCCCUGGUCAAAUUUUUUUUUUCAGGUUUCUUUUUUCAUACUUAAUCUCUUUUGUUUUCCUUAAUCUCAUCUAUAAAUAUCAAAUAAAUUAUUUGAUAUUGGUUUCUUUUUUGUGCAUGUAUAUAUAUGUGUGCUUGUUUGUGUCUAUAUACAUCUUUUUGGGUUUGGACAACUCAAUAUACAAAUUAUUUAAGAAAUUACCUUACAAUAAAACUUACACAAUAAAACAUGUUUCAAAAAUUUAACAUGCAUAGAAUUGCUUAUAUACAGUAUAGCACUUCUUACUCAUGCUUAUCCUACUCUUUGUCUAUUACUUAGUUUUUAUAAUAAAUUAAAAGAAACAUGUAAUCAAAUAUUCUGUUAAAUGUGUUACAACUCUCAAUCUUAUUGCACGACAGAUAUUUUACUAAAUAAUUUUAAUUUUGUAUAUACCCAUUCCAUAUGAAAAUAUUUAUUACUUAUGAUGUAUUACACGUUAUACUAAUCUUUCACAGUGCUAACAUUAGACUACAAAUUAUAUUCAAUUAUACUUUUUCAAAUUAUUUCAGUUAUUGAUUUUUGGGGGUUGUUAUAAGUAAUAAUAAACAAUUCAUGAAAAAAAUUUUAUGCUCAGACAUGUCUAUUAUGUCAACUUAGCAAAAAUUACAAAUAUCUAAAACUAGUUUGUUAUUAUAUCAUUUGCAUUUUGCUAAUACAUAAUGAAUAGGGGCUAAAUUAUAAAAUUAGGGUGUCAUAUCUUCUGUGCUUUUGCUCAUAUAAAAGAAUUGGGGGCUAAAUAAUAAAAUUAGGGUGCCAUAGUAGAAUUAGUGAAAUUUGAUGAAAAUACUAUAGAAUUGCUUAUAUACAGUAUAGCACUUCUUACUCAUGCUAUCCUACUCUUUGUCUAUUACUUAGUUUUUAUAAUAAAUUAAAAGAAACAUGUAAUCAAAUAUUCUGUUAAAUGUGUUACAACUCUCAAUCUUAUUGCACGACAGAUAUUUUACUGAAUAAUUUUAAUUUCGUAUAUACCCAUUCCAUAUGAAAAUAAUUAUUACUUAUGAUGUAUUACACGUUAUACUAAUCUUUCACAGUGCUAACAUUAGACUACAAAUUAUAUUCAAUUACAUUUUUUCAAAUUAUUUCAGUUAUUGAUUUUUGGGGGUUGUUAUAAGUAAUAAUAAACAAUUCAUGAAAAAAUUUUUAUGCUCAGACAUGUCUAUUAUGUCAACUUAGCAAAAAUUACAAAUAUCUAAAACUAGUUUAUUAUUAUAUCAUUUACAUUUUGCUAAUACGUAAUGAAUAGGGGCUAAAUUAUAAAAUUAGGGUGUCAUAUCUUCAGUGCUUUUGCUAAUAUAAAAGAAUUGGGGGCUAAAAAAUAAAAUUAGGGUGUCAUAGUAGAAUUAGUGAAAGUUGAUGAAAAUACUGUAGUAUACAGUGAUGCAAAAAGUUGUCACAAAAUUGGAACCGGGUAGACUUUCAAUGACAACAAGUUAUGUUGUCACUGUAGAGAGAGCGUUUGUGACGACUUUACUUGAGUUGUCAUAAAAUCAUUUCCCGCGGCAUCAAAUGAGAUGCGCCCCAACUAUUUCGUGACGAGUUGAGAAUGACAACUUCCAAUGUUGUCACUGAUUAUGCUUGUGCUGUACUCAUCUGUGAUGACACCUAAUGUCGUCACUGAAUUAGGUUAUCUGUGACAAGAUUUUUGUUGUCACAUAAAUUUUUGUCACUGAAAAAUAUAUUUCUUGUAGUGAUGAACUUCAAUUUUGAACACUUUACACCUUAAACUCUUAAUUUCAAGCACUUUGUACCCUAAAUUCUUAAAUUUAUUUCAUUUAAUUUCAAUCAAUUAUUAUAUUGAUAAAAUUAAUGAGAUAAAGGGAGGUAAAAAUUAAUAGCAAUGUACUUUUGUUAUUAUAUUCUUAAAUUUGUUAUUGUAGUUUAUCAUGAUUUUCUUCAGGAAAAGACUUAAACCCACCUGCAAAGGCUUAAACCCCACCUGCACUAGGGUACAACAAACAAAGGUGAGUUGGAUAUACUUCCGUACGACUGCAGAACUCAUUUACACAAUGCGAUUUUGAUGCAGCAAUAAGAAAUUAUAUCAAACUUGAAAUCAGUCAUCCUUUGGGGCUCUAUAAAUACCAUCCUCCCUGUCAGUUACGGACACAUUCCUGCCUAGCUACUUUUAGUUUCAGCCAAACUACAUAUUCAUACCUAGCUGAACUGAAAUUAAACUUUCCAUGGCAUACCAGAGCGCCUACAAUAUGAAUUACCAGAUACUACUAUGCUUGAUACUCUUCUCCCUAGUCCUUCUCCUGCCACUGCCAUCCCAUUCUGCUGAUCCAAGCCCAUUGCAAGAUUUCUGCGUUGCAGAUCUUGAUUCCUCUUUAUACAUUAAUGGCUUUCCGUGCAAAAACCCUGAUAACGUAUCUUCACAAGAAUUCUUCGCCAAUGGGUUCCAACAAAGUCCAGGAGAAUUCAAUAUUUUUGACGUCAAUGUCACUCGCCAAGAUGUUCAGCGAUUUCCCUGACUCAACACUCUAGGGCUGUCAAUGAACCGAGUGGUUUUGAAGCCUGGAGGGCUGAAUGCACCCCACGUCCACCCUCGUGCAGCCGAGCUGGCUCUAGUCAUGGAUGGAAAACUGUUUGUAGGCUUUGUGACAACCGGAAACGUUUUCUACUGGAAAAUUGUGACUUCAGGAGAGUUGUUUGUGAUUCCUCCUGGGCUAGUGCACUUCCAACUGAAUAUUGGACACGAGAACGCACGCUUCUUCGCCUCGUUCAACAGUCAAAAUCCAGGGAUUCAGUUCGCCCCCCUUGCUCUUUUUAACUCCACGCCUUCGAUUCCUGAUCUCGUGUUGAGUAAAGCAUUUCAAGUAAAUCAAAGUAUCAUUGAGCUCAUUAAGUCUAGGUUUGCAACUGUGUCGACUGUGUCGACCGUGCUUAAGUCAGCUUACUAACAUCCUAUUCCAGGGUGUUGUUCAUUAUAGUUGGCAUAUUAAAUAAUAAAAUCUUCUAUAUUAUCGUUUAAUUGUAUUUUGGUCAAGUUAAUUUUUAGUAGUUUUAUUGGCGUCAAAUUAGGAUAGUUUUACUAUUUAGAAACUAGUAUUGUAUUAAGUAAUUUCCUAUGCUUGUCAGUAGUCAUGAUAUGUAUUUGGUUGGAAACAAUAAAAGUUUGAGUCUUGUCAUUGAUAUUAGUCCUCUUCAUGUAAAUUAGCCUCCAUAUAUAUAUAUAUUGGUUUUGUGAAAGUUAUCUCCUAUAAUUUUUUUUGGGUAUAAUUAUUAGGCUCUACAUCUGGUAUCGAAUCCUAUUUGCAUGAAAUUAAUCUUUGGGUGAGUUGUCAGAGUUAGGACACAAGAAUUGCCGGGACUGUUCAAUUGAUCACGUAAGGCCAUUAUGUUGGUUUUGGAGUAUUUAAUUGGUCAAAAUUUGGCCAUAAAAUUGGUGUGAAAAUUAUUAACUUGAUUGUGGAUAUUGCUAAUGGUGACAGUUUUUGACAUGGUAAGUAAACACGACACAAAAAAUCCUAAAUGAAACAAGACACGGAAUAAUUUAUGUCAAAAAUGGAUCCACGCGAACAUGACGCGCAAACAGAAUGGGUUGUAUUGGGCCAAUCCGUAGGUUGAUAUGACUAACAUAUUUUUGACACGUUAAGAAUUUUGAAAAAAUGCUACUCGUUUCCCUCCUAAUACUACACUUAAAAUAAAUGGUUUUGUAUUAAGUUUUAUAGUUUAAGAACUAAAAUAAUAUAAUCAACCUACUAUAAGAAUACAUAAACAACACAUAAAUCGAGACUCUACAAAUUCACAUAUGCAACUGUUAUGAUUUUAAUUUUUUGCUUCCUUCCUUUAAUAUUCUUAUUUUCUCAAAUUGAAAGCAUAAACAACCUCUAUGAUUUUAACUUUUCACUUCCCGCCUUCACUCUUCAAAUUGAUCGAAACUUACCUUUAGAUCAAAGAUUGCUCAAUUUUCUUCCUUUCUUGUGAUUAAAUAUCUUUUCUAGGUAAUCUUUAAUAUUUCGCAAAUUUUCUAUCAUUUUUGUCUAUUUUAUUUGAGCAUUUUCUAGUUUAUACUGCUCCUCUAUUUUAUCAUUUUUCCUAUCAUUUUCUUUCUAAAGUUAUUCUUUCUUGUGAAAGAAAAAUAAAAUAGGCUUUUUUUUUGUAUAUUACUAAUGAGAUAAUAAUGCAUCCAAAACUUGUACAAGUAAAAAUCCAAUGACAGGCUACAACUAAAAUUGAUUAAGAGAAUAUUACAUAUUUUCUUGAAAGAGAACCAUGUUUUAUUUUUUUGCAAUAUUUCUCUUAUAAUUUUUAUAUAAAAAGUUAAAUGAGUGAAUUGGGUAAAAACAUGAGAUGAACCUGUCCAAAUGUAUGGAGUAUUGCAGCAACAAAUCUUUUUGAAGAUUAAGAAUUCAAAUUUCUAUUAAUGAAAUUUACAAAUGAGAUUAUUAUUGCUGAACUUGAUUCAAUAGAGAGUUUGAUUUAAGGGAAACAAUGUUGGCAUAUUAAAUUAAAGCUAAAAAUUUGAAUUUUCUAUACUAUUAUUUAGUAGUGUUUUGGUCACACAAAUUUUUUUAAUAGUUCUAUAAGAGCUAAGUUCUGGUAGUACAUUCAAGAUUUGGAGGCUCUAGGACACAGAGGUUCUACGUUCAGAUCUCCGUUCCUCCCCCCCCCCCAAUUUCUUAAAUCCUAUCCCUCCCCUUGAUUAGAAAAAAUUAAAGAAAAAGUUAAAAUAAUUAUUUAGAAAUUGGUACUGUAUUAGAUAAUUAUUGUAGUUAUCAAAUCAUGUAAUCUAUAAGUAGAGUCAUAUUACUAUACCCACUUGAGAAGAUUGAAAGUUUAAUAGUCUUGUUCUUGUGGUGUUAUUAAUAUUAUAUUAUUAAUAUCAUUGUUCUUUUCUCACAUAUACGUGUAUAUGUGUAAAUUAGCCUCCCAUAUAUAUUGGGUUUGUGGAAUUUAUCUCUCAUAAUGAUUUUUUGGGUAUAAUUGUCAAGCCCCGUGCCCAGAACAUAGCACCACCGUGCCCUAGACAACGCUAAAGGCGUAAGACAACAAAUUUCCUAAGCAACUACAUUCACCUUUAUAUAAAUUUUCUAAAUCCACAAAUACAAGAUCAUCUAUAACAGCAAUUUUGCGUCUACCAAAAUAAAACCUUCGACAAUAUGUACAAUUUUCAAAUCCUAUCAUAAGGUAUCUUAAAUAUAAGUACAAAAGUCAUCCUCUAACCCAAAGUCAUCUCCAUGUCCAUUACAACCCCCAAGAGCUAUCAAGGUCUACUUCAAUGAACUCAUCAUUAACUGCAUAAUUAUAACAAAGGGGUGAGCGAAAUCUCACUCAAUAAGUAGCGCACGUAUCUCAUUAUUGGCCUGAGCAUGUUAUAUACAUAAUAUAUAUUUCAAACGUCAUUAACUUACACAUAUAACUUUAUAAGAACAUGGUUACUAUAAACAUUUCAGUGGCAUAUCAUACAUCACACACAUAAAGGAGCUCAAACCAUAAGCCAACAAUUGACCCAGGAUAUCCGGUUGUUAACUUAAACUUAACCAGUUAACACAGUUCAUAGUGCUAACUACCACACGGUUAGCCCGUUUCAUAUUGCUAACUAUAACGCGGAUAUCUCGUUUCAUAUACCGACUACUUGUGAGGAAUUAGUCUCAUCAAAAGUCGCUUGUACAAGAGCUCAACAAACAUAACAUUUCAUUUCACAAAUGACCAUGGUAAGAGUAAUAACAAAUAUCACAAAUUAUACUUGCUCAUGCGAUUUUAGCAAUUAGACAAGUAGCUUUCAAAAGAUAAAGGAUGCAUGCACCACUUACCUCGAUCCAAUGGAUACCCACGCUAGUUCAAGUAAUCGAAAAAAUGGCUACCUUUCUCACCUAGACAUAAUAAUAAAAUGUUCAAUUACAAUCUUAAAGAUACCAAACUACUCCAAAUUAUCAUAAAAAGGGGCGUAAUACUACCCUUAACUACUAAUUCCUAAUAAAAGGGGCUUAAUACUACCCUUAACCACUAAUUCCUAAUAAAAGAUCAUUUCCUCAUCAAAGCAAGACAUAAGGGUUUACUUUAAAGGGUCAUUAACUUUCAAAAAUACAGAAACGGAGCAAGAGAUUUAUAUAGAGUUAAAGUUCUCUGAAUCUAGUUUCCAACGCAACAAACGGCACCUAAAUCUGAAUUUUUUUACACCUAGUUAUGGCCAAAGCAUUGAAAUAUGUCUAUACAGAAAAUUUGAUCCGUCCAAGGAUUAUAGCCAAUCCAUCCAAGGAUUUUAGCCAAUCCGUCUGAGGAUUAUGGCCAUGGAUUUCUAGCACGUUUCAAGACAAAAACAAGUUCCAAAUUCGAUAAUCACGUUCCAUUUCCAUAUCAAGUCAUCUUCCAACCUCCAUAGUUGUCAAAAUCAACAUAUUUCAGUUCCCAAAGUCAUGUAAAUACAUAAAUAAUCUUGAAAAUGAAUAGCUAGCUCAAGUCAUUCUUUCCCUCAACAUUUCUUCUUUUUAUAUUGAUGAUAGCCCUAUAUCCAUAUGAAAAUAGAGACCAAAACAAACUCUGUACACCAUAGCCAUGGAAGCUAACCAAGUAUUUGAACCAAAUACUAUCCAAUCACCCAAUCAAAGAAAACCAAGAUCGUGUUCAAGGUUUCAAGAAAAUACCUUGCUUAGUUGUCAAAGUAGAAUCUCCUAACUCCUCACUCCUUACUCGUGCUUGAAUUGUCAAGAAUCCUCCUUUGAUUGUAAGGAAUAAGGAGAGAAAUAAGAAAGGGUUUUGUUGGAGAAGGAAGGAAAAAAGGAAAUGAAGAAGAUGAAGAAGUUUUUUGGCAAAGAUGAAUAGUGAAAUCCCAAUAUCACUUUUAUUCUUUCAAAAUUUCACUAAUUAACACAUUGGUCACUCAACUUAACAUCUUUCACUUUUCACCACAAAAUAGUAUUUUUUCACACAAAAUUCUCUACAAGACACAUAGUUAUCACAUUCUCCCCUCUAAUAAAAGUUUUGACCUCGAAAUUUAACGUACCUCGUUGGUUAAACAAAUGUGAAUACUUAGUUCGCAUUUCCUCUUUGAGUUCCCAAGUGGCUUCACGAGUACUAUGAUUGGACCAUUGAACUUUAACAUAGGGAAUUGUCUUUCUCCUUAGCACUUGAUCUUUACGAUCGACAAUUCGAAUUGGCUCCUCACUAUAAGUUAGAUCCUCUAGUACCAUUAAUGGCUCAUACUCCAGGAUAUAACUUGGAUCAAAUACUUAUUUUCUCAAUUGCGAAACAUGAAAUACAUUGUGAACUCUUGAUAAAGAUGGUGGCAAGGCUAACUUGUAUGCCAAUUCUCCAACUCUAUCCAAAACUUCAAAAAGCCCAACAUAUCUUGCACUCAGUUUUCCACUUUUCCCAAAUCGCAUCACAUCCUUCAUUGGUGAAAUUCUAAGAUAUAAUUUAUCCCCUUCUUGAAACUCUAAGGGUCUUCUUUUCAAAUGGGCCCAAUUCUUUUGUCUAUCUUGUGCUACUUUCAACCUUUCUCUCACUAGUGCCACCUUCUUGAUUGUAGCUUGUACAAGUUCGGAUCCAGUAAUGAUCCUUUCACCAACCUCAUCCCAAUAUAAGGGUGAUCUACACUUCCUCCCAACUACUCCCAAAAUCCAUAACACAUUCUCUAAGCAUGUCCUCCAAGGUUUGAAUUGUAUGCUCUGAUUGCUCGUCGAUUUGAGGAUGAUAAGCUAAGCUGAGGUUUAACUCGGUUCCCAUGGUUUGUUGGAGACUUUUCCAAAAUCAAGAGAUGAAUCUGUGAUCAUGAUCAGAUACAAUACUCACUGGGACACCAUGAUAACGAAUAAUACAAUCCAUAUAGAGAUUAGCCAAAGUAUCAGCAGUAGCAACCAUAGGUACAAAAUGAGCUGAUUUUGUCAGUCGAUCAACUAUCACCCAAAUGGUGUCAUCACCUCUCCUAGACCUUGGUAAUCCAACAACAAAAUUCAUCAUUAUAUGCUCUCAUUUCCAUUUCGGUAUUGUCAAAGGCUUUAGUAAUCCAGCAGGUCUUUGAUGUUUGGCCUUUAUUUGUUGACAAACUAAUCAUUUAGACACAUAAUCUGCGAUCUCCCUCUUCAUACCACUACACCAAUACGACUGCUUUAAGUCUCGGUACCUCUUGGUGUUAUUAGGAUGAAUAGAGGCUUGGAAGAGCAAGCCUCUACCAUUAUUUCUUUUCGCAACUCUGGAUCUUUAGGCACCACAAGCCGAUUCUGUAUCCAUAAACUACCAUCCUCAUGUAAUUGAAAGUCGGGUAAUUCCUCGCUUUUAACUUUUUCCUUGAUUUUCACCAACUCAGUAUCAUCUUCUUGAGUUUUAUUGAUUCUCAAAAUAAAAGAUGGUUGGGCAACUAGAGUUGCGAGCACAUGCGUGAAGGAUUCUACCACCUCUAAAUUCAAUUCCUCCAUUUGUUUUACUAACAUAACUGCCAUCAUUCCUGAAUUUUUCCUACUCAAAGCAUCGGCAGCUUGUUUGCUUUUUCUGGAUGAUAACUAAUGGUAAGAUCAUAAUCUUUCAUUGACUCAAGCCAUCUUCGUUGUCUCAUGUUUAGCUCUUUCUGCAUAAGCAAAUACUUUAUGCUUUUAUGAUCUGUAAAGACUUCAUAUUGCUCCCCAUAUAAGUAGUGCCUCCAAAUCUUCAAAGUAAAGACAACGACUGCCAAUUCCAAAUCAUGUGUAGGAUAGUUUUAUUCAUACAGCUUCAAUUGAUAAGAUGCAUAAGCUAUGACCUUCUCAUUUUGCAUUAGCACACAUCCCAACCUACUUUUGGAUGCAUCGCUAUAAAUAGUGAAACCUCCAGAUCAAGAAGGUUAUGUGAGAACUGGUGUCGAAACAAGCUUAUUCUUCAAUUCUUGAAAACUAUCUUAACAUUUAGGUGUCCACUCAAACUUAACAUGCUUUUGAGUUAGACGAGUCAAGGACAAAGUAAUAGUAGAAAAUGCUUCAACAAAUUUUCUACAGUAGCCAGUUAAGCUCAGAAAACUCCUCAAUUCUACCACAUUAGUAGGUCAGGACCAAUCCACAAUAGAUUCUAUCUUCUUAGGAUCCACAGAGACACCAUCUUGAGAAAUAACAUGCCCAAGGAAGGACACACUUUGAAGCCAAAAUUCACAUUUGUUGAGUUUAGAAUAAAGCUUCGCACGCCACAAGAUUUGUAAAACAUCUCACAGGUGAUUUUCGUGCUUCGCUUCACUUAGGGAGUACACCAAUAUAUCAUCAAUGAACACCACCACAAAUCGAUCUAAUUGUUUUUUGAAUACCCUAUUCAUCAAAUCCACAAAAGCUGCAAGAGCAUUAGUCAACCCUAAAGGCAUGAUAAGAAAUUCAUAAUGGCCAUAUCUUAUUCUGAAUGCACUCUUUGGAAUAUCCUGCAGUUUAAUCCUUAAUUGAUGGUAUCCGUAACGAAGAUCUAUUUUUGAAAAUACCUUAGCCCCUUUUAACUGAUCAAACAAGUCGUCAAUACGAAGCUAUGGAUACUUGUUCUUGAUCAUAAUUUAAUUGAGCUCCUAGUAAUCAAUGCACAAUCGCAUACUUCCAUCCUUCUUCUUUACAAAUAAAAUUGGCACACCCCAAGGGGAUACACUUGGUUGAAUCAAUUUCUUGCCAAGAAACUCCUGAACUUGAACUUUAAACUCCUUCAACUUUGUGGGGGCCAUCUGAUAGGGUGCCUUAGAUAUAGGCUCUGAGUUGAGUAUUACAUUAAUCUCAAAAUCAAUUUCUCUCCUGGGAGGUAGACCUAAUAAUUCAUUUGAAAACACAUCUGAAAACUCUCUUGCAAUUCGGAUAUCCUCAAGUUUUAUCUCCCAUUUCUAAGUUAAAAACAUUCACAUCCCUUCCUAAUUGCUCUCCAAGUUUGUAUGGCAGAUAAAAUGGGUAGAGACUUCUUCUUUGGUUUUCCUCAACACCCUUGAAAAGAAAAAGGUGGAAUGUUUAGGGUUUAAAAAUCAACACUUUUACCCAUACAAUCUAUAUGGGUAUAAUUUUGUGAUAGCCAAUCCAUACCUAAGAUAGCAUCAAAUUCUCUCAUAUUCAAUUGCACUAGAUUUGCCUUAAACUCUCUCCCACCCAAAUCUAAAGAACAGCCUUCAUACAUAAGGUGAGAAACUAAAACUUUUCCCCUGGGAAUGGCUACACGAUACAGGUAAUCCAAAACACAGGGUUUAAUAUCUAACUCUCAUGCAAACUUCUUUGAAAUGAAAGAAUGGCAAGCCCCACAAUCAAAUAACACAUAAGCUGGAAGAGAAUUAAUCAUUACCAUACCUGUCACAACAUCCUCCACUCCCACUGCUUCUUGUUCAGUCAAGGCAUAUACCUUAGAGUUUGAGUAAGGUCGAUCUGCACUAGAAUUCAAGCUGUUUCCUGGCCUAUUGUUGCCUCUAGUUUGCUUAGAAUUCGGGCAAUUACUCACUUUAUGCCCCAUUUUUCCACAACUAAAUCAAGCUCCCGUUUUCCACCUGCAUUCUCCCGGAUGAACCCGAUGGCAAUGAUCACAUAACUUAGAUGGGUUAGGAGGUAGAUACCUUGGAAAAGGUUGUUGAGAAGAAGUAGCCUGUUGAGAAACUAUAGGUCUUGGUAACGGUGCUUGUCGAGGAGGUUGCAUUGGUCGAAGAGGUUGCAUUACAGAAGUAGACUGACCAUGUUGACGAAGUUGGCCUUGCAUUAUGAUUUGUCUAUUUCUCCUUUGUCUCGUCUCUUCAUCCUCCCGAAGAAUGUCUUGUUCAGCAUCUAAACUAGUUUCAUACAUUUGGUCACAAUUGGCAUAGAAAUUUUCAGAUAUUUUUGAUUGAAUCCGACUAUUCAAUCCUCCCUUAAAGGAGACCAUCUUCACAGUCUCAUCAGCCAUUGUAGAAGGGACGAAGCAUCCCAAGGAGAGAAAAGUAGUGUAGUACUCGCCCACAGACAUGGAACCUUGCUUAAGGUUAUUGAAUAUUCGAAUCUUUUGAACUCGAAUAGCUGGUGGAAAGUAAUGCUGUGGAAACAUCUUUUUGAACUUAUCCCAUGUCAAAGAUUACUUGAAGAAACCAUGGUCAGGGCUACACCAUCCCAUCAUUUCUCUGCUUCACCAAGAAAGAUGUCACUACUUGAGGUCGUGGCACCAUCAUAGUUUGGAAUUUCUUCUCAAUUUGGGUUAACAAUCUCUUUGCCACAUUCGAGUUUGGACCUCCAUCAAAAGUAGGCAAAUAAACCUUGCUAAGCUCCUUGAAAUGGUACUUAACACUAUCCACAUCUUGCUCUCUUUCUUCUUGUUGUUGUUGUUAAUAUUGCUGCCAUCCACACAUGAACUAGCACUACAAGAAAUUUAGCUUUUUGUUAUAACAUUCCUAGUGACAACAGAGAAACUUGUCACAAUUGAGCAAAUUCAGUGACGACUUUUGAUGUCAUCAUAGUUGACCGAAGGUAGACUCGUCAUUAGUGACAACACGGGAUUAGUCGUCACAAUAUGGAUGGCACGCAAUUAGCUGGCGUGGUAGGAAAUCACCAUUGUGACGACUUGAAAAAGCGUUGUCACUGAAAUGGGCCCUACAGUGACAACUUACAUUGUUGUCACAACUGGGUUACCAGUUCAGAGUUAGUGACAACAAUUAGUCGUCACUAUCUAAAGUGCUUGUUGCUAACUCACUUUCAUUAAUUCUACUAUGACACCCUAAUUUUUUCAAUAUGGCCCAUAUGUUUUAAAUAAAGUUUAUUAAUUUUAUUAUGACAUCCUAACUUUUACAUUUUAGCCCCAUAUGUGGUAAACUAAUUUCAUUAACUCUACCAUGACAUCUUAUCUUUUAUAAUUUAGUCUUGUAUAUGAUAAAUCGAUUUCAUUAGUUCUAUUAUGGCACCCUAUCCUUUGCACUUUAUCCUAUGUUUUUCAUUAGCAAAAUGCGGAAGGUAUUGUAAUAAAAAAAUGUAUAUAUAUUUUAUAAUUGAUUCCAAUUUAGUUAAUAACUUGGUAUAAAGUUAAAAAUAUCAUGGAUUCCCUAUCCGGUUCUCUUGACAACACCUAGAAAAUUACUCAUUAGCAUAGUAGGAAAACAAUGGCAAAGAAGAAUAAAUUUUAAUAUGAAAUUAAGUAAAGUCUUGACAAUUGGAUGACUAGAGUUUAUUAUUAAUUACAAUAGUCACAUUGUUUAUGGUUUAUGAAUCAGUACUUGUACUAAAUACAUUUAGUGUUUCAUGCAUGUAUUAGCAAACUAUUUUGGUUAUUUGAUCAACUAAACAGAUUGUUAGGUCUUGUCAGACCAUAAUUCGUACAUAAUUGACAAAAUUAUUAAAUUAAUACAAAAAAUAUUUACAUUAAAAGAUUUUUUUGAAUCAUAAACAUAUUUUUAAUAAACUUUUUAGUUUUUGAACAUUAUUUUUUUGUAGAGAUAAAAAAAACCUAUGUUAGUAAAAAAAAGUAUCAAAAAACACUAAAUUUUUAUAUUCCAAAAUUUUAAUACAACAAAUAAAGUUUUAAUACAACUUGUGAGCUAAAAACUCAAAAUAAUAACCAAUUUUAAUUACACAAAGAUGGGGGAAAAAAGAGAGAUAUUAAAGAAGGCGUUGUUUUUGUAAAGAAAAGUCCAAAUAGUUUGUAUAAAAGUCACUUGAAGGUGUUAUUUUUUGGCUAAAGCUAAAAUGGAAGCGGGAAUUGAAAAUUGAAAGAGUAGGGGCGGGUGAACAAAAGAAGCAGAAACGAUGUCAUUUUAGCAAGAGUUAAACAAAAACACUCAUAACACUUAGAAAAAUUUUGGACAAAACUUGCUUUCCCCCUUCUUGCCAACUUCGGACACUACAUCUUCUCCGUCUCUCCAUUAUCAUCUUGCUGAAAGUAUCCAGAAAAUCAUUUUAACCCACCAUUUUCAUCCGUAAUUUGAGCUACCUAAAAGAUUUGGGCAGCUUUAGUGGAGUUGUAGAUAGCAAACAUCCCUAACUCGGGGCAGCACUUGCUUGCUGGCAAGAACAUAGAAAAUUGACCAUGAAUUUUGGGGGAAAGCCAAAGUUUGAAGACUGAAUCUUAAGGAAACAAGAGCUAAGGUUGUCACAGCAUAAUUUGAGGUAAAUAAUCUGUUACAUUUUUCCAUUUAGUUUCGAUAUUUUCUAUCAAAUGUAGGUUGAGUGAGCUGAAUCUUGAGUUAUGGGCCCAAUCUUCCACUUUAAUCUUUCAAUGGUGAGAGAUUGAGAGAGUUUUGAAAGUGAAACAAAGUGAAAGGGAAGCUAUCCUUUGUGAACUGUCCAGACCCCCUGAGAAAAUUCAUGUUUGAAUUUUGGAUGUGGAAAUUUUACUUGUAGCGAACUAUUUUUCUGAGUUUGAUAUGUUAAAAAUUGAAAAUUUUUUGUGUAGUUGAUAGUGAUUUAUUAUAAUUGUUGGAGAGAGUUAAUAACAUGUGCUGUUUUUGAUGUAAUUUUUCUGUUCUGAUUCUAUUUGUAAGAGUAGCUACAUAUUAUAAUGGCUUACAUACAACUGAUUUUGAGGUAAUAGUGCUUUAAUAUUCUAUAAGUCAAGUAUCCUUUUGGGAGCCAAUUCGAUAUUUAGUUUCUAAGAGCUUAGAAGAAAUUUUGAUCAAUUUGGCGACUUCUAGAUAUUGAGGGAAUGAGAAGAUAUGCAAAGCGAGUGGAUUAUCUUGUUGGUAAGUGGAAGUGAGGCAGAUUGUGUAAUCUUAACUUAUGGCCUUUGACUUUAGAAGUUAACUGUAUAAACUUACCAUUACCACACACUAAUUAGACAUUGUUUACUCUGAUGUAGAGAAACAAACUCCUAAAUUGAUAAAUUCAUGUUAUUGUUAUAAUUGUUUUAUUGCGCAUUAUGGCGUUUAGUGUUGCAGUAGAGUUUACUAUGGAUUUUUAAGAUUCCUCCCUGUUGAAUUAGAGUUUUUGACCUAAAUUUACCAACUGAACGUGAAAGAUUCUGCAACAAAUAAAUGUUAGCUUUGGAGUAGAAAAGCAUUAUUGUCUACCCUGUAGUUGUAUUUGUUAGAGAAGUUAUUAAGGGGACCAAGAAUAAGCCAAUUUGUAAUGGCUUAUACAGUUAAAUAAGCCAUUACGAAUAAAGUAGUAGUUUAGCCAUUACAAUCUGUAAUGUCAUCUGCACAUUAAUGCUUUUGCAUUGUAAUGAGAAAGUGGACUCUAUUUUGAAAAUUAUGCACUAUGUUUAAGUUUGGAGCAGCAUUAACUCAUUCUUCUUCGGCAAAUGUCUUAUACAUUUGCACGGGUAAUUAGCUCUUCAAUGCAUGUUUACUUGCUAUGCAGAGACAUUUUCACUCUAAAAUGCAACCUAAUCUGUGAUGUUUGCUUGUAAGAGAGGUGCUGCAAGUUUAUUUGAAGAGUCUCCCCCUUUUUGAUGAUGACAAACAAAAUGAAGAUUUCUUUUAUCAAAUAAGUUCAAAUAAAGCUCCCCCUUAGAAAGUGCCAACAUACAAAGAAAUUUCAAUAAAUCCUACUCCCCCUUUUGGCAUCAAUCAAAAACAAACUCCCCCUUUAUUUUUCAAAUCAAGACCAUAUUGAAUAUCAAAAUUUUCAAUUGUACUUACAACCAUAUAGCACUUCUUGGAUCAAAUCAUCAUGAUGUGCCUAAAUAUGAGAAAUUUCAUUUGGUACCCUUUCUUUAUAGGGUCCUUGGGAGUUAAUACGACAUGAUCUAGCAAUCCACAUGAAUUUCAUGCCUUUUCUCAUAUUUUUCUUUACAUAGCAAUCAUUUUGCAUAUGUCCAAAUUUGCAACAAAAGUUACACAUGAUAGAAGUAUUUUGCACAUAGGUGGAUUUAAUGCAACUAAUUUUCUUACUUCUUAUCAUAGCAAACUUAUUUGUGCCUUGAAAAGAUUUGCUUUCUUUUGUUUGAGAAAACUUUUGUUUUUCAUUUUGGAGAAACUCGUUCAAGUCAUUAAUUCUUUUCUUUAACACAUUUUGUUCCUCCAACAUUUUUUCAUAAAACUUUGUUUUCUCUUCUAACUUCCUUUUCAAAUUAUUUUUGCAAUCAAAAACACUUUUUUGAUUUUUUAAAUCAUCAUUUUCCAUUCUCAAACAUUUGUUUUCUUGAAACAGUUUGGAGUUUUCUUCCAACAAAUCAUUUAUUUUUGUUUUCAAAUCUUUAUUUUUAGCAUAAGAUUUUCUCAAACUUUUAUGCAUUUUAAUCAUAAGAAUUUUCACAUCAUCAUCUUCAUUAUCUUCAUCACAAGAAGAGUGAUAAGAACUUACCUCAUCUUCUCCAACGGCCAUUAGUGCCAUUUGGGCCAACUCUUCUUUUUCUCUUUUUGAAUUGCAUUCAUCCCAUGUAAUUUUGCAAUCUCCUCUUGAGCAUCUCUUGUUGAAGGUCUUCUUGGAACUUUUGAUGUGAGGAGUUGUAUCAUUGUCCACUUCCAUGAAUUCAUUACCCAUGAAGGAUGGGUUAUCCCCCACUUGAGAUGCUUUAAAAGCUAUGCCUCUCUUAUACAUUCUUGCAUUUUCUUCCUCUUGCACUUUGAAUUUCAGCUUUAAUUCAUAAGAGAUUAGGGUAUCCACAAGAGAUUCAAUGGACAUAGAAUUUAAAUCAUUUGCCUCUUCUAUAGCAUUUAUUUUGUUUUCCCAUUCUUUUGGCAAGGCAUUCAAAAUCUUUCUAUUUUUCUCACCCAAAGAAUAUUCUUUUCCAAGCAAUUUAAGAUCUUCAAUAAUGUCACAAAAUCUACUACACAUCUUAUCAACAUUUUCAAGAGGAUGCAUUUUGAAAAAUUCAUAUUGAGAAACAAGCAAAGAUUUCUUUUGUUCUUUAAUAUCUUGGUUACCUUCAUGAAAUACACACAAUUUAUCCCAAAUAUCUUUAGCUGAUUUACAACCUUUAAUCCUGCUAGAUUCAUUUACAUCUAAUGCAUUGUACAAUAUACACAUGGCCUUGGCAUUCAAAGAAAGGUAUCUCUUGUCUUUUUCAUUCAAUUCUUGUCUAGUCUUUAAUCUACUCAAAUUGGUGGUGGAGUCAACUAUUCUAGCUUCAUAAGGACCAUCUUCUACCACAUACCAUAAUUCAAUAUAAACGGAUUGUAAGAAAAUCAUCAUUCUUUGUUUCCACAUGCUAAAAUGAGAACCAUUAAACAUAGGUGGUCUAUCAAUAGAUUGCCCUUCUAAAAAAGAAACUUUUAUGGUUGCCAUGAUCUUUACUCUAAGCGGUUAAGCUUGAUCAAAAGAGACCAAGCUCUGAUACCAUUUGUAAGUUCCCGGUGCAACCCAAUGAGUACAAACAAUUUCACAAUGAUGCACAAAGAUAUAUCAAAUUUAAGCACAAUAAAGAAAACUUAAUUAAAGAGAAAAGAUAAGAAAUGCAAACCAAAUAUCAAUCCAAUAGCCUCUUCAAUUGAUGGCGAUGCUAACCAAGAUGUACAAGUGAAGGUUCACUCCUUCCUCACCCCAAAUACUCUUUGGUUGAGCCAAGGAGUUUUACAACAAUUCUAGUUAACCCUCAACAACCUACACUUGAAAGAUCACUCACCCAAUUAAGAACUAUUUUAUACAAAUGAGGCAACCUUCACCAAGGUUUUACCACUCCAAGUGAUAGGUUCACCUUCACCAAGGUUUUCACUUGAGCAACCUCACAACCCAACUUUCCCAACCCCUUAUACAACCAACAAAGAAUCUUUCUACUCAAAAAUCUCACUUGUAAGCUUGUAUUUUGUGUUGGCAAAAGUCCCUUGUCUUCUUGUGCUUUGGGGUGUUUAUAGAAGGUGAGAAAUGGCUUCAAAAGGCUCUCCAACGGUCAAAUAUUAAAUGCUGUCAAAACUAGCCGUUGGCCUGUCAGACGUCCGAGACCUCCUGUCGGACGUCCGAACCCUGCGUCCAAACCACCUAUCGGACGUCCGAACCCUGCGUCCGAACGUAGGCAGAGAGUCAUCAAAUCUUUGCGAAAUUUCUCGGACGUCCGAUGCGAUCGAUGUGCGUCCGAGGCGUGCGUCCGAUCCUUCCGGACGUCCGAUGCUUCCUCACGAGCGUCCGACAGAGUUUUCUUCUUGAUGUUUUUCAUUCUUUCGGACGUCCGAUAGCGUCCGACAUGAGUGCCCUGUUUUUGCUUCUUCUUUUAUGCCACAAGAAUCUGUUCUAACAAAUUACUCACAUAAAAACAUUAGCCCAAAUCUACAUUUUGGUUUGUUAAUCAUCAAAACCAAGGAUUGAUCGACCAAGGUCAACAAAGAGUAUAGUGCUCUCAAACGAUGACUAAUAAUAGUAGUGUUUCUGACACAAUACAUGUAAGUGUACUUUGAAACUUCUUAUUAAUUAACUCUAAAGAUUUUGAAGCUAUUCUGUGGCAUGCCAUCUUAGACAAGUUGUGUUUGACUUUGAUAUGAUUCAUAGCCUCCAAAAGAUGUGGAUUCCAAUUUGGUCUGGUUUGUUGGAGUCUCAAGAUUCUCCUAACUUCAACUUUUAUUUCUUUCCCUUUUUUCUUUGGCUUCUCUAUAGGGAAUUUUUUUUGUAAAGUUAUUUUAUUGAGCAACCAAGUUAAUGCCGCAUCAAAGAUUUCAUUCGCAAGUUACUUAUUAAGUUACUAGCAGGCAUAACUGCGGCGUUGCGCGGUGGAUUAGAUUGCAUGUAUGCCCAUUUAGGUAUGAAUAAAUAGACAUUAUAUGAAUAGUGAUAAUGUCACGGAAUUAAACAUCUUUUUUUUUCAAUACGGAAUUAAAUACCUUGUGGUUACAUUAGCUACGUUUUAUUUGUUCAGAUCCAUAUACCGCGCUAAUUAAUCAUUAAUAUAUCCAUGAACGUCUAGAAGAAGGUAAGCAUUUAAUCCAAUUAAAAUUUAAUAAUAAUAUAGAAACAAUAUAGAAAGCAAUAUAACUUUGGAGAUCAAGAAUGCAAAUUUAAAAUUUAUGACAGACAGAACAAAGGGUAGAAAUUGGAACUCAAAACAAGGUUAAAUCUAUUUAAGGCAUUUAGAAGUACCAAACCAGAUAUUGGCACACUGUAUCGGACAAAAGCAAUUGCAUUAAUGAUUUGGAGUCUACUAACAUAAUAUUUAGAUCCUGAACAGGCAAUGCUAGGGGUACAUAAUUUCUAUAUGUUAAUCUCAGUUCUUAGCUUUUGAUGAUUACAAAACAAAUGGAUGUUACUAAUAUCUCCUUAAAGACAUUUUUAGAAAUGAAGCAAAUCAGGUUCAAAGAUGAAGCUGUUGCUGAAGCUGUCAGACACACAAAAAGACUGGAUCGGACGUUUGACAAUCAUUGAGCAACUUCGAACGUAUGAGGAACUCCAUUACCGGACGUUCGAAAGAAAUCAAUACACUUCCUUAAACUCACUAACCUCGAUCGGACACAGAACAUUAAAGUAUCGGACGUCCGCAGAAUUGAAGAAGGAUUCUCAAACUUUACCAUCUGCUUUCGGAUGCAAACUUUGGAGGUACCGGACGUCCGAAAGAAUUAAAGAAAAUUCUUCUUGCUCUCUGCCUACUGUCGGACGCAAGAAACAAGACUAUCGGACGUCCGACACUACCAAUGGCUAGUUGACUCUUCAGUUGCCUUCUAUCCGUUGGAAGCUUUAAUGAAGGAAUUUUUUGGUCUCCUAUAAAUAGAGCAAAAUCAACCAUUUCAAAUUACUUUUGCACAUUGAAACUACAAAAGAUCUAGAGCAAUUUUAGUGAGAAAAUUCUCUUCAAAAAAGAUUUGUACUCUUAGUUGUGUAGAUUUCGUACAAGAUUUUCUUGUGUGAGAAAAUUACUUCAAUAGUAUAGAUUUGUGAGGGCUAUCCGAGUGAUAGUAAAACUUCCUAACUUAACCAAGUGUGGCUUGGGGCAAAGAGGAAGUGAUCCUUUUUUUGUGCACAUAGAUUGGUUAUAAUUGAUUAAUUUGAAGAAACUUACUCUAUAAAGUGAUAUUUAAACUCAAGAGGAGUUUGGAAUUUGAUUUGCUAUUCUAUCUCUUUUAUUUACUAUACUGCAAUAAAAAUUGUUCAUCUCUUCUACUCACGAACAUUUGUACUUUCUCAUUAUUUGUUCUAUUGUAUGGUCAUCUAGAAAAAAAGGGUAAAUUUCAUAUUCAACCAAAAAGUGUCUCAUAAUUUGGUUAGUUUUUAAUUUACAUAAUUCACUCCCCUCUUACGUUAUUUUCAAUCCUUACAAUUGAUAUCAGAGUUUGGUCUCCUAGAGAUUAAACUCAAUCGGUUUUGGAAUAAAAAUGACAACCAACAAUGCCAUAUUUUUUGAAGGACUAUCUGUCACUAGACCCCCAAUGUUUAAUAGAUCCAAUUAUGUGAGUUGGAAGGAAAGAAUGAUUAUGUUCUUGCAAUCUAUUGAUAUUGAACUAUGGUUUAUUGUUAAUGAAGGUUCAUUUGAUGACUCUACAAUUGAUGAAACCACUCAUAGACCAAGACCAAAAAUCAGAAAUGAGUUGACUGUUGAGAAUAGAUCUCAUCUCACCUUGAAUGCCAAAGGUAUGAAUGUCUUGUAUAGUGCUUUAGAUUCAAAUGAGUCUAUUAGAAUCAAAGGUUGUAGAUCUGCAAAAGAAAUUUGAGAUAAACUAAGAGAGAUCCAUGAAGGAAGGGAGAAUGUAAGAGAACAAACGAAAUCAAUCCUAGUUACUAAGUAUAAAUCAUUUAAGAUAGAACCUUAUGAAAAUAUUGAUAAGAUAUAUUGUAAAUUCAAUGAUCUCAUUAAGGAUUUGGAGGUGCUGGAACAGGAAUACACCUUAAGUGAGAAAAAUAGAAAGAUUUUGAAUGCCCUGACCAAAGAUUGAGAGAGUAAAGUGACUGCCAUUGAAAAGGCUAAAGAUCUAAAUACUAUGUCUAUUGAAUCUCUCAUUAAUUCUCUAACUUCUUAUAAGUUGAAACUUAAGUAUAAGGUACAAGAGGAGGAAGAUGCAAAAGUGAGAAGGAUCAUUGUUCUAAAAACUUCUCAAAAUGAAAAUGAUUCAGCUUCCUUGGAUGGAGAUAAUAUAGAAGCUGAUGACAAUAAUCUUGCUCUUAUCACAAAGAGCUUCAAAAGAAUCCUCAACAAAAGGAGAUUCAGAAGAGGAGGACCUAACAAUAUAUUUUCUAAUCAGUUCAACAAUACAAGAAACAAAGGAAAACAAGAGGUCAAUAAAAAGCAAGUGAACAAAUGCUUUGAAUACGGCCAACUUGGAUACUACAUGAAUGAGUAUCCAAUGAAGAAGAAGAAAGAAGGAAAAGUUAAACGAAAACCAAAGCUCAACAACUUUCAAAUUACAUGAAAUGAUUGCAACUCAGAUGGUGAUAUCGAAGAGAAAGAGGAAUCUGCUCAAAUGGCUUUCAUACCUAUUGGUGAUGAUGAGGUAGCUACUUGCAACUCUCAACCUGUGAUGAUGAAUCUAAAGAUGAUGUUGAGUCUUUCAUUGAGAGAUUGCAUAAUAGCUUGAAAGAAUCGUAUGCUAGAAACAAGGAACUAAAAUAAAAAAUUAAUUUUUUGAUUCAAGACAAUGCAAAUCUUUUUCGACAAAACAAAAUGCUGAAAGCUGAAAAUGACUAUUUGAAAAAGGAUGAAAAAGUUCUACUUUUUGAACUUGAUAGAAAAACAAAGUUAUAUGAGUUGUUCAAAAAGGAACAAGGUGACUUGAAAAGAAAAAUGGAUGGCCUAGAUGAGUUGCUCAAACACAAGAAGCAAGACUGCUUUCAAAAGAGUGAAUCAAAACCUCACUUUGAACUCUAAUGCAAACGAAUUUAUCAUCUAUAAAAGAAGGUAAGUCGGAUUUAUUAAACCUAUCUUUGUAGGAAACUCACUGACUAUGUGUAGCUUUUGUUGCCAAGUUGGUCACAUGAAAAAUAAUUACUAUGUAAGAAAGAAUAUGAGAAAUGACAUGAAAUGCAUGUGGAUAGUUAGACAUAAUGUUAACUCUCAAGGACCCAAAAAAUAGUUGGGUACCAAAUAUCAUCUUGUGAACUUUUGUGUAGGUGCAAUUGGUGAAUGUCAUUAAGAAAUCAAAAUGGUUCAUAGAUAGUGGAUGCUUAAGGCAUAUGACUGGUGAUCCCUCACAGUUCAUCAAACUCAAGUUAAAAUCAAGUAAAAAAGUAACAUUUGGACAUAAUAACAAAACCAAAAUAGUUGGAGUUGGAGAUGUUGGUAAAAAUGGUCAAACAUUUAUUCGCAAUAUUCUUCUAGUUGAUAAUCUGAGUUAUAAUUUGUUGAGUGUUAGUCAAUUGUGUGACAGAAAUCUAUUUGUGCUAUUUAAAAGGCAUGAAUGUGUUGUUCUUGAUUCAAAAUUUAACAUUAUUUUCAAAGGAAAAUGAGUGAAUAACAUUUAUGUAGUUAUUCUAGAAAAUAUUGAUUCUUUCUGUCUUAAAUGUCUUAAAACUGCAGAUGAGGAUCUUUGGUUGUGGCAUAGAGGCUUUGUCACUUCAAUAUAAAUUUGUUAAAAGAAAUUUUCAAAAAAGAAUUUGUUAGAGAUUUACUAAAAAUUAACUUUGAAAAAGACAAAAUUUGCGAUGCUUGUCAAAUUGAAAAACAAGUAAAAGUUUCUUUCAAACCUAAGAAUUGUGUUUCUACUUCAAAACCACUGGAUCUUUUACAUCUUGAUUUAUUUGGUCUUACACAGAUUGCUAGCUUAGGUGGUAAAAGAUAUUACUUGGUUAUUGUUGAUGAUUAUUUUAGAUACACUUAGAUGAUAUUUCUUGCUCAAAAGAAUGAUGCUUUCAAAAGUUUUGUUUCAUUAUUUGUAAAAAUUCAAAAUCUGAUUGGAUUGAAAAUUAUCAAGAUUAGAAGUGACAAUGGCUCGGAAUUUAAAUUUUGUGAUUUUUCAGAAUUUUGUGAUAACAAUGGAAUCACAAUGAGUUUUCAAUUGCUAGAAUUCCUCAACAAAAUGGUGUUGUUGAAAGAAAGAAUAGAACUCUUCAAAAAAUCGCACAAACCAUGUUAAGUGAAUGUAACUUACCAAAAUAUUUUUGAGCCGAAACCGUUAAUACCGCAUGUUAUGCUAUGAAUAGAGUUCUUUUGAGACCUAUUUUGAACAAAAUCUCUUAUGAGUUAAUGUUUGAUAAAAAGCCAAUUGUUAGUUACUUCAAAGUUUUUGGUUGCAAAUACCUUAUUUUAAAUAUCAAGAAACACCUUGGAAAGUUUGACAAGAAAUCUGAUGAAGGCACUUUUUUGGGAUAUUGUGAGAAUAAAAGAGGCUUUAGAGUCUAUAAUAGAAAGACUCUUGUUAUUGAAGAAUCUAUACAUGUCACCUUUGAUGAAUCUAAUGAUAAUAUUUUCAAAAGUAGUUGUGAGGAUGAUGAUAUAGGUGUCCAAAAAGGACUCAAGAAACUCACAAUUCAUGAUCAAAAUGAUGCUCCACAAGAAGAGAGCUCAAAGGAAGAUAAUCCCCAAGACAGUCAAGUAUUGGAAGAAAAUGACAAUCAUGGUGAUGCACCUAAGAAUCUUCCAAAGGUUUGAAAGUUUGUUCAAAAUCAUCCUAAAGAACUCAUUAUUGGUGAUCCAUCCGAAAAGGUAAGAACUCGUUCCUCUUCAAAACAAUUGAUGGACAAUUUUCCUUUGGUCUCACAUUUUGAACCAAAAAAUAUUGUUGAUACAUUGAAAGAUGAAAACUGGAUUUUAACUAUGAAAGAGGAACUAAAUCAAUUUGAAAGGAACAAGAUGUGGACAUGAGUUGAAAAAUCUCAUGAUCAUCCUAUUAUUGGCACAAAAUAGGUGUUUAGAAAUAAAAUGAAUGACAAAGGUGAAGUGGUGAGAAACAAGGCUAGUUUAGUUGUUAAGGGGUAUGCUCAAGAAGAAGGAAUCGACUUUGAUGAAACAUUGCUCCCAUAGCAAGACUAGAAUCUAUUAGAAUGUUUUUGGCAUUUGCAUGUUUCAAGAAUUUUAAAUUAUUUCAAAUGGAUGUUCAAAGUGUCUUCUUAAAUGGUUUUAUUGAUCAAGAGAUAUAUGUUGAUCAACCUCCCGGUUUUGAGAAUGAAAUGUUUCCAAAUCAUGUGUUUAAACUCUCAAAAAGUUUGUAUGGUUUAAAAUAAGCUCCAAGAGUAUGGUAUGAAUAUUUAAGUGGUUUCUUGAUUGAAAACGGUUUUGAAAGAGGCAUUAUAGACACAACUCUUUUCACCAAACAAUGUUCCAAUGAUCUAUUAAUUGUACAAAUAUAUGUUAAUGAUAUUAACUUUGGUGCUACUAAUGAGUAUUUGUGUAAAGAUUUUUCGACUAUUAUGCAAAAAGAGUUUGAGAUGAGCAUGAUGGGAGAAUUGAAUUUCUUCCUUGGGUUUCAAGUGGAACAAACUCGAGAAGAAACAUUCAUUAAUCAAGUUAAAUACACCAAGGAACUGCUCAAAAGGUUCGGUAUGGAGGAAUCAAAACAAGUUGAAAUACCAAUGUGCACAUCUACCAAACUUGACAAGGAUGAAGGAUAUAUAAAUGUUGAUGAAAAGAAGUAUAGAGGUAUGAUUGGCAGCUUACUUUAUUUAACUACAAGCAAACCUGAUAUCAUGUUUGCUAUUUACUUGUGUGCUCGUUUCCAAUCUUGUCCAAAAGAAUCUCACUUGCUUGCUGUGAAAAGAAUUUUUAAAUAUUGGAAAGAAACAUUGAACUAUGGUCUUUGGUAUCCUAGAUGUCAUGAAUUUCCUUUAUAUGGUUUCUCGGAUACUGACUUUGGUGGAUGUAGAAUAGAUAGAAAGAGUACUAGUGGUACAUGCCACUUUCUUGGUAAUUGUUUAGUAUUUUGGUUAAGUAAGGAACAAAAUGCUAUUUCAUUGUCUACAGUCGAAACGGAAUAUGUUACCACUGGUGCAUGUUGUACUCAACUGAUGUGGAUGAAAAGUACCUUGAAUAAUUUUGGUUAGUAUAUGAUUGUGUGCCUGUGUAUUGUGACAAUACAAGUGCUAUAAAUUUGACAAAAAAUCUCAUUCAACAUUCUAGGAUAAAGCAUAUUGACAUAAAGCAGCAUUUCAUUAGAGAUCUCAUCCAAAAAGGUGAAAUUUGUGUGCAAUAUGUUUGUUCAAAAGAUCAAAGUGCUGACAUUCUCACAAAAGCCCUUCCACUAGAUCAGUUUGUAUUUUUAAGAACAAAAUUGGGUAUUAUUGAAAAGUUUUUUUGAAAAAUUAUCUGGUCACAUUUUAUCAAACGUCCGACAGUGUUCUUGAUUACUUUUCCAAAAAAUUUGGUUUCGGACGAUAGUGUCGGACGCUUCACUUCGUUCGGCUGUCCGACACUCUAAAAAUGUUUGUUAUAAGUCAGUCUUCUCUUUCAUUCAGUUUAUUUUUCUAUCCGUUAUAUCGGAUGCAACUUCUCAUCCUCUCCUAUUUUCAAAUUUCAAAAUUCGUCUCUCUUCUGAAUAAGUUCCAAGAAAUUAAUUAGUUCAAAGCCUUUACACUCUUUUUGCCCGUUCAUAACCCCUUAUAACUUCCUCUAACUGCCAACUAUUCUAUAAAUUCCAAUUCUCACCCGAAACACUAGCCACUCAAAAUUCACUCUCUCUGGACGAUUCAAGCCCUCAUUAUAAUUAAUACUGCACUUUUAGUCAGUCUCAUACAUAUUUGCAUCAUUCUCCAUAACAAAAACAAUCUGCAUUUCAUUAUGGUAAGAAUUAGGGGAAGAUUUGUCAGUGCCGGACGCACUACCAGGUUCAGGUUGAGGGAUGAAAAUACUGAAAUUAUUGAGCCCUCUACUACUAAAUCUCCAAAAAGGGCAACAAAAAAACAUGGUAGAAAAGGGAAAGGUUCGGCCCAAAAAAAAACAUUCAGAGAAAUGGCAAACUACUUCCGCUAAGCAAACUGCAUCGCCUCUUGUCAGUGAUAGUGAAGAGGAACUAGAGCAGCCUACUAAUGUUGACGCAUCGGUCACAAAAUCACCCAGAAAAGGGACUGAACCUCAUUGUAAAAAGGGGAAACAGUCUGCUAAAAAGAAUGGGACUGCUCAAACUAAGGAAAGGCAAACUGCUGAUCCUUCUGUUGAGCAAAUUGAGGAACAGUAGACUGUUGAGCAAAAUGCUGAGAAUCAGCAAGCUACUGAGACUUCCACCAGAAAGUCACCAAGAACAAGGUCUGGUGGACAGACCGAUGUACAUGAUACUCCACGAAGUGGAAAGAGGAAACGAACUGCCAGGGAGUAACCUGAGGCUCAAAUUGCAGAGGAAUCUACCAUAUUGCCAAAGUUCAUUGAUGAUGAUGCCCGAGAUAUGUUCGAAUGGGUUUCUCAGAAAGACUUCAUCACCUAAUGGACAAUUAUCUCUCAUGAAUUCCGUAAGUUUGACCUUGUACCUGUCCUUAAGCUCUUUGAAUUCCAAAAAUGGAUUCAUAUUUUGAUCAUUCCCAACACCUACUACCCUGACAUGCUUAAUCAAUUUUUUGUCAAUCUUACGAAGGGUAAAUCCCACAUUGAUCUAGUCUCACGAGUAAAUUCUGUUGAUAUAGAAUUAAAUCCUGAUAUUGUCAACACUAUUAUGAAAAUCAAAAUUGAAGAUGGUUUUAAAGGAAAAAUUGCUAACUUUUUCUCAUAUGAACAAUUCCCUUCUGCCUAUAAUCACUUUCAUAUUGCAAAACUAAUGACUUAUUUUCAAACUCAUUUUAAUACUCUUGCUGAGGCAGGAUUGGAGGAUCUCAGUCCUCAAAAUUUGAUCAUCUUCUCUAGAAUUUCAAAUCUAUUGGUUCCUACUGAUGGUUAUAGAACAGAUGCCAACAACAUGAAGUUUUACCUGUUUUACUGCUUUCUUGAAAAUUUUGAAUUGAUUUCGGCUUUGUUAUGUGUAAAUUCUUACUCAAAAUCAGCACUGAUAGCCGUAGAAAACUUUCUUACAAAAAAUUUCUGACCCUAAUUUUUGCUCAUUUCAAAAUUUCCUUCAUUGGCAAAUCACCAAAAGAAAGUACAUCCACUGUCUUUUCAAAGGCAUAUUUUGAAAGAAAAAUUUUGAAGUUUUUUGAUGGAAAAUAGUGCUACAAGGAAACUGUUUUGGAGACUAGGAGAAAGAAUCAUCAUGAAACACCUGUCUCCCCUGCGACUCCUCAAGAUCAGUCCAUGUAUGUUUCAUCCUUUACUAUCCAUCCUAGAAGGUCAGCCACUAAGCCCUCUUCAUCUAACUCUGAGGCUAUUUCUUUGUUUGAAGAUCUCAAACAACACAUCCUACUCCUUGAAAAUGGUCUAAUGAUGACCAUGUCACCCGACCAACAAACCACCUUCAUUGACAAAAGAAAUUUGCUUGUGCCUCCUGUUCCUCAAGACAAUGAGAAUGUAUACCAAAAGGAAUCUAAAAUUGAGUCAACUGAGCAAACUCCUCGUACUGAAACCACUCCAGAGUUUCGUGCUUCCAAUUCUUAUCCACAGGACAAGGGAAAGGUUCAGCAACUGAAGAGGAAACUGAAGAGGAUGAUGAUGAGGAAACUGAAGAGGAAGAAGUGGAUCUUGCUCAGUUUCGCCUAGCAAGGAGGAGGCCUGGAUCGUCCAAAAUUACAAUUUAUGCACCUCUAGGCACGUGCACUUCAUGUUUAAGUAGGCAUCUCAUAUUAGACAUUUGCAUCUUCGGCAUUUUAACAUUUCAAGUACUUUGUACUCAAGAUUCUGGUUGUUUGGUUAACUCUUCGGUCUUGUAAACUAUUCGGUUAACUUCUCUAUGUUGAAUGGUUUCUGGUUAAUUUUGUUGGUUAUCUUUUUGGUUAACUCUGUUUGUUUCUAGGUCUUGGUAUCCCUGUGACUUCUGUUUUUUAACAUUGUUUGCUGAUAUUGGUGAUUGUUGAUUUUGUUGGAUAUUCUUGGAUAAUGAUGUUGCUGAUGACAUUGAUGUUGGAUACUGGAUUGGAAUUGGAUUUGAAUUGUAUUAACGUCACUGGCUAUUAAGAUCUUCUAAUGAUGACAAAAGGGAAGAAAAUGAUAACAAGUUACUGCAGGAAAUGUAAUCUGGUAAAUACGUGAGGGGUAGCUAUUCUGAGGGGGAGUGUCUACCUUUUUUGAUGUAUUAAGUGAGGGGGAGUUUUUAACUUAAUUAUUUUCCUCCAUCUACUGUUUUGUCAUCAUCAAAAAAGGGGGGAUUGUUAAUCUCAGUUCUUAGCUUUUGAUUAUUACAAAAUAAAUGAAUGUUACUAAUAUCUCCUCAAAGAUUUUUUUAGAAAUGAAGAAAAUCAGGUUCAAAGAUGAAGCUGUUGCUGAAGCUGUCGGACGUACAAAAAAACUGGAUUGGACGUCCGACAAUCAUUGAGCAACUUCGGACGCAUGAGGAACUCCAUCACCGGACGUCCAAAAGAAAUUAAAGCACUUCUUUAAGCUCACUAACCUCGAUCAGACGCAAAACAUUAAAGCACCGGACGUCCGAUAAACUGCGUAACACUUCGGACACAGAGCACUGGUGAUACUGGACGUCUGACAAAAUUGAAAAGGCUUCUCAAACUUUACCAUCUGCUUUCGAACGCAAACUUUGGAGGUACUGGAAGUCCGAAAGAAUUAAAGAAAAUUUUUCUUUCUCUCUGCCUGCUGUCGGACGCAAGAAACAAGACUACCGGACGUCCGACACUACCAGCGGCUAGUUGACUGUUCAACUGCCUUCUAUCCGUUGGAAGCUUUAAUGAAGAAAUUUUUUGGUUUCUUAUAAAUAGAGCAAAGUCAACCACUUUAAAAUACUUUUGCACAUUGAGACUACAAAAGAUCUAGAGCAAUUUUAGUGAGAAAAUUCUCUUCAAAGAAGAUUUAUACUUUUAGUUGUGUAGAUUUCGUACAAGCUUUUCUUGUGUGAGAAAAUUACUUCAAUAGUGUAGUUUUGUGAGGGUUAUUUGAGUGAUAGUAAAACUUCCUAACUUGACCAAGUGUGGCUUGGGGCAAGGAGGAAGUAAUCUUUCCUUUGUACACAUAGAUUGGUUGUAAUUGAUCAAUUUGAAGAAACUUGCUCUAUAAAGUGAUAUUCAAACUCAAAAGGAGUUUGGAAUUUGGUUUGCUAUUCUAUCUCUUUUAUUUACUAUACUGCAAUAUAAAUUAUUCAUCUCUUCUACUCACGAGCUGUUGUGCUUUUUCAUUAUUUGUUCCAUUGUGUGGUCAUCCAGAAAAGAGGGUAAAUUUCAUAUUCAACCAAAAAGUGUCUCAUAACUUGGUUAGUUUUUAAUUACCUAAAUCACCCCUCUUAGGUUGUCUUCGAUCCUUACACUAUAAUUUCUAUUCUACUAGUUCCAAAGAUCAAUAUAGCAAUUGAAGUAUGAGGCUGAGCAAGAAAAAGCAAAAUGUCUCCGUCUUCUAGCCUAUGAGCUGUAACAAAGUCACUCCAUCUUCGAUGAAAGCUAUCUUUUGUGAUUCCAAUAUUGUAACUUCUGGUUCCACUUGUUAGAACAAUAUCUAGAGUCCGAGGCUCAACUACAUUUAAUCAAUGUGCUCCAGAAUUUUCUACAAGCAAAAAGCACGGCAUAAGAAUGUAAAGGAAUUAUGUUGCAAAAUAGAAGGAUUUGUUUUAAAAAUAUAUAUAUAUGUAUAUACCGUGCUAUAUCUAAAUCUUCGAGUAUAAACUUAGAGCGCAUUUAGCACCAUUAGGUCAUGCCUAAUGAAUUGAUUGAUGGAUGAUGCAACAAAUCCUAAACUCACAUCUAUAGCUAUACCAUCUGUAGCACAGCAACAGGUGUGUUAGUAAAGUAUAUCAGGCGACAAAAAAAAUGAUUCAUUGUGAAAUAGAAAUUUAUGCUCCUUCUGAGAUCAGUGGUGUGUAUAGGAGCAUUGGCAAGUGCAAUGUUCAUCAUGUCCACAUUAGAUUGUGAGUAGUAGAGAUAGCAAAAACUUCGUAGAUGAAGUUCCCUCUAUUUCAGGAAAAAAAAAUUCAUAUUGCCUGGAGAGAUGUAGUUAUCGUUGCACAAAUUGUUCCAUUGUUUUUUAAAACAAGAAUUCAGAAUUUUUAUUUCCAAUGAGCCAAACCAUGAUAAAUUGUCCAUCUUCAAAACAAUUAGCAACUACCAUUUCAUCAGGGAUCGCUUGAAAUGAGAUAGACAGGUUAGGUAUGUAUUAAGGGAAAAAGUGAGCAUCAAUUUAAUAGAUGACUUAUUUUCUGGUGCUUGUGUAGAACAAAACAUAACACCACGGUUGUCCACCAUCCAUGAAACCAAUCUCUUCAUUUUCUGUUCAAGAGAACAAAAGAAAUGCAAUUAUAUGUGUAGCUCAUUAAGUAGUCCACAUUCUAUAAUGAUGCAAAAAAUGUAUAAAAAGCCACUAGUUUCUGCGAAUGCCAUUGAGGUGAUAUAUGUAUUAUUCUAUAGCCACUACUCAAUCAAUGCAAAUGAAAAUAGUGAGGGUUCGCCCAUAUAUUUUAGAACCAUUGGACAUGCUUCAAGGAAAGACCUCUUCACAUAAUAAGUUGUCGCUCCAUGAACCUUGUUUACAGUAGUUGUUGCAAGAAUCUUUUCAUGGUCAAAGGUGCAUAGAUAAAAUUUAAUAUUGUUUCCCUUCUCAACUACCUCCUAUUUCUAAAAGGGUCUCUUGGUUUAACCAUAGGUGGUUAAUAUCAAGAGUAUUUUAGUUCUAUAAUUUCAGCAUAUCUCAAAGCCGAUCACUAAAGCAAGGAGCAAAAACAAGGGAAAGUUUGCUGUGCCACCAAAGGAAGAAGAUGUUGUGCCACCAAAGGAAGAAGAUGUUGAAUGUAUUUUAAAGUGAGGAUGAGCAUAGCAUGUUUAAACAAGAAGUCAAGAUACAAGGACAAGCAUUAAGCACAAGAGCAUUAUAAUUGGUUGAAAAAAUAUGAAACCUCCAAAUAGAGCACAGCAGGAAAUACCUCACUCAAUACUUCCAAACAAAGCCAACAUACAUAUAAUUAUUUAUAAUUCACAACACUUGGGAAACAAGCAAAUAUUUUGAAAAUUUUCCCAACAAGACUUGUAUUACUGUAACCACAAUGAUCUCAAUCAGCAUGUGUUACAUAGUUGACCCAACUAUUCUAUUUUAACAAAGACAGAUUGUUUUAAAUAUUCUUACGAAAAUGAUAGAACACAAGUGGCAUGUUAGCCUUAAAAAUUUAUUGAAAAAAUACAAUAAUUUGACCUUUACUUGAAUGUCCAAUCUCCAAAACUCAAAUACAAUACUGGAAAUCCUAAAAGCUUAAGUCCAAAUUAUAGAUCAAGGCCUUUACUCCAUAUCAGCCAAGUAAUAAUCAUAUAAUACCAUCCAACUAAAUAAAAAAUUAUGCUCACAGAAGCUUUCAAGAGCUGUACACAUUGAGAAGUAAAUUUGUCAAGGAUUUUUAGAUAAAAUAGAACUUAAUCUGUCAAGGAUCAUCUCCAGCUAUUGUCUCACAAAUACACCAUAACCAGAAGGAAAAGCAACUCAUCUACAUUUUUUCUUAGAACCUCCAUCGUUUCAGAAGUGCAAGUGUAAAUAGGCUCAUCCCUAGCCAUUGUCUCACAACCACAUCAGGACCAAAAGGAAAAGUAAAGGAAAUGGCCAAUGGAAAAUUCAAAAAAAAAAGCUACAAUUCUUUGAAAGAUUCAACCAAGCUCAAGUAAUACUAACAUAAUACCAUCCAAGUAAAUAAAAAAAAUUUUGGCUCACAGAAGCUUCCAAAAGGUAUACACAUUGACAGACCCACAACAUGAAAGACCUAGACCAGAACAAUGCCAAGCAAAGAUAUAGCCACAACCCAGAAAGGCAAGUCCAAAUAUAAGUAAAUAUGAAAAGUUUCUGCUUACAAAGGCUGCCAAAAUCUAUGCACAUUAACAGAAUUAUAACACAAAAGACCUACGAGAAUAAACCAACGAAAAACAAAAUCACAACCAGAAAAGAUGACAAGAGGAUAGAAAUGCAAAAUACAAAGAUAAAUGAGCAAAGAAUAGAAAAAUAUCCAACAAACAUCAAACCAAUGGACAGAACAAUAGUGAAAAUGGAAAAAAAGAAACAUAACCAAAUAUCCAUGAGCAAACGAAAAAUAGAAAAAAUACAAUUUACCUAACGGGAGAAAUUACAAUCAGAGCUCGCAAGUAAAGGAUCUGUAGAAAAGAGGAGCUUGUCAAAAUGCCAAAAAGAAAAUGAAGGAAACAGAGGGAAAUACUAAAAUAACUGAUGAGAAAAAGAAGGAGAUGAGGGGGGGGAAAUGUAGACAGAGCAAUAACAAAAAAUGGUAUCCAAGAGCAAAGAAAAACAAAAAAAAAUUACAAAUUACCUGGCAGAAGAAACUAUUAUUAAAGCUCGCAAGUAAAGGAUCUGCAGAAAAAAGGAGCUUGUUAAAUUUUUUUUUUUUUUUAAAAAGGAAGAUGGAAUCGGAGGAAAUAUUGAAAUACCUGAUAAGAGAAAAGAGAUGGAAAUGCAAAACACAGAGGUAAGCGAAGAAAACAGAAGAAGAUGGAAAUGUAGAACACAGCAACGAACAUCCAAGAGCAGGACACAUCUAAGCUUCACAUAGGCAGAGCAAUAACCACAUAGAAUCUGCGAGACAAAGAUGAAGUGAAAGGCAAAGAAGCUGAAAAGUGCUUGACGAGAGAAGCCACAAACAAAAUUCUCAAGACAAAGAUGAAGUGUGAAAACGGAGAUGAGAAAGCAGAUGAGAAAACUCUAGGAAAAAAGGGCACAACCAAUUUGUCUUGGAAUUCAGACCGCAUUGGAAGAGAUUGCCAUGAUAAAAUGCGCCAAUUACCAUUCUGGAGAAAGCUCUCCUGGUAGCUCCGAAUAAUGCAGCGGUGAGAGCCAAGAAAGGAAAAGAACUCGUACGGCCAUCUGUUCCAAAGCAGAAAACCCAUGGGCGACCCAAUUACCUGAACCAUUCCAAUGGAGCAUCUAGAAGUGCAAACUUACACAACUCACAUGCUUGGCACAUGACAAAAACGAAACCCCUUGGUGCAUUGUAUGUUAUGUUGAUAAGAAAAAUGUACCUGUAUGAUUCAUCUUCAUAUCUUGCUGUCCUGUUUAAGUUUGCAUUACUGUUCAUGCAUCUGAUGCAUGUUCUUCCAUUUUUUUUUCUUCCAUGUGCAUGUCAAACCUACGGUACUCAUGCACUUAAUUGUUUUUUUUUCGAAAUCUUAAGAGUAACAGGUUUAUUCCACUGAUUUCAUGAACUUGCAAAACACAGAAAAUUUAUAAAUGCAGGGAGAUGAUCAUAAAGUUCAUAAAACACAAUAAAGGAAAAAUAGCAAGGAAAAAACACAAAAUAAAUGCAAAAAAAGUGGAAAAAAGUACAAGGGCAAGAAUCAUAAAAAGAAUGGGUAAGGAAGAAAGAUGCAGCUUGUGUAAACAAUGUCCAGCACUUGCACUAUAAGCCUUUAAAUCUUUGUUCACUACAAUGAAAAUCUCAAGCAAUGAUCAAUUACAUUAUUGUUAUCCUCUAGGCCAUUAUAUCAAGCUAGCUUACAUAAUGUACUUUGCCAAACCAUUAGUCUCCUAUUGGGAGUCGAGCAUUUAAAAACUAAGAUGAGUUUUGCUCUACUCAUCAAAAAAUGAAGAGGAAAAUAGCUUUUUGCCAUAUUUGUGGUUUUAGAGCUUAUUGCACUACAUGCAUCUGGUGAUUUCAUUUGAUGCUAAAACUAUAUCGGUAUUUUCUUUUGAAUUUAAUGUAUCAUAUCUUGCAAAAAAGGAGGCAUAGUAUUAAGCCCAAUAAGGGGACAGGUGACCAUUUCAGCUGCAUGUCUUCUGAAUUUGCAGCCCAACUCUUCAUUGACUAUGAUCGGAUUGAUGAGAUGCCACUCACUUGUGUGUCUAGUUUGAAUCUACUGCUAUUAAAUGAAAGACAUAAAACGAGCGAGUUGUGCAUGAUAUGCGUAGAAGCAUAACUGGUUCCACGUAAUUUCUAAGUGCAUUUGAAGGUAGGAAGUUGCACUACAGAUUUGUUGGCCUAGUAUUCUACAAAAUGGCUCAGUGAUCUAGAAUUAUAUCAUUGCAAAGAAUGAUUUGCUUGUUGAAGGUACUGACAAAAACAUCCAGUUUCUUGUUGAAUAUUAGAACAUCUGUGACAUCUAAGUUCCAGUUUGUUUUCUUUUCCCAUUUUUGGAAUGAGUUUAGUUUCUUAAGUCUCCAAAUUUACAACAUUUUCAUGUUCUUGACGGUGGAUGCUAUUUGUCUAAAGUAAUUUUUCAUGUAUACUUAGCAUCGUUCACUAAAAUCGUGAUAUAGAACUUGACUUUUGACUUGAUAUUGUUUUUUGUUCUUCCUAGGCCUGUCUGCUGCUUGUUGUUUUCUGUAGUCAUUGUUCAGAGUUUGAAGACUACUGGACCUGUAGGCUUUAAAAGUCUUGUUCACAAUUUUCUUCGAAGAGUUGGCUGCAAGAAGCUUUAGAACCUGCAUUUCAGAGAGCUAGUCAGAGAAUGUAUCCUUCUUGAAAGACUACAGUGGAUAAUUAUACUGAUUCAUUUUUUGCUAAAUAUCUUUUUAUGUUGACCAUACCUUUUUUUGGUUGAACUUAACUUUCGCUAUAGAGGGACAGAGAUUUGGAGAAUUGAAAACUUCCAACCAAUUCCUUUACGAAAAUCUGAUCAUCGUAGGUUCUACUCAGGUGAUUCAUACAUUGUCUUGCAGGUGCAUAUGGCUUCCAAUAUUUCUUCCUUUGUAUCUUAUUUUGGGCCUCAUUUUUACGAAUUGAGUGUUUAUGACUGAAGGAAGAGCUUAAAUCUUUUUUAUCCUGUUUUUAAUUUGGAUACAAUGAACUGAUAAAAACUAAUAUCGAUCAUUGCAGUCCAGUUUAAUAUUGAUCAUGAGGAGGCUGUUGAAUAUGAUGAUAGAGAUGGUUGAAAUCUGACAUUGGUACUACGGUCUAUGCUUUAGUUUAGAAAUCUAGUACUCUUUUUUUUUGGAAGGAUAUGUAUUGGUCAUUACUGCUUGAACUUAUUAUGUGAGCUUUGGGAUCCAACAUUUGUGGUUCACUUUUGUUUUGAUGAAUGUAUAGACGUUCAUGGCCAUAUAUAUGAAUUUGUGGUUUUAUUCUACGUUGAUUUUGUCUUUUGUCAAAUUGAAUGUUCUGUAUUAUGAGAGAAAAACCCUAUAUAAGAAUAUAACUUAAACCCAAAUCUAACCCCUGUAUACCAUCUCUCAUCUCCCAAGAACCCCGUCUCACCCCCAUGUAUAAGGCUAGCCCUUUUGUGUGCCCCUUAUGUGUCUUUGUGUAGUAUCCAAAUCCAUCCAUUUAUAGGAAACAUUAUUUGACCAAAACCCAAAUAACAACAAGAAACCAAUUCUAAUUCCUAAACUUACAAAGAAUAGGAAAUAACUUCUAAUCCUAAACAAAAUAGGAAAUUCUUUGACUACUAUUUCAAAUAACCAAAAUCAAUUAGAAAACUAGUUACUUUCACGCAAAACAAGAACCCUACCUAAAAGAAAUUAAACCAAUUUUCUAACAAAUCUCCAUCUUAGUGAAAAUUUCUUUUAACAACCAUUUGUCUUCAACUACCAAAUAAUAUGGUAUCGAAUUGCAUAUCCGAAUCAAUACAGUCUUGAUACCAAAUUGAUUCAAUCGGCAAAUGAAUAUGUAUAGUUACCUAGAAUCCAACCUCCAAUUGACUUGUGAGAAGGUGCCUCAAUUCACCGUCUCCCUAUGUAGGAUUUUUUCUCAUCACUACUUGCAACCAGGGAUUCCCUUCUGUGAGCUCUAACCGUAAAUAUUGAGAAAGACUAACUCCCAACAAGGUUCGACUUUACAGGAGAAAGAAGUGUCGAUAAGGGAAUCGCCUUCAAGGAAGAUUUUAGGGAGCAUUUAUUCAAUAAGAUUGAGUGGAGAUUUCUUGAAUGACCUGUAAAUGAAGUAGUAAAGUCACCAUACUUUCUCCCAUCCUCAAGACUGUCUCGCCACGUAUGGUUUUCAAGACUCCACCUAAAACGAAAAACUCGAAACUGUUAGAGUCUUCUGGCGCAUGGAAAUUAAAUCUCUUUUUUUCUUUACGACACAUGCCACACUACCCAAAAAACAUAACCAAAAUCUAAAAUCCAUCGGGAUGAAAUAUCAACCGUUGGAGGUGUGGGAAAGUCUCCAUCGGUUCACGUCCAAAAUCAACAUUGGACUCCAUCCUUUCCUUGACCAUUGAAUCACCUACCUAGAUUCACCGUCAAAUAUCUCCAUGCUUUUCAACUUCCUAUCCUUCACCAUUAAUAUUUUUUACCAAACCAUUGAAACAAGAAUAUCACUCAUUAAAUUGUUCAAUUAGUAACAACUAUCAAUCCAUUUGAUCUCAAUAGUUACCCAGGAUCCAAUCUUGAACAACCAAACUCUUGAUCCAACCAUUUGGUUUGUUGGGAUCCAAGUGCUUGUGAGCAGCCCAAUUUCACAACCAAACUCUGAUACCACUUGUUAGGAUCCAAUCACGAAAUAAUCAACUAUUGAGAUAUUAAGUACAUAAUAAUUUAAUGACAAACAAGCCACAAGUAUGGAAAAUAGACAACACACAAUAUUUAAUAUGAUUCGACUGCACCAUUGAGUCUACGUCCACGGAGAGAAACUCGUUCAUUAUUAUGAGAGGAAAAUCCUAUACAAAAAUAUAAUUUGAACCCAAGCCCAACCUCUAUAUACCAUCUCUCAUCUCCCAAGAACCCUCUCUCACCUCCAUGUAUAAGGCUAGCCCUUUUGUGUGCCUUUGUAUAGUAUGUCAAUCCACCUAUUUAUAGGGAAUAUUAUUUGGCCAAAACCCAAAUAACAAUAGGAAACUAAUUCUAAUUCUUAGACUUGCAUAGAAUAGAAAAUAACUUCUAAUUCUAAACAAAAUAGAAAAUUCUUUGACUACUAUUUCAAAUAACUAAAAUCAAUUAGAAAACUAGUUACUUUUACACAAAUCAAGAGUCCUACCUAAAAGAAAUUAAACCAAUUUUCUAACAAAUCUCCAUCUUGACGAAAAUUUCUUUUAACAACUAUUUGCCUUCAACUACCAAAUAAUAUGAUACCAAAUUACACACCCGAAUCAAUACAGUUUUAAUAUCAAAUUGAUUCAAUCGGCAAAUGAACAUGUGUAGUUACCCCGAAUCUAACCUCCAGUUGACUUGUGAGAAGGUGUCUCAAUUUACCGUCUUCCUUUGCAGGAUUUUUUCUCACCACUACUUGCAACCGGGGAUCCCUUUCUGUGAGUUCUAACUCUUAACAUUGAGGCAACCAAGUAGUAAAAUCACCAUACUUCUUCCUAUCCUCAAGACUGUCUCGCCACAUGUGGUUUCCAAGACUCCACAUAAAAUUAGAAACUUGUAACUGUCUGAAUCUUUUGGCGCAUGAAAAUUAGAUCUCUUUGUUUCUUUAAGACACGUGCCACACCAUCCAAAAAACAUAACCAAAAUUUAAAAUCCACCGGGAUGAAAUAUCAACCGUUGGAAGUGUGAGAAAGUCUCCAUCGAUUCACAUCCAAAAUCAAUAUUGGAUUCCACCUUUUUCUUGACCCUUGAAUCACUUGCCUAGAUUCACCAUCAAGUAUCUCCAUACUUUUCGACUUUCUAUCCUUCAUCAUCGAUGCUUUUUGUCAAGCCAUUGAAACAAGAAUACCAGUCAUUAAAUUGUUCAAUUAGUAACAGCUACCAAUCCAUUUGAUCUCAAUAGUUAACCAAGAUCCAAUCUUGAACAACUAAACUCUCGAUCCAACCAUGCAUUCAGUUUGUUGGGAUCCAAAUGCUUGUGAGAAGUCCAAUUUCGCAAUCAAGCUCUGAUACCAUUUGUUAGGAUCUAAUCACGAAAUAAUCAACUAUUAAGAUAUCAAAUACAUAACAAUUUAAUGACCAACAAGCCACAAGCAUGGAAAAUAGACGACACACAAUAUUUAACGUGCUUCGACUCCACCAUUGAACCACGUCCACGUAAAGAAACUCGUUCUUUAUUAUGAGAGGAAAAUCCUAUACAAAAAUACAACUUGAACCCAAACCCAACCCCUAUAUACCAUCUCUCAUCUCCCAAGAAGCCUUUUCUCACUCCCAUGUAUAAGGCUACAUGUUGCCAUUUUAUGUGCCCCUUAUGUGUCUUUGUGUAGUAUGCCAACUCACUUAUUUAUUUAUUGGGAACAUUAUUUGGUCAAAACCCAAAUAACAAUAGGAAACCAAUUCUAAUUCCUAAACUUGCAUAAAAUUGGAAAUAACUUCUAAUUCUAAACAAAAUAGAAAAUUUUUUGACUACUACUUCAAGUAACUAAAACUAAUUAGAAAAUUAGUUACUUUCACAUAAAACAAGAACCCUACCUAAAAGAAAUUAAGCAAAUUUCCUAACAAUUCUCUUGAAUACUGACAAUAUCCCUUUGCUUUCUUUUUGGUGCCAUCCUGCAAACACAAAUUAGAUUAGGGCAAAAUCUACCUACACUAAGCUACCCAAUCCUCGACUGGUAGCAACAGGUAUUUGAACACGAAAAUCAAAACUAAGUCAAUCCACACUAAGGUUGGCCACCUGAAGUGUAAAUCAACUAAUUCCAAUAUUCUAUCCAACAUACACACUACAUUACAUCAAACUUUCAAUAAAUAUUCAUUCUUAAGGUACUAUAAGUAAGAUUCAUACCUAGGCUCUGAUACCAAAUAAAUGCCACGCCCCAUGUCCGGAAUUUAACACCGCCACGCCCUAGACAAUGCUAAAGACGUAAGCCAACAAAUUUCCAAAAUAAAUAUAUUCACCUUUAUACAAACUUUCUAAAUCCGCAAAUACAAGAUCAUCCAUAACAGCAAUUUUACGUCUUUCAAAAUAAAAGCAAGAUCAAACCUUCUACAAUAUGUACAAUAUUCGAAUCCUAUUAUAAGGUAUCUUAUAUAGAAGUACAAAAGUCAUCCUCUAACCAAAAGUCAUCUCUAUCUCCAUUACCACUCCCAAGUUCUAUCAAGGUCCACUUCAAUGAACUCAUCAUUAACUGCAUAAUUAUAACAAAGGGGUGAGCGAAAUCUCACUCAAUAAGUAGCACAUGUAUCUCAUUAUUGGCCUGAGCAUGUUUCAUACAUAAUAUAUAUUUCAAACGCCAUUAACUUACACAUAUAACUUUAUAAGAACAUGGUCAUUAUAAACAUUUCAAUGGCAUAUCAUACAUCACACACAUAAAGGAGCUCAAACCAUAAGACAACAAUUGACCUGGGAUAUCCAGUUAUUAACUUAAUUGGUUAACACGGUUCUUAGUGUUAACUACUAUAUGGUUAGCCUAUUUCAUAUUGCUAACGACAACACAGAUAGCUUAUUUCAUAUACCAACUACUUGUGAGGAACUAGUCCCGUCAAAAGUCGCUUAUACAAGAGCUCAACAAACAUAACAUUUCAUUUCACAAAUGACCAUGGCAAGAGUAAUAACAAAUAUCACAAAUUAUACUUGGUCAUGGCACUUUAGCAAUUAGACAAGUAGCUUUCAAAAUUCAUCUUUCAAAAGAUAAAGGAUACGUGCAUCACUUACCUUGAUCCAAUGGAUACCCACGCUAGUUCAAGUAAUCAGAAAAAUGGCUACCUUAUUCAUCUAGACAUUAUAAUAAAAUAUUCAAUUACAAUCUUAAAGAUACUAAACUACUGCAAAUUAUCAUAAAAAGGAGUCUAAUACUACCCUUAACGACUAAUUCCUAAAAAGGAUCAUUUCCUCAUCAAAGCAGGACAUAAUGGUUAAUUUUAAAGGGUCACUAACUUUGAGAAAUAUAGAAACGUGGCAAGAUAUUUACACAGAGUUAAAGCCCCCUGAAUCUAGUUUCCAACGCAACAAACAACACCUAAAUCCGAGUUUCCUACAUCAAGUUAUGGCCGAAAAACUGAAAUAUGGCUGUACAGAAAAUUUAAUCCGUCUGAGAAUUAUAGCCAAUCCAUCUAAGGAUUAUAGCCAUGGAUUUCUAGCAUGUUUUCAAGGCAAAAACAAGUUCCAAAUUUGAUAAUCAAGUUCCAUUUCCAUCUCAAAUUAUCUUCCAACCUGCAUAGUUGUCAAAAUCAACAUAUUUUAGCUCCCAAAGUCAUGUAAAUACAUAAACAAUCUUGAAAAUGAAUUGUUAGCUCAAGUCAUUCUUUCCCUCAACAUUUCUCCUUUUUAUAUUGAUGAUAGCCCUAUACCCAUAUGAAAAUAGGGACCAAAACAAACUUUAUACACCAUAGCCAUGAAAGCUAACCAAGGAUUUGAACCAAAUAAUAUCCAAUCACCCAAUCAAAGAAAACCAAAAUCAUGUUCAAGGUUUCAUGAAAAUAUGUUGGUUAGUUGUCAAAGUAGAAUCUCCUAACUCCUCACUCCUUACUUGUGCUUGAUUUGUCAAGAAUUCUUCUUGAUUGUAAGGAAAAAGGAGAGAAAUAAGAAAGGGUUUUGUUGGAGAAGGAAGGAAGAAAGGAGACGAAGAUGAUGAAGAAAUUUUUUGACAAGGAUGAAUAGUGAAACCCCACUAUCACUUUAUUCUUUCAAAAUUUCACUUAUUAACACAUUGGUCACUCAAUUUAACAUCUUUCACUUUUCACCACUAAAUAGUAUUUCUUCGCGCAAAAUUCUCUACAAGACACUUGGGUAUCACAAUAAUUGUUAGGACCGACAAUUCUUAUAGACUGUCUGAGACAACAAUAUUCAUGGAUAUAAAUGAAAGCAAGAACAUUUGAUAUAGCGCUAGGAAUUUCGUAUCAUCCUUGACAUCUAUAUGCAUCUCUUCUAUUUGGAUAUUUAUCUACAGCGAGUCUUUGUAUCGAUAAUGCCCAACUAAAUAAAAAAGAAAAGACAAUUUGCAUUUUUUCUUUUUUCUCUUUUUUUUCCCAAUAUGUCAAAUAGCAAGAAUAGUAACCUCCUAUUGGAUCCUUAAUCCAACGUUGGACUUAUAUGUGAAUAAUUAUGUAUUUCAAACUGUCAAAUAAGGUUAAAUCCAAUUAAAAUGAUCAAAUAUGAUCUGGACUUAAUGUAUCUAAUAAGGUGUGGGUCUUUAAUGUGUAGAGACUUAAAGGUAUUUCCUAUUUCUAUAAUGGGUUGAAAUAUGAAUCUAAAAAAUAACAGGAAUGCUAUCUAUAAAUAGGGAUAUGGUCCCCAGGUCACAAGUAUUCUUAUUGUCAUAUUUUCUAGUACCACAAAACAGCUUUUUCCUGAUAUCCCAUCAUCAGAAAACAUACCAAAGAGAAACUAAAGUGCUCUCUCAAGAAUUGGUAAAUAUGUGUUGACUUAGAAGGCUAUCCUAAAAUCUUCAAGGAUUCAAGUGCCAGUUUGGCAACAUGAAUUUAGGUACGCUUCCGCAUUUAUAUUACAGUUCUGUUCAAAUAUCUGAUAUUGGGAUUCUGGAAAUUCCUACACCUUCUCCCUUUGAAAUUUCAGAGAAUAGAACCAAAUAUUUCAUUCCUACUAAGUUAUGGGCACGCAUUACAUCAUUCCUACUAAAUUUAACUAUCUUAACAACUUAGAAAAAGCUAGCUACAUAUACAUUGUCUUCUUACAUAGAUAAAAGAUAUGCAGGGCAUAUAGAAAGAUCGCCCAAAUGGGUUUAAUUUGCUGCUUUUAAGCUUGACAUUUGUAAGACUUAUGACCGGAUAUCAUGGCAAUUUCUAUAGGCUGUUCUAAGAAAAAUGGUUUUUCCAGAAUCCAAGAUUAAUAUUGUUUUGAAGAGUAUCUUUUUUGUCUCUUACUCUAUCAUACUCCCUCCGUCCCACUUUAAUAGUCCUGUAUUCCUUUUUCAUCUGUCCAAAAUUGUAGUCCACUUUCCAAUUGAAGAAUGUGGUUGUAUUUUAAUUUUCCUAAAAUACCCUUAUUCAAUGUAAGUAGUUGUUACUAUAAACAUAGCCCAUUUAAUGAGAGUUAAUUCUUUUUUUACCAUCAAUUCAAGUUCUCAUAAAGUUGUACAAUAUUUAAUGUGAGGGUAUUUUAGGAAAAUAGCAAUCUAAAUUUAUUUUUCUAACAAAGUUAACUAUUUUUUCUUAAACUGUGUGAAAAAAGAAACAGGACUAUCAAAGUGGGAUGGAGGGAGUAGUUUUCUUUUUUUUUACUUAGGGUUAUCCCAGCUUUUUGGCCAACUAAUUCCCUAAAACUGUGUAGAGUCUUAUCCUAAGGAUACAUGGUAAGGUAGUACAUGGGAUUCGAUUACGGGACAUGUUAGUAACUAUCAAACUACGGAAUCGGUCGAACUACCCGCGGGGCACUCAAUCGUAGUUAAUGGAGUACUAUCAUCGGUAAUAUAUCCUACCAGAGGCCUUCGCUAGGGAUGCCCCCUCUGAGCAUCAUAUCUCUGCUUUAUACCAAGAGGCGUUGUCAGCAGCAUUAUGCUCUUUGGCAUCUAUAGAAUCUAUGUCCCCAAAUAUGAUUUUGAAAACCUAUACUUUGGCUUACAAAAUCUUAAUUUUUUCCAAAUCCAAUAAAGAUGGAAGGGAAAUAAAAAUAAACGAAUAAAAAGAUGGAAGGGAAAUAUAAAAAAUAAAUAAGAAAAAAAAUACAAAAUCUUUUUUUGACUACAAAUAUCAUUAUAAGUUUUUAAUCUAAAACUUUAAUGGUAUUUUCUAUUUCUUUUUUAUCUAUUUUUUUAUUUCAAUUUCUUCCUUUUUAUGUUUAGAGGAAAAAAAUAAGCAACAAAAGGAUAAAUUUGUCAAUUUAUUAAUUUGAUUUUGAAUUUUCUCGCUGACUCUAAGUUUUAAUGAAAAAACUAAGUCACAUUUUAUUUCAAAUCAUGAGGGGUUAUAUAAAGUUUUCAUACCGUAGGAUAGUUAUGUUGUAAACCACCAAACCAUACGGGGUAAAAGGUAAUUUACCCAUUAAUCUAUGCCCACUAAAUUUCGUUGGAGCUAUUAAUGCAUGAAAAAAAAAAGCAUGCGCUUUUCAGCAAAAUGGGGACAUAGACAAAACGCAAAUUUCAAAGUUUCAAUCUCAUAAACAUAAUAACCACCGGAUGUUUUCAUUAAUUCAUAGUGAAAACAGGAAGAUCCGCAGUCCUAGUUAAGCAAGCAAAGCUUAUGAGUCAUUCAAAAACUUUCGGAAUUUCCUGAAGAAUGAUGAGCUUUGGUGAUACUUUUUUCGGCAAACUGCAAGCUUUCUACAAUUAAGGUUGGAAUAACAUUGGAUACAAACGUCCUCUUUAAAUACGAGCCAUCAGUUUGUAAAGAGGAAGUUAUAUGGUUCUCUUUGGGAAGCUGCAAAUUUUGGUGAUUUGAAACCAAUUUAAAAAUUGACAAAAUUCGUGCUUUCCUUGGCAGCUACUGGCUUUGAUUGAAAGAGAUGAUCUUGGCAAUGGCUAUAUUGAGUCAAAAUCAGACCGUAACGAUCUUGGCUAUGGAAUUUGGAAUGUUUUGUUUCCACUUUCCAAAUGGUAGUUGGCUUGUUGCAAGAAAGAAGAAAAAUUGCAGUGGUCUUCAUUGGCAAAAUUUGAUAAUAUCAUGGUCAAAAUAUCUAAUUGGUCACGUGGGACAUCUUUUUGUAAGUAUUACUGCAUUAGUUGCUUCUAAUCUACAACAAGUCAAAAGGAAAGUUGUCUUUUAACUGCUUGUUCUAAUUUAUAAGUCAGGCUUUCCAUUAAGGAAUUGAAGCCACCGCCUUGCACUCUAAGGUGGUUCUGUGCACUAAUCAAAUUGAUUUAGAUGCAUUACAGGGUUAGCAAACAAAGUUGUGGGCUUUCAAAUGAUUCUAAUGGAAUUUACUAAUGAAAAGUCUUGCAGCUCAAGACUCAUACUUCAAGCUUUGUGUUUGGCAAUUGUCAACCAAUGCCUUACAAAAUCUUAAAGCGGGGCAUUUGCAGAAAAUAAAAAUUUUAUUUAAUUUAUUUAUUCAAGAUUUAAUAAAUUAAGUUGAUUUUAAUUAAACUAAAUUAAAUUAUGAAAGUCCUUUAUUUUUGAACUAACAAAUUGGACCAGUAUUAUGUGGGCUGUUAAAUCAAUUAAAUAUGCAAGGUCCAUUUAAAUUAAAAUGGAUUAAUGGAAUCAUUAAUUCACAAUGAACUGUUGGGCUAGCUUAUUACUAAAAUCCAUAUUAAAUGGACUUCAAAUUGAACCAGUAUUAAACGAAUUGUUGGGCCAGCUUAUUGUUAAAGUUUUUCAUAUAUAUUGUUACAAUAAAAUAUUUCAAAACACCCGUAAAAAUAGUUAAUCCAAACAGAGACAUGGUUUUUUUAUAUUACUUUAAUUAAUUUUUUUUUUCUUUUUUCUUCUUUGGCUGCAAAAAUUUCGCACCACCAUAGGAAUAAUUCACUUGAUGAACUUCGGAGGUCUCUGACUAAAAAUAACGGAGCAAUCAUUGAUGGCAAAUUGGCAAUGGAAAUGAUGGCAUUUGACCAUGUUAUUAAUGGUACUUUAGAUCUAGCCUCAAAAAAUGCUGAUUCGAAACAUGAGGAUGGUUUCUUAGAAAAAGGUUGUCCUAUUUGUUCUCUUGCUACGGUAUUUGAAGACAAUCACUAUACGCAAGCAAAAAUGCCUAAUCCCCCCUUUCACUCAGUCGCUUCAUUUUUCUUCAUUCCUCACUUGUUUGUUUUUUGGAUUUAUAGAAGAAGUGCCUUUUAAAUUUACAGAACAAGAAGAUGAUGAUGAAUGCGAGAGAAAAGAACCCUGUGGUCAUAGCACAUUGUGCUUCCUAAAUUGCCCCUUCAUUAUGUCUAGUGAAUCACACAAUGGUGGAAUCUGACAGAAUGACUCAGGAUCAAAAUACAUACUUUACAUAGUUUAGUAGUCAAAACCAAAUUGUUAAUAGUUCAGUGACCAAAACUCAAUGAUAGCAAAAGUUUAGUAGCUAAUGAGGUAAUUUGCUCGAAAAAUAGUGAUAGAAGCAGCGAAGGGUGAAAUUUGGAUGUUCAUGCUACUGAGAAAGUUUUUGUACGACUGAUUCCCUGGAGAUUGCUAUCACUUGAGGUAGGGGAAACAACAAUGGAGGCUCUCUGUCUUGGAGGUGUCUGAAGCAAAAAGUCCUGGGCAGAAAUGUGAAACAAAUCUGAAUUGUGGGCUUGUGUUUGCGGCUGAUGACUGUAUUAUUGUCCACCGAAGUCUUCCGCCCAAACAAGGUGACCCUCUUAUUAUCCCUGCCUCAUUAUCUACUUCAUGUUUUGCUUCUACUAACUCCCCUACCACUUAAAACGAGUUUUGGGUCGAGGGUUAGGUUAGGGCGCUAGAACUCGAGAAGGGGAUGAAGAAGAUCGAAGCUUCUGUGGUCUGGAGCUUAGGAUUGAGGAUGCUGGAGUUGGGUUUGCGUUUUGCCCGCCAAUGAUCACCCUGAGUUGCUUAAUUUGGUAGAGAAAAAUCAGAACAUGGGAGUGGCCUGGAGGCAGGUUACCCCGUGCUAGCGGCCUAAUUAAUAUUGAUAUGGGUAAAAUACAGUAAACCCCUCUGUGGUUAGGAAAAUAAAUAUGAAACUCCCUCAUUGUUUAAAAAUACCCAUUUAACCUCCCUUGUGCUUUGAACUUCUUUGGAUUUUGACUGCUAACAGGUUGGGAAGCCAGUAAUAAUAUAAAAUACCAAAAAUACCCUCAUUUAUAAUAUCUCAAAAGGCACAGCUGCAACUAGUAGAUCUUGAGUGGUACUUCAGGUGUAGAGAGAGAAAGUGGAUGAAACCCUAAACCUAUAGCACUAUCUUCUUCCACGACAUGAAUAAACUACAGAAUUUUCAUGUGUAUCUCACAGAUGAAGAAGGCAUUUUUGUGCAGAUUGAUCGAGGGUUGCGAAGCAUCGAGCAUAGGAUUAACAAGGUAAUCUCAGAUAUGAACCCUAAAUUUACUUGUGUUGAUUGGUUUCAUGGUAGACGUUUGGUAGUAUAUUGUUGGAGAUAUUUCGAAACUUGGUAAAAAAAGUGAUAGCUUUGGCUUAGUCAGAAGUAUUGUCGACAAUCUUUAUCGAAAAACUUUAUAAAAAAAUUGAUAAGUAUGCAAAAAGUAGAAAAGAAUGGGUCUUUUCGGAGUGAUCUAGACUAUUGUGGUCCAUACUGGUAUUGAUUAUGUUUUUUAACCUUUUAGAUGAGUGUGUUAAUGUUGACUAUGCUUUUAUGAAACUAGAAGUGUAUGAAAUAUUGCCUGUCCUUUUCGAUACAUCUGAAAAUUAAAUUAGUAAAUUUAUCUCUGUUGCUUUGGUUUAGGUGUAUAAGAAUGGGAGAUAAUCCGUUUAAGUGUAUAGACAUAUACAUGCAUUAUGGUGGAAAUUUCAAAUGAAACUGAGAAUUAGAUACAUCGGCGAACAAGUGAGGAUAUUUUGUGAAUGGGACCCUGAUGAAUUAACUCCAUUUGACUUUUAAAAGAUGUAUGACACAAUUGAGUGUGGUGUAAGCAAUAUGAAUUUCUAGUACUCUAUCCCCUUUCAUGACCUUGAUGUUGGUGUUGUUAGUAUUAAGGAUGAUGCUGACAUCAAGUUAUUGACAAUAUGUUAUGAAAGGCUUCCAGAAAUACACAUAUAUGCUGAGAAAGGGCCUGAACCCAUUGAAGUUGUGUCUUCGGAUGAAUAAUUAUUGUACAAGAAAGUGACUGGUGAUAGCUUACUUGCACUUCCAUUUUGUGAUAAUUGGCAAUUGGCGUGUUCAGAUUGGAUUAUCCGCAUUUGUUAAAGGCAGUGAUAACUUUGACCCUACAGUUAUUGGGAAUGAGUACAAUAAUGAUAUUUCACAUAUUAACUAUAGAAGAAAAGGCAUCUGUGAUGAAGGGUCAUCACAAAUGGAGUUGGAUCCAACUUUUGUGGGACCACAUAGAGAGCAGAUACAUGAUUAAACUAAUAAAUCCAAGUGGAAGAAAACAAUAAAUGGUAAAAAAAACUGAGUGGCAAAGAGUAAAAUUAACUGCAAGGAAGUUAGCUCAGCAGUUAGUUAAAGAGAAGGAAAAAGUUGAUACAACUACAGAGGUCUAGCAGUCUCCCACAAGAAAUUCAGCAAAAGAAACAACAUUUGGGACAGAUCCAACAGAAGAAACAACUAAUUUGAGGGGAGAAAAAUAGUUGAUGAAGGUGGAGAAAAAGAUGAUGUCAUACCAGACUAUUUAGAUCUCUCGGACUGGCUAAGAGAAGGACUAGAAGGGCCUAAAGAUUAUGAUAUAUUUGCAGGCUUAAAUGGUCAAGAAUCAACACAGGCAUCUAUUAAUUCAGGAUCUAUAAAUUUUGUUAGAGUUGGUUCAGAGUAGCAACAAGAAAAUUAGCAAGCCAAAGCUAGAAAACAAGCUGGUAUAGAUCAACAACAAGAAAAUCAGUAGGCCUAAUCCAGAAAACAAACUAGUUCAGAGCAGCAACAACAACAUCAGUAAUCGAAAUCAAGAAAACAAGCAAAGAACCAGCCCCAUGAAGAGAGGAGUCAACCAACACCAGGUGUGGAUGAUAGAUGCCGUGUCAAUGAGCAGGAAGAGAACCGGAAUGACCUAGUAAAGGAUGAUGAAAAUCUAUUUGACAAUGGGAUAAGAUCUGAUGAAGAAAACAUCCCUGUUUAUAGUUACUUCAAUGCGGAGAAAAAGUAUAGGAAAGAUCACUUUGAACUAAAGGUUUGACAGAAAUUUACUAGCUUCUCUAAAUUUAGGGAGACUUAGAGGAGUGGGAAAUUAAGGAGGGUAUGAGCACAAAUACAUCAGAAAUGAAGGCUCUCGAAUCACAACUAAAUGUGCGAAGGGGUGCAGUUGGAGAAUUCAUGCAUGCAGAAUCCAGAGAACAAAGACUUUUAUGAUCAAAACUCUUAAGCGAGAGCACUAUUGUGGUAGGGAUUACAGCAAUAGACAUGCUACUUCAACAUAUCUAAGUGAAAAAUUUCAGGCCAAGGUGAGGGAUGAUUGUGGGUGUAGUACUCCAGGCAUAGUAAAUGAGACAAGAAGACUGUUUAUGUUAGACAUUAGUAGGAAGAAAACUGCCAGAACAAAGCAAAAAGCAUUAGAGGCACUUAGGGAAAAUGACAUGGAGCAAUAUCACAGGCUUUGAAAUUAUGUAGCCACUGUAAAAAAGUCCAAUCCUGAUACUCAUAUUUCACUGCAGAUUGAUAGGCAAAGUGUUGAGGAAAAAGCUACAUUUCGGAGGAUAUACUACGGAUUAGGUGCUCUGAAGAAUGGUUUUCUAGAACGUUGCAGACCUAUAAUAGGACUAGAUGGCUAUUUCAUAAAGUGUCCCUUUGGAGGUUAGCUGCUUACAGUCGUGGGUAGGAAUGCCAAUGAAAACAUGUUUCCUAUUUCUUUUGCUAUUGUUGAGGUAGAGAACUACGACAACUGAUAAGUGACUAAUUUACGUAAUAAUUGAAUGAUAUUUUAUAUUAUUUUUAGUCACUUUGGUUAUAUUAUUCGAAGAAAAUGAAUCAUUUUGGCUAUAAUUGGUGAAAAAUGCUUUUAAGUAAUUAAAUGAAGUUUUUAUCACUUUUUACUUGGAUUUUGUGCAUUUUGAUAGUUUUGACACAUUUUCAUAUUUUGGCUAUAACAUCAGCUACAAUGAUCGGAUUGAGAUGAUUCUUAAACCAAUUUGAAGAUAAGAGAUAGAUCUACAACUUUGGUGAAGAUAUCUGAAUCCAGUUUGAAGGUUUUCCAGGUCAAAAAGCCAAAUUAUAGUAGCUAAUUUCCAUUGGUCGAAGCUGAAGCAGGGCAAUGAGUAUUCAAGGGUAUUUUGGUCAUUGCUCAGCCUACACAGAUCCAAAUAAGGUGAUUCUUGAUGCAUUGGAAAUCUAACUCAAGGGGCUACAAGUUUUAUGUUUUGGUCAAGAGCUAAAUCAGCUUUUAUCAUCAAGAAAAGUUCAGUUGAAGUUGAUGUAAAAUAGGAGCAGAGCUGGAAAUUUUACAAAAGUGCACCAAAAUGUCACUGUAGUAAUCUGGCCGGAACUUGGCCGGAUUUGUGGCUGGAUUGUGGUCAGAGAAGGCUGCUCUUUACGCGGAAAACUCAAUUUCACCUCUACUAAGUCACAUAUAAUGCUAGACAUGUGAGAAACAUUACCAGCUGUAAAAGGGAAGUGUAGGCCUCAUUUUCUUGACUUCCUUUGUCUUGAAAUAGCCAAAUCUUGCAAGCAGAAUGGGAUCAUCAUAUGGGAGAAUAGAGAGACAUACGGGAGAAGCUUGGAGUCUGCAAAAAUGUAGUUCUUCCAUUUUCCUUAGUGUAGGAUAGUUUUAGUUUUAGAUAGUUUAUCCUUUCUUGUAUGUUAGCUACAUGAAGAGGAAGAUGGAGGAUGAAGAAGGCAAGGAAAUGAACUCAUGUGACAAGGGUUACAUUCCUUCCCAACUCUUUAUCUUUUGUACUUGAUUUUAUUGUUUGGUUAAUAUACAAGUCUGGAUUUUAUGUUAUUUAGUUGUCUCUAAAGUUUAUGCCUUGAGUUUGGUUGAACUUCCUAUUAUUGUUAGUGUUUAUUAUUUGGCUAUUUGAUUGCUAUGAUUUGAGCAAGUUAUUUAGUACUUUAGCUCUUUAAAAUCAUGAUUAACACUAGUUCAAUGAAAAUUGAGAUUUAACACUAGUUUAAAAAGUGCUAAACAUAGGGAGUACACUCACGAAAGUAGAGGUGCACCUAUGUGGUUUUUAGUGAUUCAUUUCACGUAAUUUCACUGAAGAAAUGAACUUGUAGCUAAUUUCAUAACCAUGAGAAUAGGUAUGGAUUAGUUAUAAGUAUAAUUGAUUCACUACGAAAGUAGGAUUCAAAUGCAUAAGAAAAUUACACCAUAACUAGCCUAGAUGUAGUACUCAAUGAUCCAAAUAUAGCACUUGCAUGAGUAGUUAGGAAUACCACAACCUAAGAAGAAUUUAUUUAUUAUUUUGUAUAAUUUCAGUAGGCUAAAUUUGUUAUAAUUCAUUGAUAGUCUAAAUAAUAGAGAAGCUUUAGUAAUACCAGUAAUUGUUCACUCUUCCCUGUGGAAUCGACCCUAUAUAUACCCUAAACUACUAGUUGACCUGUAUACUUGCAGUGAACGGGUGUAAUUCGGUUUUUUUUUUUUAACUUAUACAUAUAUUAAAAUCUCGUCAACAACUAGAGCUAGUUUUUGAGAGAAUUAAUCACCCAAAUUGGAGAAGGAAACAAAGGAGUGGCUUACACUUUCAUUUCAGACAAGCAAAAGGGUCUUGUCUAUGUAAUUGAGGUGUUGUUCCCUGAAUUAGAGCACAGAUUUUGCCUAAAACACAUGUUCGAGAACUUCAAACAAAGAUUCAAGAACUAAACCUUAAAGACAUGUUCUAGGAAGUUGUUGCAGUAGCAAGCAUGCCAGAGUAUGAAACUGCCCUAUCAAAUCUUGAAAGGGUUGACCCAAAGGAAGGUGACAAACUAACAAUUGCAGGAUGGUUCAAACGGUUGCCUCUAAAGCUUUGGUCCAGAGCCCACUUUAGUACUAUUUGUAGAAGUGACACGUGCAUCAACAACAUUAGUGAAUCAUGGAAUAAUUACAUUCUAAAGGCUAGAGGUGAGCCAAUAAUAACAAUGCCGGAGUAGAUUCGGAGGAGAUUAAUGCAAAGGUUGGUAACCAAACGAGAGGGCAUGCUGAAAUAUAGUAGCACUUUAUGUCCAAACGUUCAUGAGAAGUUAGAGAAACUGAAGAUAAAAGCAAGAAACUGUGUCGUGGUUUAUGGAGGAAAUAGGAAUUUGGAAGUUGAUGGCUAUGGAAGGACUAAUGUCAAUUUGGAUAUGAAGACGUAUACUUGUGGUCAUUUUCAACUUAGUAGAAUUCGAUGGGUGCAUGUGGCUGCUUGCAUUCAAAGCAGAAAGUUGGAAUUCGAGCAAUUUGCUGAUGCUUGUUACUAUAGGGAAGCAUAUUUAAGGGCCUAUAACUUCACAAUUGGUCUUGUUCUUUCGAAGCAGUUCUAGGUGGAUAGCAAAAUGCAGUAUUUGAACCCUCCAUUGGUAAAAAAACAACCUAGUAGGCCAAAGAAGUAGAAGAAGAAGGGUCCAAAAGAACCUACAAAUCAGUAUAAAGCAAGUAAGAAGGGGUCUGGCAGUCUACUGCCCAAGGUGUUUGAAAUUUAGACAUAACAUUAUAACCUGCAAAUCAGCAAUUCACCCUAAGUCCAAGCUUUACAAGAUAAUGUAACAUUUAAGAACCAAAUCAUUUCUCUAGUUUGUUUUGUUGCUGCUUAUACAUCCAGCCAUUUCGAUGUGAACUAUAAGCACCUAAAUGUGGUCUAACAGUUUCAAAUGCAACAUUCUGGCUUCUGUAGCUCAGGCUAGUGUCUCAAGUACUACUGCUACUACUCUUUCCCAAGUACUAGUUCUCAAUUACCUAUUUUUGGGUGUUGUGACCUGCUUACAUACUAAGCAGUGCCACUUAUAAGCAGGAACCAAGUUAGCCUAUAAGUGGUACCAAUCAAGAAAGCUAGAAGAGUAAAUCUUCAAAGAGGAAGCAACCAGCUACAGGAAUGUCAAGAUUGCAACAUUGUGGCUCUAAGAGACCAAAAAAAUGAACUGUAGUUAUCUCUCUUUUGUUUGUUGAAUAUACUGGUUAUGUUAACCACAUUGAUCCCUUCUAGGAUUGAAUUGUAAUAUUCAUUGAAACUACUAGAAAACUCAGAUUUUGGUUAUGUUUUGGUAGAUUGAUACCAUUAUGGUAUGAAUGUGGUAAUAUGCUUCAUUUUUAUGGCAUUCGUGGCAGUAUUGCUGGUGACCCUUUUAGGGAUUGGAUUAUAAUAUUUAUUGAAACUAAAAAACUCAAAAUUUUGGCCUUGUUAUGGUAGAUUGAUACCAUUGUGGUAUGGAUGUGGCAAUAUGCUAAUGGUAUCUUUGAAAUAGAUUGGUGAUAUCUUUGCUAAAAAUGAUUUAAUUUGACAAGUUCAUUGCAGUGUAAUCUCCGGUCUUUCAAUUUUUUUGUCAUGUAUUUUUUAAAUGUCCUGCAACAAAAUAGUGUAGCUUCAUUCAUUCAUCUUAAUUAAAACCAGAAUGUCUACUUCAUUACAUCCAAUUGAAACUAGAUGUGGCAACAUGUUGGACAUAACAAAACCUACUAUUGUGUCCAACUCCCUCAUCUACUACACUUUUUUAUACUAAUUUGUCCUGAACAUUCAUCUCAUACAUAUAACAACUAGUGACAAAAGAGACACAACUACAGACACCAUCAUCAUCAUCUUCAUUAGCCUCAUCAUUGUUUCGACAUUGUGAAUCUUUGACUGUAGUGUCUCAUAAUGAUAUUAUAGUUAUUACUUUCCAUCCCUUGCCCAGAAAUGAAAAAUCUUUCCGCCAUUGCAGAUCCAGUUGGUGAAACUCCUUCCAUGUAUGGAUUUUGGCAGGAUGAUUCAUUAGUGCCUCCCUCUCUACUAAUUGGGUUGCUUCAUGUCCAGAAUGAACAAGCACCAUUUUCACAUACAAAAUACAACAUAUCUUUUGAUGGUUUUUUAGAUUCCACUAUCUUAAUCUUUGCUUUAUUCUUGCAAAAACAUCAUCAAUUUUGGUACCUUAGCUUGACAUUUUCGGUUUUUUUCCUUGAACAAAGCUAUGUUGUGCCCUCCAAAGCUACGCUCUUAUGAUUUUUGUCUUAAUUUUGUGUCUCUCUGUCCAAUUUUUCCAUUUGCAGAAUAACAACUAUGGUGGGUUUCAUUUGUAAGAGACAUGGAGAGAAAAAUGGGAAUGAAAACUAGUCUCUUUCAGUCACAUGCGGCCAUUAGGUCGCAUCAAUGUCACUUGCUAGCUUCCUAGCCGGUUAGCAGGUAAAAUCCAAAGAAAUCCAAGGCACCGAAGGAGGGUUAAGUGGGUGUUUUUAAAUAAUGAGAGGGUUUUGUGUUUAUUUCCCUAACCAUAAGGGGGUUUACUGUAUUUUACCCUAUUGAUAUUGGUGAGGUGGAAUUUGGGGCAGAACCCCUCUAAGAAUUUGUGUUUCUCCCCAGUGUCUCAAGAGGUAAUCAGGCCCUGCUUGAAUUCUAACCCUGCUGGUAGACCUAGUUUGGAAGAACUAUUCAGGGUUAUUUGUUUAAGGACCUUAAGCCAUUUGAAAAGGUGGUAGGGAAAAUCUUUGAGGUGCGCAUUUUUUAUGGUAAGGGCACCUACAAACUGGUGAAAAUUCUUGGCCACCACCAGGGGGAAUGUCUGGUUUACCAAGCCAAGUAUGAGCCCAUCAAAAGCACUGAUCACUCUGUGGGUUUGAAGGUAAUGGAGAAGGAGAAGUGAGUUGCUCCAGCAAUCAGCUGAGAUCAGUGUGGAUGCUAAUUCCCAUCCGUGUAUCAUCGGGGUUAUAAACGAAUUUGCAAGCGGUACAAGUUAUUGUGUCUCGAUGCCCUUAUUUGAUAAGGGUUCAUUGAGGCUUCUUUCAAGGAAUCGAUGAAAUGACGGUUGACCCGACGAUUGUAUUGCCCUGGUUCGGAUGGAACCCUUAAAAGGUCUUGGUAUCCUCCAUGAAAAUCAUAUGGUUCUCAAACGUGCCAGUCCAGACGAUAUUUUUUCUGUAGGAAUCCUUUAUGCAUUGCUUUGGGUCAUGAUGCAACUCUGUGUCAUGCUUGGAAUUCUGACAAUGCUAAAAAUUCAGUGAUAAAUUCAACGAUUGAUGAAUUCAGUCAUGCUUCAGAAGUCUAUGAUGCUGGGGAGGCUCUGACAUAUGGCUCCUCAGAUUAACUGCUUUAGAGUUGGCCUAUCACCGCAUCCCUGUCAAGACAAGAGCAGGCUUAAUGGUUAUUAUACAUCAAUCAAAACAAUUGUUUGCCUACAGGACUGAAGCACCGCUUGUCUAGGGAGAAACGAGACAGUUCGCCAGCAAUUUCGGUCACCUUGUCAGCCUAUGUCUCCCUGAAAAUCCUGCACAAAGACCAUUAGCUAUCCAGCUGUUGGAACAUCCAUUCUUGAGAAGUUGCACUAGUCUUGAAUGUUUCGAUAAGGUGCUUUAAGUAAUAUGGCCAUUUUGAAGCUUCUCCUCCCCUGAGUCUGCUUGAAGUAUUUCGUGUUUUCGACUUAUUGUUUUUUAUUCUUAAAGGUUCUCAAGUAAUGUGGCAAGUUUGAAAAGUUCUCCUGCCUAUGUUAAAAUGAGAAAUUUCAUAUUUUCGGUGUACUGUUUUUGUGCUCUAAAGUUUAUCUUGCUUACUUUUUGACAUCUUGUGAAAUUUAAGUAUUUAGAUUUUUUUUUAAAUUUUGGGUUAAUUAUUGACCUUUUGAAAUUGAGAAUGCUUGGAUGUUGGUGUUACAACAAUUUUUUUUGGGAUGCUUCUUCUCAAAUUGUUACUUGGGAGCUUUAUUUUCCCCUGAUAAGAAGAAGAUGAGGCAUCAACAAUUAUUAUCCCUGGCAAACCAACAUUUGUUUGCAACAUGUCUUAGUAUAAUGAUGGAAUAUCUUAGUGCCUUCAGAAUCAUAUUGCAUUUGGUUAUGCAGGUAAAAUUUUCAUAGGAAGGGGAAAAUUGAAAGUAGAAAUGCCUUUAAUAAUCAUUUCACCAGUCAAUAAUUCCUUCAGAAUGCCAAUUGACACUGGAUGUUGAAACUUUGAAUGCAUAAAACUACUUUAUUGAGAGGCAAUUGGUGACAUUAUGUUUACUGAAGUGAUUCUUUGCAAUGCUACAGAACGUAUGAACUAGUUAUAAAACCAAACCGCAUUGAUAGCCUCUACUCGUGUCCUACCUCGUGAGAGCUAGAUUUGCUAAUACUUUGAAAAUUAAAGUUUUUUCACCUUUUUAUCAUUUUUGGCACUGACGGGCUAUGUUAUUGCAUCUGGAUAAUCCACCUAAUUCUAUCCUAAAAUUCUAUGCAGCUGUGUUUUUCUUCUUCAUCUCCCCAGAUCUUUUUUCUUUUUCCCCCCCUUUCCUCUCUGUUUUGAACUUAUGCCUCAUGGUAUGCCUAACUUGCGACCUUCAUAAUGAUAUGGCCUAUUUCUUAAUGUCAGUUUGCUGGCGCCUUCAAACAAUCUCAAGUUCUUAGGAUCACAGAGUUUGUCCAAAAUGGUCUUAUUUCUGCAGCUCUUUUGCGGAAUAUCCCAUUCUGCUGGAGCAGCAGACCUUUUGGCAAAAAGUGCUUGUGGCUUCAAUGUUUUGGAGCAGUUAGUCUUGCCUAGUCCUUUUUUGCAAUAUCUGCUGGAUUUGAAUUCUACUUAACAUCCUCAAGAAAGAAGGACAACUUGUAGUUUCCACUCUAGACAUGUAUUAUUGAGGUUGACGUUAGUCUGUUUUAGUUCUUUGAUGCUUGCUAAAUCGUGUGUUCAGUGCUUUGUACGGUUGUGUGACUUUCUUCAAGCAAUCUGUGCAUUGUUGUUUUCUCAUUCAGAAAACUUGCAAUCCUUAAUAGUUGUAAGAAAUGGAUUUUCUGUCUCCUGAUUUCAAUUAAAUAUGUAUGUAUGUGUAUCUAGUCUUUCAAAAUGGAGCUUCUGAAGUAUCAGCAUAUUUUACACUUGCAGACACUAAUUCUGGAAAAACUAGAGAUAAAUAUAUAGCGAGUUCUUUCAUCCUUGUAGUCACUGUGCUGACAACUUCCAAAGUCUCAUGAAGAGCUUAUUGUUUCCUAAAUUGUCCAUUAUGUUUGACAAUUGGCAGUAGUUCAACUUGAGGAUAUGUUGGCUUCUAGCCACUCUGGUUUCUUCAGUGCUUUAGUCUAGAUAUAUAUCGAACUCUUGCUAACAUCCUGUAUAGCAACUUGUUAUAGCUUCAACUUGAUCCAUUUUUUUGACAUGCUGGCUUUCAGUGCAUGGAAACUUGAAUUUAUUUGGUUUAAUUUUAUCAAAAGUUUGUCAGAGAAGUUUGUUUUGAGUAUCUUUUUAGUUGAUAUAGAAGACGUGCUAUGUUGAUGAAUGCACAUAAUCAGUUGUAUCGCUCGUAAAGAGCAUGCUUGGAGCAGGCUGAUGACUCCUGUUAGAAGAUUUUGGAACUAUAUAGAGUACAUACCUCAAAUAUGAUACUUGAUAUGUGCCCUCUUAAAGCUGUGAAGUCCUUGAAUGUUCCAUGUUCUGUGAAAGAUGUAUAUAUCAACAUCAUAAUAUCUUGACUGUAGGUUAGCAUCUGGACUGUAGAUCUUUUAAGGUCCAAUCAUAGAAGAAGUGGUUUAUCACCUCGAUGAAGAUUUGGUCUUUAUAGCUAAUACCUUACACAACCCAAGGAGAAAGCCCAAUGGAAAAUCAUAGGGUUUUACCUAUAAAAACCUGUGUUGACAGUGACUGGAGAAAUGUAGUGUUCACUGUAAAUGUGUAUUACCGACUUUGAGUGUGUUAUAUGUGCAUUUAUGAAUGUACACAUAAAAUUCCUUUAUUGUGUCAAAUAGUUCUUUAGCUACAAUUUCAGUGAGAAUCCCCUCCCAGACUUGGUGCAGAUAUUGUACAUUUCUUUCUGUGCAUGAUAUAUUUGGUUCAUCAAACUGCAAGACAUCUUAAUGUAUUUUGGCUUCUGAACUCGCAGUAAAUUGGCGUUAUGGUAACGAAUGGUUUAUGAAUCUAUUCAAAUUAAUCAGCACGUUUUGUUGCGGCUCACAUUCAUAAUUCAACAAGAUACCACUAGGGGUGUCCGGCAUGUAGCUCACACCAUCAGGGUGACACAGCCGAGCAUUAUUUCUCAAAUUUUGUAGUUAAUGCGAGACUGCUCAAUCUCAAAUGGUUCAAUUGAGCAUAAUAUUAAUGUGUGGAAUGGUAUGAUGAAAGUGGUUACUUCGAUUUGUAUUUUUGACGAGUGCACUUUAAGUUUUCAGUCUAUACCUUUUGCUUAUGCUUACAAUUUUCUUCCAGCUUCACAAUGUUCUGACUUCUGGACCUUUAAGUUUCUAAAUGUUUAACCAAAAACUGAUGCAUAGAUUGAACUCUUUUUCCUAAUCCUCUUGUUCCACCGUGUAUUUUAGUACAGUGUACCAAAAACUGACGCUUUUUUCUUCAUUUAGCUAAGUCUGUAUCUCAUUGCAUCAUGAUUUAAAAUGACACUUGAUCCUUCAUUUGGAUUGAGUCGGUCGUGAGAUUUAACUCCUUCUUGAAUUUGAAGCUGUCAAUUCUCUAGUUUGCCAUUCUUGAUCAGAAAAAGUAAUAUGAUGAUAUGAAAUAUAACCGGUUGCAUCACUUACGUGGUCAUUAACUCUGACUUUUUGUCUCAACACUGGUUAAGUCGAGCAAGUAAACUUAAAUGCUAAGAACUCGCAUGCAUUUAUCUGAUAAAAUUGAAGAUGACAGCUUCGAUCUUUUCUUAUUGUUUUCUGUAGUAAAUUAUACUUCUUUUUAGUUUUAUAAUUAUGAAGAAUACUUUUUAUAAUUAUGUUUACAAUUAUAUUUCUUCAAAAAACUCAAUAGCGCCAGAAACUAAUUAGGAAAAUUCAAUGGGCUUGCAAUGCUUCAGUUUUUCUUCCUUUUUUUGGUUGAAACAUAAAGCAUUCCACUUGAGUUGUGUGAUUUUAUCUUAGGUUUUGGGGUUGAGGGAUAAAAGAGGAAGACUAUUAUAUUUUGGGUUUAAAAAACUUUGUAAACUAAUAGCUACUUGUCUGUAUUCCUACUUUUCAUGAUUUACUUGUGAAAUUUCACUCAAAAUAGAAAAUAUAAAACCAUAUAUCAAAUUUCAAGAGUCAUAAGAAUCACAAGGAUUGCCCAAAUUAACAUUUGAGCUAACCUUUACUAAGUUGAUGAACCAUAGAAUAUUAAUUGUAACUUGUUUCUUUUUUGAAUUAAUUUUUCUUAUAUUAUCUGUGUAUAUACUUACAGACCUAUAUGCAUGUCGCAUUAUUUCAAUUUGAAUUUAAAUACUGAAUUUUUGUAUACGUGACCUGCAUCUAAAUGCGUUAAUGUAUACAUUCAUCUAAAUGCAUUAAUGUAUAAUGCAUUAAUGUAUACAUUGACCAUGCAUAAAAGAUGUUAAUGUACAAACGGAAAAUUUAUAAAUAUUCCUAUACUUGUCAAGCAUUUACAAUGAUAUAAUGACAGCACUUAUCAGUUUACAAUGAGAUAAGAUACGUUGAAUUUGAACGAAUCUAAAUUAGUAAGUAAUCUAAUCCAAAUCUUAAUUGACCACUAAUUUGAAAAUUCAAAAGGUAUUUACAAAUGUCUUUAACUCAGUCCAACAAGAGUACGGUAGAGCAAAUAGAAUGGUGGAAUGAUCCACCUGAUUUUGAACCACUAAACUUGCUGGAUAAUUCAUUUGCAAGUUGAUGCAUCGAAUCCUGCUUUGAUGUCAUAAAGAAACCAAGAAAAGAAAAAAGGUUCAAUAGCAAUAUAGCACUCGUGGGAUUGCUGUUUGAAAUGUAAGUUAGAUUAGUAUUGCAAUUGUCAAAAGUCAAUUUGGGUAGCAAAGCCUCAGAGGAAAUGAUUUCAUGUCCUUUUUUGUUUGUUCCAAAGUAAUCUUAAACGAGAGGUUCCGUUGUUAACUUGUUAAGGAUGUGAUCAUGCAUCGUGGCUCCAUAGUCAACUAGAGGAAAGAAGUGAUACAAAUUAUGAAAAGGGGCAAUUAAAAUUCAAGCUUUUUCUUGUGUUUCAGGCUCUGAAAAUUUUACCCUAAUGAUAAUAAUUAGGCAAUAAGAAAAGCUAAUACAGUAAUUAACAGCAAAGUCAAAUGCUGUAACGUGCUUUAUUGGCAACCCUUUGGAUUUUAUCAGUUCAAAACCAAUUACAUUUGGGCAUGACAGGAUUUGUACACUAGUUCUGAAUUUAUGCACCCUCAAUUAUGGCCAAAGAAGAAAAAGGUGUACGCUUCAAUAUUUGGUCAAAAAAUGGCCAACCUCAGUAACUGCUAAACGCCUAAACCAGAUGUGCCUCCUUGAAUUUUUGUUCUUCAAAUAUUUCUGCUGAAUCGGAUAUUCAAUGCAAACAUAUUGGAAAAAUCACCCAUCAAGAAAGAUCACCUUUAAAUACAUCCCUCAUAUUUGAUCUCUUGCAAACACACUUCUUUUAUUAUAAAUAUUAGUAAGUAACUAAAAAAAGUAUCCUUUGUCUGCCCUAGCCGAAAAAACACACAGCCUCCUUAAAUGUUAUUAUCAACCUGAUUAAACAAUUAUUUUUGUAUUUAAAAAACUUCCUUUUUCUAGAUUUAUACGUUUUAUUAUAUUUCAGCCGUAAAAUAGGUAUUGAUGAUUUCAGAAAUUUGAAGUUUCUCAUAAUAUUACUUAACACCUCUAAAGUUUAAAAAAUUUCAUAAACUAUUAUUGCUAAUUUAUUAGAAGUUUUACAUUAAACUUGAAAGUUCGUGCAUAUGCUCUCAUAGCUUAUAGCUUAUGUAUCAUGUCUGACAUCACCCAGUUCUCUCUUGUGACCGUCACGACCGUCGUCCACCUUAAAACUCCGAUUUCCACAGGAUCCAACUUUAACUUAUCGUUUCGACCAAAAAAAAAAAAAAGAAGACCACACGACAGUUGUCCACCUCACACUUCCAAGGACCAUUCUUUGUAUUAAUGCUUCCUUUUUUCUAAGAAGACAGUAUAGCAUAUGUUGACAAGGGUUCUUAGAGGUGAUGGGAUGAACGAAUUGUUGGUAAUCUUACUCGUUAAACCAUGCAUGCAAUUUCCAUUUAAAUUGAGUUAGGACGGUUUUGAGCGUCGAGCACUUUUGAAAGAAAGGAUUGCUUUACAGGUACGUAAUCCAAAAACAAUAGGAUUUGAAACUUAGAAAGUUGAUAAGAAGGUAUUAUAUAAUUAGAGAAAAAUACAGUUUUGGUACCUAAAUUUUGACGCACGAGCGGUUUUAGUCCACAAAUUUUGGAUGAAAACAAAUUUGGUACCCGAACUUUCAAAUUUUGAGCAUAUUAAGUACCCUUGACGAUUUUUUCCCAAAUUGUUACCGGAAACAGCUAUGUGACUGUCACGUGUCCAGACAAAAUGGAAUAAAAAAAUGUCAAAAUGCAGUUUUGGUACCUAAACUUUGAUGCACGAGCGAUUUUAGUCCUCAAAUUUUGGACAAAAACAAAUUUGGUACUCGAACUUUCAAAUUUUGAGCACAUUAAGUAUCCUUGACGAUUUUUUUCCAAAUUGUUACCGAAAAAAGCCAUAUGACAGUCAUGUGGCCGGCCAUAAUUGUAUAAAAAAAAGGCCAAAAAAUGUCAAAUGCCAUUAUAGUACUAAGUAUUAAAUACAUUUUAAUUGUGGCCUUUUUUGACAUUUUUUGAGCCUUUUUUUUUAUACAAUUGUGGCCGGCCACAUGACUAUCAUAUGGCUUUUUUCGGUAACAAUUUGGGAAAAAAUCGUCAAGGGUACGUAAUGUGUUCAAAAUUUGAAAGUUCGGGUACCAAAUUUGUUUUCGUUCAAAAUUUGAGGACUAAAACCGCUCGUACGUCAAAGUUUAGGUACCAAAACUGCAUUUUAACCUUUUUUUAUUCCAUUUUGGCUGGACACGUGACAGUCACAUAGCUGUUUCCGGUAACAAUUUGGGAAAAAAUUGUCAAUGGUACUUAAUAUGCUCAAAAUUUAAAAGUUCGGGUACCAAAUUUGUUUUCAUCCAAAAUUUGUGGAUUAAAACCGCUCGUGUGUCAAAAUUUAGAUACCAAAACUGUAUUUUUCUCUAUAUAAUUAUAAGGUACCUGUCAUGGUGCGAUAUGUUGCACUACUGUCAAUCAUGUUUAACCAAAUAAAUAAAGUAAUUCUAUCAUGUUUAGCAAGGGCGGAACUAGGGGGAUGGGGAGUGGCCUCAUCCCCCAAGUUUUAUAAAAUUUAAUUUUCUUUUCCUGUAAAAUUAAAAUUUAUAAAAAUACUUUUUAUAAAUUUAAGCUCUCAUCCUUGCAAAAGCCUAAAACAUUUUAGUUUCCAUGUUAAAGUUUAGGUAUCCUAAAGGUUGCCCCCUCAAAUUAUAUUUUCUUGUUUUGUCUAUAACGUUUAGUACCUACUAGACAAAUUAAUAAUUCUAUUUUUUCAUUGUCAAACCAUCUAUCUCAAAAUUAACAAAAUAAAAACUCUUUCACUGUCACUCAUGUGGACCACAUUGAAUAUAUUCCGUCAUAAAGAAGGCAUGAGGGUCGUCCACAAGUGCAGAUCCAAUUGUACAUCUGCAAUACACGACAUGGAAUGUACCUAUCUUUGAAUUCCAUAACCGUAGUUAGAUUUUAUAACACAAAUCUUCGAUAAGAAGAAAAUCAUGUGUACACGCACGUGUAAAGAAGUGAUAAAUCAUUGGAGUUCACCUAGUGAUCAAGAGAAUACUCUUAGAAUAUUUUUUCACUGUCAAGUUCAGGAUUCAAAUUUCAUGUUUGAUAGUUGGAGGUAGGAAGUAUAUAUGUAAAGAAGUGAUAUAUUUUGAUAAUAGGUACUGUGGAUUUUGAUUGCGAGUUAUUCAAGAAAAAACUUUUAGAAUAUUUCCUAGACACGUUUCUCAUUUACCUGUUUACAUUGUAUAGAUUACGUCACUAGAAUGUAUUUUUCUACAAAUUCUCCCAUCCAAAUAGAUCCAGUUCUUGAUUUUUUCAAAACUAAACAAAAAUUUGUAUUGCUCAGAAUCGAUGAUGGAAGAAGCUUGAGGAAUAGAAGAACAAGUGAAGAAUGGAAACAAGGGUACGGUAAAAAUGAAAGUUUGAACAUCAUUGAAUGGUCAAAGACUCAAAGCUGUCGUGGCUUAAAUUUGAAGUCCCGGAGGGGGAGGAGAAUUUGAAGUUCAUGAAUUGAGAUCUUGAUUUCAAAUCUCUCUAUUUUUCCCGCUUUUACGGCCCACAAAUUUUCCCUGCUGAAGAAAAAAAAAGAGGGGAUUAGUGUUUGUAAGCCUAAACAUUUAUUAUGCUUGCCUUCAAGCACUUUGAUAUAUAUGAACAUCGUACUCAACGAUUGCCAUCGAAGAUUCCCCUCAGCCAAUAAGUACAGAAAUGAGUGAUCAUCUUUUUCUGCCUUUUAGGUGCCUUUCUAUUCCCAUUUCCCACUCAGCCGAUAAGAAUAGAAAUGAGUGAUCAUCUUUUUCUGAGCUUUAGUUGCCUUUUUAUUUCCUUUUGCCACGAUAGUUGGGACCUCUUGGCUACUACUUUACAAAUUGAAAAGGAACCUUGUGAAGGAAAAAAACAGAAAAGGAACCAUGUGAAGCCUCAGUCGUUUCUGCUAUUACUCUUUUUCUGGCACGAUAUUUAUUCUUUUGGUCGAGAACGUAGUAAUAGAUACUGUUCAAUUAUAUCUCAACAUAAAGGGAUAGUUUUAGAAAUCUCCUCUAAGGUUUCUAACAAUUUUAUUUAGCACCCACAAAUUUUUAAAAAUUUCACUUGUCUCUCUUACUUGAAGUUUUUUUGUAUCAUUUAUGACCAUUUUAAAAUAUAAUAUUAAAAAUUUAUUUUGGGGGGAGAGAAUACGAUUUCAUUCCAAACUUGCCCAUUUUCUUGUGAUUUCUUGAUUGUAAAAAUACAACUAAUUUUUCUCUUAAUUUUUGUAAAUUGAUCGAUAAAAUUUUAAAAAUUGGUAACAAGAUCGAUAAACUCUUUAAUAGUUUUUGUGUCAUUGUUUUGAACAAGAAAUGUUAAAUUACUUAAACUUAUGAAUAAUUUACAAUACUCUUAAAAAUAACUUGCAAUAAUUUACAAUCAAAAUAUUACAACCAUAAUAAUACCUUUUUGUACUAGCUUAAAAAUAAUACAAACAAAUUUAUAUAUAAUUUUUAGCAUGUUGUAUGUUUUACUUUUUAAACCAUCGAGUUAGACAAAAAAUUAGAAAAUUGAAAAAAAAUGUAAAUGAUUUAUAAAACGUCUUAAAUUUACUCAAAGCACUUUACAGUAAAAAAAAAAACACUAUAUUCUGUCCAAUAAGAAUAAGUCUUCAUAUUUUUUGUUUUUAUUUGUCAUUAAUAUACUCAAGUUUUUGUAAUAAAAAAUAAGAUAAUAAAAGGGCAAAUUUGGAACGAGAUUAUAUUCACUCUCUCAAAAUGGAUUUUUUAAUAUUAUAUUUUUCAAAUGGGUUGUAAAUGAUACAAAAAAAUUUUAAGUAAGAGAGGCAAGUGAGAUUUUUUAAAAUUCAAAGGUGCUAAGUGAAACUGUCAAAGUUUCUGAAAUUAUCCCCAAUAUUAAUAAGGAAUACUUGGUACUGCAAAUGAAGCAAUUAAGUAUGUCGUUUAUGCAAUUAACCUACAGUAGUUUUCUUUUUCUUUUUUUCUUGUGCCCUGAAAUUUCUUUUUUAUAAUCAACAGAGAUAUCCACAUUUUCUUGAAAACCUUGAAGCCAUUUCAAUACAUAUGGUGGAUGACAAAGGAUCCACCAAUUGGUUCAGUGAUACAAUAUUAUGUACAUACAGUUAUAACACAGAUACAAUUGGUUCGGAUUAACUCUACUUUGCACUUUUAAACUUAUAUCACUUUCUCACUUUGCACCAUGAACUUCAAUUUUGGAUACUUUACACCUUAAACUCCUAAUUUCAAGCACUUUGUACCCUAUAUUCUUAAAUUUAUUCCAUUUAAUUUCAAUCAAUUAUUAUAUUCAUAAAAUUAAUGAGAUAGAGGGAGGUAAAAAUUAAUAUAAAUGUACUUUUGUUAUAACACUGAUUCCUUAAUUUUUUUAAUCAUUGUUAGCACAUUAUCAUUGAUUUAUAUGGUCUUAAUUGUUAGCAAAAAUUAAUGAGGUGAAAGAUGGUGCAAAUUAAUGACAAUAUAUUGUUUUAUUUUUGCUAUGAUACUUUGAUACCUUUUAAUUACUUUCAGCAUAUUAUCAUUGAUUUGUUGAGUUCUCUAUGACAUUAGUUUUGCAAAAGUUGUCAAAUGGGACAAACUGGAGAGUUUAGGGUGUAAAAUUAUCCAAAUUAACAGUUUAUGAUACAAAGUGUCCAAAAUUGAUUCAGAGUGUAAAGUGAAAGAUUGAUACAAGUUUGGAGGUGCAAAGUGGAGUUUGCCCCAAUUGGUUCAGUACAACCAAAUGUAUCUACGGCCUAGUACAAAUUAUCUCACGUAUCUAUACUUCCUUCACUACUUUCAACGAAAGCAUGUAAAUUGUUUUCUCAAUUAAUUGAAGUUGAUCCAAAUUAAGUAAGUGUAAAUCUUAUACAUACUGACAAAAUAAUAGUGCAUGCACCAUCAUAGUUAGACAUAUAUACAUAUACAAAAUUUAUAUUUUAAAUUAAAAUUUAGAUUACUUACCAUAUAUCCAAUUGUAAUAAUUUAUACGUUAUCAAUGUAUAGAGUGUUAAUUCAUUAAUUAUUAUUUAUCAGUAACAUGAUAUAUAUACUAAUCUUUCACUCCCGAGUCAGACACCAUGGCAGAUUGACCAUGAGCAGGAUUUUCAAAUUGGGCAGCUUAAUAAGAAACCCUAAGGUAUGUUUGGUACCCCAUAGAAUUGGGGUUUAGAAUUGGAAUUGGAACCCCAAUUCUAAUUCUUGUGUUUGGAUGCUGCCUUUUCCAUAGAAUUAGCAUUGAAUUCUAAUUCCAAGAGGUUCCAAUUCCAUGAAUUGAAUUCUUUACCAGAUCAAAAGAAUUCUAAUUCCAAUUCCACAAUUAAACGGGUCCAAACGCGGAUCUAAUUUGGAUCAAAAAUUAAAAUCGGGUCAAGGGUAUCGGCACCCCUCUCUUUCUAUCUAACUCACCAUUUUUCCUCAGCCGCAUGUGCUCUCAUUGCUCUUUCUAUCGGGCCGCUCUCAUUGCUCUUGGAAGUCCCCACUUGUACCUUUUCCGACCUAAGAUCCUCAGGUAAUCUUAACGCCAGAUUCAGAUGCAUGAUGAAGCCAUCCAUAUCUUGUCGGAUUAUUUGUAAUUUAAGGAAAAAAAAAAAAGAGAGAAGAGGAAAUGUUCUUGUGAAUAGCCCAUAUCUUGUCCAUCCUGAUAUUUUGUAUUUUGUGGCUAUAUUUGCAAUUAUAAGCAAUUUAUGAGUUGAGUGUUGACUGUAUGCGGCAAAUUGAAGCAAAAUUCCAUUUGGGCUUUUAGUUACUUUUAAUUAAUUGUGAAAAUUGGAGUGCAAGAUUAUAAUGUUGUUGCGAAAAUGGGAUGCAGGUAGAGUUUAUGGGAGUGGGAGGAAUCUGAAUCCAUUGUUGUGGACGUGGAAUUCGAGUCCGAAAUGGAAUGGUGGAUUUGGGAGAUGCAUUGAGGACUCGAUUGGGAAUGUGGAUGUUGGUGGUGGUGUAGGUGUUUCCACCACAGCUACUAGUCAUUGCUCAACUGUGGAGAGGCUGUACGCUUGGGAGAAGAAAUUGUACCAGGAGGUCAAGGUACCUACUACCAUCAGCUUUGUGUGCUACUAAAUCGAGAAUUGUGUGCUACUGCUUCUGGAUUUUGGAACGGACCCCAACAGCAGAGGUAUCUCCAACUUUCAUACUGCUUUAAGUUAUGACGUCCAAAUACUGCUAUGGGAACCCAACUUUGUGAUGAUAUAGAAGCAGGAAAACAAUUUAAACAAUUCACCUCAUUAUCAAGAGGGCUGUCCUCCUUGCACCCCCCACAUCAUUUGUCGCAAACUAAUGACAAUUAUAAUUUGCAUGCCCCUUCUUCAUGUUUUAUAACUACAGUAAUGGCAGCAAUAGUAAAAACUUAGCGAAAUGUGGCUCCUAAUACUCUCCGGGCGUCAGUUUUAUUUAUUAAUUUGAGCCGUCUUUGAUUUAAUUGCUAGUACUGUAUGAUUUACCCCUCAUCCUGUCCGAGUGCGGACUGUAUGGGCUGGCCCUCUUGCAUCAAUGAGAAGUGAAAAAUACCCUUUUGGUCAUUCCGUACAAGUUGAAAAUGGCUGGAUCUGCAUCUCCUAGACAACUGUAACACCAGUCUCAUUUACUCUUUUAAAAGGUGUCUAUAUUUACUGCGAUUGUCCAUUUCAUUUUGGUCUGCCUGUUGAUCUGUAUUUUUUUCAUUUUGUAUUUUGUUAUUGCUGUUUUUGGGGGUUGUUGUACUCAAAUCUUUUAUAACUCCCUUCUCAUAUGGUUUGAGUUUUGGCUUUUUUAAGUGUAGAAUUCUCCUUACUCAUUAAAGAGACUAACAUGCUCUCUACAAAAUAAUUGGUAUCUUUGAGGCAUAAAUAUCACUUCUGAAUCUUGAUGCCUUCUCUUAGUGAAAGUUCAUUCGACAUUUAAGGCAAAUCAUUUUUUUCUAGUUUUGUUUGAAGACAGCAUAAGCAAAGAAUUGGAAUGUCCAGCCAUAGUCAUAGAACUUAAAAUACAGGAAUUCUGUUUACCUUUGAUGGACGUUUCCCUUUAUUUACUCUUCAAUGAUAUGAAAUCAAUGUCCAGCCCAACACGUUUUUAAGUUUAGAGAUCGAUUGCCUUUCAUGACUAGGUGCAUAUUUGCCUUUCAUUUUUAGUUCUAUAAUGCAGUAGCUAUUAAAUAUGUUCUUAAGAACAUGACAUUGUGAUGUUUUUCUGGUGCAUAUCUGCCUCAGAUAUGGCAUCUGAAGCAACAUCUCAGUCAAAAGGGAAAGGCAAAGGGUAUUUCACUUGGACUCCUGAAAUGGAUCGUGUAAUGGGCACCUGUUUUAUUGACCAAAUGAACCAAGGAAACAAAUUGGAUGGUAAAUGUGCAUGGAAGACAGCAGCCUACACCGUAGUAAUGAAUGCUUUAUUCGAUAAGCUCAAUAUAUCUGUGACAAAGGCUAAUAUUUUAUCUCGUUUCAAGACAUGGGAGAAACACUAUGACAUCCUAUACCCACUGCUCCAGUCAUGUAACUCUGGGUCUGCGAUAAUAUGGGACUACUCUAGAGGUAGAAUUGAUGUUCGUGAUGAGGAUGUAUGGAAUGCUCGAGUAAGUGAGAAUCCAAAAAUUCUUCCUUAUAGAAAAAAAAUUGUGGUUGAAAAUUGGGAGGAUAUCUGUACACUGUUUUCACAAGAUCGUGCAAAUGGAGAGGGUGCCCAAACUGUUUUUGAGGCUAAUGUUGAAACUGAAGUUGAAGAGUCUGCUAAUGUAGAGGAAUCAUUUGAGACUGAUUCACGAUCUUUAGAAGAUGAAGUUAUGAAUGCACUGCUAGCUCGACAACGGUCAAAAUCAAAAGCUUCAUCUUCAACAAAUGAUCGUGGCACAAAGAGAAAACUAACGAGCUCUCAAGUACUUUACAAGGUGUUGGGACGAAUGGCAGAUUCACUGGAUAAGUACUUAAAUUCAGAAUGUUCAAAAGUUACAACUAAAAUGGUGGAAGACGAGUUAUCUAAAAUUGAAUUGGAUAGAUUUCAAUUGUUGAAGGGUAUUGAUUUACUUAUGAAUGACAGGACAAAGUAUGACACUUUUUCUGGUCUUCAAGAUGACUUAAAAAAGGAUUGGCUAUUGAUGCACAUUGGUAAUUGAUUUUUUUUUUUUUGGUAAUCUCCAGUUGAAGUUGUUUUUGUAGAAGAAGUUGAGCUAUUUUCUAUUUGUUUUUGGGAUGAUAAGAAUGGAACAUUGGAUCUUUUGUCUGAUGAACUAGCAUUUUUUAUAUUGAGAUUAACAUAGCUGCCUGGGUUGAUGCCCUGACUUGUCCUUGAGCUGCACGAAGCUUUGCAUUCUUUCUCAAAGUUAAGGAGCUUUUGUAUAAGUGCUCUUCCUGUAUUCUGUCGGUUUUUAGCUGUACUUGUCAGUGCUUAAUUUCAGAUAAGACUCAUGCAUUAGUUUGAUCCUUUUCUGGAGCAACGAAUAUAUUGAUGGAUGGAGUUCUUUCUUUGUUGGAUGGCAAAUUUCAAAGUCUUCAUUCACUGUCAAGGGCUAGCCAGGAUUCGUAGUGCUCUAAAACGUCUAGAUGAUUUGGAAAUGUUGCAGCACCUUUCCCUGUUUCUGAUGAUAUCUCUAUCUGUCAUGAACCACUUAGAUAAUCUUUAUCAUUUGUCACAUGUAACCUGCUUGCUUCAUCACUCGACUUUAUUUCCACGUUCCAACUUCCAACUUCUAGAAUAUCAAGAGAAAAAAAACCACCUUAUUCUAGUCCCAUCAUUUUGGCAUUUUCAAGUUAGAAAGUUUUUGUUUUUCCAAGUAGUAGUAAUACCUGUACACAUUUGGCUGAGGGAGGAUAAGUCCCUAACCUUAGAAGCAUGUAAAUCUAAAGUCACAUUUUUUUUAGACGUUUAAAACAAAAAGUCUAGAACUUUUUGGCCAGGACAAACAAUGAGAGAGAGAGAGAGAGUACUUCAUUGAUUGCCCAUUUUCUUUCGAAUUAAUCUUACAAUUUGGUUUCACCAAAAAAGUCGAUUUGUAUAUUUUGUCUUCUUUUUCACUAUUUUCUUCGGUCAGGUAAUUUGUGAGUAAUUCACUGUCCGAUAUUCUACCAUGUUUUAAGAAAUAUGCUAGUGUCAUUGGGGAUUUACUUUUAAGGGCUUGAGGUCCAGUUUUGGUUGGAUGCCAAUAUCUAUACCAUACGUUGAACAAAAGAAAUUGACAUAAAAGUGGAAAAAAAUAAAUUAUUAAAGGCACAAAUUGGUUUUUACUUUUAAAUAAAUCUUUAAUAAAAAUUAGCUAAAUGUAAAGAAAAAAAUUAUUAUAUAGAAAAAAGGAAAAAAAGAAAAAUUUUAUGUAAGCAAAUGUUUCAUGAAAACAAUUCUAAUUCCUAAUGAAUUCUUUUCUCAUGCAAACAAAGGAUUUGGAAUUCCAAAUAAAUUCCGUAUCAAUUCUAUGCAUUUCCCAAACGAAAGAAUUGGAAUAACUUGGAAUUCCAAUUCAUAGAAUUCCAAUUCUAUAGAAUUCCAAUUCUAAUUCAAUUCUAAUUCUAUAAAACCAAACGCACCCUAAGCCACAUUCCAUCUUCCGUUUGAAAAGUCCAACCCAAUCUAGCUACUUAUGUGUAAACUUGUACACAUUUCAUCGUCCGUUUGAAAAAGUCGAACCCAAUCUAGCUACUUAUGUGUAAACUUGUACGAAUCUGCUGAGCUAUACUCAAAAACCCAUUAUUCAGUUUCAAAUCCGCUGAUAGCAUGCUGGAACACAAGUACGUAAGGGGAUCAUAUUCUGGUAUUGUAGUUUAUCAUGAUUUUCUUCAGGAAAAGACUUAAACCCACCUGCAAAGACUUAAACCCCACCUGCACUAGGGUACAACAAACAAAGGUGAGUUGGAUAUACUUCCGUAUGACUGCAGAACUCAUUUCCACAAUGCGAUUUUGAUGCAGCAAUAAGAAAUUAUAUCAAACUUGAAAUCAGUCAUCCUUUGGGGUUCUAUAAAUACCAUCCUCCCUGUCAGUUAUGGACACAUUCCUGCCUAGCUACUUUUAGUUUCAGCCAACUACAUAUUCAUUCCUAGCUCAACUGAAAUUAAACUUUCCAUGGCAUACCAGAGCGCCUACAAUAUGAAUUACCAGAUACUACUAUGCUUGGUACUCUUCUCCCUAGGCCUUCUCCUACCACUGCCAUCCCAUUCUGCUGAUCCAAGCCCAUUGCAAGAUUUCUGCGUUGCAGAUCUUAAUUCCUCUUUAUACAUUAAUGGCUUUCCGUGCAAAAACCCUGAUAAUGUAUCUUCACAAGACUUCUUCGC